AAAAAAAAAAAAGAGGUAAAACUUUUAGAAAGAAUUCUAUUAAAGUUGAUACGAAAACUCCCAAAAACAUGAGAGAAAAACCCAUUUGAUUAUUUUGCUUGAAGAUGAGACUGACGGCUGAAGUUUUGUUUAUUGAGGGGAACAGGUGGUCGUUAUUAAUUGGCUUCACUAAUCGUGCCCAUUUGACACCACAGCCCAACUAAACUGAAGUAUCACUCUAUAAUUUUAGCCGUCUCUUCAUAAUUUUUUUUUAAAUAUCAUUUUUUCCGUUUUCUCUUAUAAUUUUUGAAGGGGAAAAAAAAAAGGCUCUCACUCCCAUUCUCCCACUAUCUUUUUCCUUUUCAUUUUUGAUUUGACUUAUCUUUCCAAAGACAAAAAAUAGAGCAAAGAUUUGUUACAGUGUGCGAGUCGGAGUCACAAUUGCGUCCUAAAAGGCAAUGGGAUGUGAGUGGUACUAAGAGUAAGUGAUGGCAUUUCAACAUCUUUUGAUAGAAGCCACGACAACGUGAGUAUAAAUAUCUCCUCAACGAAUCUUAAAGGAGUGGGUAUAUUGGUUAGGAGUGGGUAUAUUGGUUUCGGUUCGGAUUAUUCGAGUUUCGGCUUAAGUUUCAAGCCGAUCGAGUUAGAGAAUUGAACCUAAUCGGGUUGAAAACGCCAACCUGAAUCAGACCGAACCAAAUUUAAUUUGAUUCGGUUCGGCUCGGGUUCGUAAUUCGGAUUGAAUUGUGUUAAUUUGGUUUGGUCCGGUUCGGGUUCGUAAUUCGAAUUGGAUUUAGUUGGUAAUUCGGGUUAGAACAAUUUAAUCCACAAAUUCUACCAAAAAUCACUUAAAAUCCAAAAAUCUCAAAUUCAAACAUCCUUGACAACAUUUCAACAAGUCUUUUUAAAGUUAAUAAAACAUAAAAUAUGUAGUCAAAGAGAUUUUUUUUUGUUUAAUACAUAUAAUUUUUUUAUUUUUAAAAGCCAAAACUUAAAAAAAAAAAAAUCAACUCGUUCGGGUUCAACCCGAACCGAAUUUUAACCCAAACGGAUUAAUAGUUUGAAUCCGCUCAGGUUGCACAGAUUAACUCAAACCGAACCGAACCCGAAAUAAACUUCGGGUUCGGUUCGGUCCGGGUUAACCCAAUCCGAAUGCCCAUCUUAAUAAUGCCGAAUAAUCGAGACAUUUAAUUAAAAAGCAGAAAAAUCUUCGUCCGUCGAAGGUUGCGCAAAUUGCAAAAACCUGUGAUCCCAAAUUUCUUGACAAGAAGCGAAACCAAACACAUGCAUGAUCAUCAUCUUUCCCAAUCACACACGGGUACUGGUGACGGAAAAGAAGGGCAAAGACAAAUGAACAAAUGACGUAACAAACCCAUGUGCAGAAAUUAGGGGCUUCGAUAAAUAUUUAUGAAAAGGACAUUAGCGGUGCACGGUUGCAGUUGCAAAGGCCGCCAGCCGUAGCAAGUUGUCCAUGUUCUGUAUUUAAACCAGAGCCAUUGUGCAGUCCAGCUCGACAGCAGCUGCACCUAAUGGCCAUUUGUUCGAUUAAUUAUAUCUUUGUCGCCGUCAUAGCUUGACACCAACGCCCGUGAUAACGAAAGCAAGUGGACUAAUGGACAACGUUCACUGCCUAAAAAUGACAAUGGGUAAAUUGUUUGAUUCCUUAUAUUAUAAUUUUUUAGUUGAUCAUAUUACAGAAGCCCAUCCACCUAACUUAUCAUACUCAAAUCGUGAUUUUACAGUUGAGAGUUGCUCACGUAUUAUAUAGUUAAUUCAAAAUUUAUUCUCAUAUCAUAAGAAAAUUCUCUUAUCACUAUUAUCAUAUGUUGGCUGAUCUUUUUGCCACUCGUGCAAGAGUUUAACUCUCACAAGUCACAAUAGAUAAAACUUGAGAGACUAAAUCGUACAAAAAAACUAACUUUUAAGUAUGAGUUAGGCUUGUAGACAUUUAUAUGACAUCGAAGCCAAACUUUCAUGAGUCAAAUGUCAAAACUACUUUUCUCCAUGAAAAAGACAAGACAAAAAAGGCCAACCUUACACUACUAGUGUACGAUUAAGAUAAUCUUUAGCAAUUGAGCUAACUGUCAACUACCAGUUAGCUUGAAACUUGAUAACCACGUACGUUGAGUGUUUGUUUCCCUCGCAUUGCUAAAUUAUGCAAGCAGCAAGUGUCUUGCUACCCCUUUGACGUCUUCGGCGCUGGCACUACGAAGGUAUAAUCUCAAAAUUAGCUUGCACAUUGAAACCAAUAUGAAUUCCUGCAGGUUUCCAUUAUUAAAUCAGCUUGAACUUGUGUGUGUAAAACUGGUUUUGUUAAAAUACAAACGAAAAGAAAUGCUAUCCAUGCACAAAGUGCUAUCGUUGCACAAAAUCAAGCAACUUCCCUUUUUCUUCAAUGAGAUAUUCCAUUACUAAAUCAGUUAGCCUUGCAUGGUUGAAUUAAGAGACUCACAGUGAUAUCUAUGCUGGUAGCUCCCUCAUGUACACUAGUUGAAACGCAUCAUACAUAUUCCAUAUUAGCAUUAAUGACCAGGUUCUUCAUUGAUAAAAAAACUUUAAAAUCAUUUUCCGUUUGCUUUCUCUUAUUGUUUUUUGAGUUCAUAGAUAUGGCGCGCGCCCGUUAUCUCUCUCCUUAUCUUUAUCAAGUUGAACAAUGAUGUUUGUAGCGAAAAGAGUAUAAAAAUUUGGUACAAAAAUUAUAUGAGAGUGGCGGAAAAAAAAAUCUCGAGUAAAAUUUUUUUUAUCCCGAUGGAUGAGUGGCGCUAAUUACGUGAUGGCAUUUCUACAUCUUUUAAUAGACCCAAAAAGAAUCAAUAAUUAAGUUGAAAAUUGAAACAUUUAAUUUCUUUCUCAAAAUUAAUUAAAAAACAGAAAAAAAAAAUCAUCUAUAGAAGGUUGCAAUUUGCAAAAGUGUCAUCCCGAUCUGUAACUUUGCUUAAAAGGAGGCGACAAAAUAGGGGGUUUGAUAAAUGAAAAGGAAGUUGCUAAGAAGGCUGACAAGGCCAGCCGACAGCCGUAGCAAGCAACAUGAUUAUUUUAGUCGGUAAUUUUAAAAAAUCUCCCCUGAGGUUUGGACUUGUUGUAAAUAGAUGGUGAAAAUUUAUUUAUUUAUAAAAAACCUCCUACCAUCAGUUAACUUUAACAUUGACCGUUAGUUAACUGUGCAAAAUAAUAUUACCCUUAACAACAGUUUGUAGACGGAAAUAACUAAAAAAAAAUUAAAAUUGUUGGCGCAAAAAGCACAAAUUCUAUUUUUUGACAAUUUUAUCCUUGUCAAUUCUAAAUAUUUACAAUAUCAUAGGUAAAGAUUAUAACUAUUUCAUUUUCAAGUUUUUUAUUUUAUCUUUCUUGUAGGAACUUUAAGAAAAUAUCAAUAAUUAAAAGAGGAUUUUUCAAAUUUUUAAUUUUAUCUUUCUUGUAGGAACUUUAAGAAAAUAUCAAUAAUUUAAAGAGGGUAAAAUAGCCAACAAUUUUAAUUUUUUUUUAGUUAUUUCCAUUUAUAAACUGUUGUUAAGGGUAAUAUUGUCUUUGCACAGUCAACUAACGGUAGAGAAUUUUUUACAAAUAAAUAAAUUAUCACCAUCUACUUGCAACAAGCACAAACCUCAGGGAAGGUUUUUAAAAAUUACCCUUAUUUUAGUGUUUGUAUGGUAGGUUACAUCUUUAUCACCUGCCCUGGGAUGGCCAGUGCUUGAUUUUGUAGCUUGACAUGUACGGCCAUGAUCAUGAGUGCACGCAUGUAAGCCAGUAGCUAAUGGACAGCAUUCAUUGUCUAAAUAUGACACUCGGUAAAUUCUUUGAUUCCCUCCCUUUUAUCCACAAUUUCUUUUAAUUUUGGAAAAUUUUAUGAAGAAAUCUAAAUUUUAUAAAUUAUACAUAAGGCUAGUAAAUGAAAAGUAACACAAAUAAAUUAAUAUAAGAGUAGGACUUGACUAUGUUGCACCUGUGGUACCAUGCCACAGUUGCAACCAGUCAUUGGAUCUACUUGGAUUCACUGUUGCACUCCUCAAGUGGAUCAAAUGACUGGUUGCAACAUAGCCGGACCCAUAAGAGUAAUAAAUUAUUGUUUUAAAAUUGUAAACAAAGCAAACACUUGUAAAAAUAAUAUAAAAAUUAUAAAUCAACAUUGUAAUUUAAUUUUAAAAACACUUUCUUUAUUUAAUUUAUCUGAGCAAAGAAAAUAAUUUUUCAUUAAUUGAAAACAAACAAUUUGUAUUGAGACAAUUGGAAUUAAAUUGUAUUAAAUUGGUUUAACCAUAAAUUCUAUAUUCACACUAGGACAUUUAUAAACUAUGUUUUUUAUCAUAGUGUUUUUUUUACUAUACAAAACAAUUAAGCAAAAUUAUUUUUCUUAUGUGGAUCAAACCAAACCAAAAUAAAAAUACAUUAUUAUAUUACUAUGUAUAAAAUUUCAAUAAAAUUAAAUCUAAUUUUUAAUUUUAUACAUAUAUCAUGUACUUUCAAACUUUACUUCUUACUUAUACUAAAAUAUGAUUAAGGGACAUAAUGUGAGAGGGCAAUGCUCCCUUCCAUACACAAUUUUCACUACUACCUAAGUUGCUUUAAUGAAAGUUAAUCUUUCUUAUAAAAUAUAUAUAUAUAUAUAUCAUUAGGGUUGCUUUCGAGAAGGUUUAGAAGGAUGAAAAAUUAGUUAUCUUACAAACAAUCUUGAAAAUAUAUAAAAAUAAAUAUUUUUCAAAAUUUGAUUUUCAGAAUAGGUUUUAUCCUUAAUAAAAUUUCACAUAUAUCAUCACAUGUAUUAUAUAAACCCAAAAUUAUCAUUAUUCAGUUUAGAAAUAAAAGCAAUAAAUAUAUAAGGUGAUCAUUAUCAUAAUGAGUUUUUACUUUAUAUAUGUAAAUUUUUAUUUUUUUAAUAACCUUAUAAUAUUUACUUAUUUUAUGCUUCAUUUAUAAGUCUUCUAUUUCAUUUAUAUAAUUCAUAUGUUAUUUUACACUUAAUGUUAUUUUACAAUUUUUAUGCUACACCAGUAAAUUUAUGUUUUGUUUAUCAAUAAUACAUUAUUUCACCACUCCUAUGUUAAUUUACUUGUUUUACCUUCUAUGUACAAAUCUUAUGUUUUAUUUACUUAAUUUAUACUUCAUUUUACACUUAAUGUUGAUUUACAAGUUUUAUAUUAUAUUUGUAGUUUUAUAUUUUGUUUACCAAUAAUUUAUCAUUUUACCAUUCCUAUGUUAAUUUACUUAUUUUACAUUUUUAUUUAUAGGUCUUAUGUUUUAUUUACUUUAUUUAUAUUUUAUUUUACACUUAAUGUUGAUUUAAAGUUUCUUGUUAUUUUGAUAAGUUUUUAUUUUGUUUAUCAAUGAAAUAUCACUUUACCGCUCCUAUGUUAAUUUACUUAUUUUAUCUUUCAUUUACAAGUCUUAUAUUCCAUUUGCAUCAUUUACGCUUUAUUUUACACUUAAUGUCGAUUUACAAGUUUCAUGUUAUAUCUAUAAAAAAAUUUAAUUUCCAAUAAUACAUCAAUUUACCACUUUUGUGUUGAUAUGAUUCACUUGUUUUAGCUUUCAUUUAAAAGUCUUAUGUUUUAUUUACUUAAUUUCUAUUUUAUUUUACACUUAAUAUUUAUUUACAAGUUUUACAAUACAUAUAUAAGUUUCUGUUUUGUUUACCAGUAAUACACUACUUUACUACUGUUAUGCUAAUCUAUUUGUUUUACUUUCAUUUACACAAUUUAUGUUUAAAUACAAUAUUGGUGUCAUAAUUUUAAUUACGGCACUAUUUAAAAUUUACUUUUUCCCCCUUGAUUUACUUACUGUUAAACAUGAAAUAUGUGUAGUUGUGAUUUCUAUACAAAACCUGUACACUCAACUAUGUUGCUUCUUCAUAUAUGGAUCAGGAUCCUCUCCUGAUCUUAUCUUCAUCUGAGAAAAUUUUGUUAAUAUGAUUUGUGGUUAAUAAAUUAAAAAGAAAAAAAUAAUUCAAUCUUAAUCAUCCACUAACAAUAAAACACAGGUGGCAUAAGAUAUGUAAAAGAUCAUGAGUGCUCAGAUCAGGUGAGGAUCCUGAUCCCUUCAUAUAUAUAGCCAAGUUAUGAGUUGAUCAUUUUUUGGGGGUAAUUUUUAGAGACCUCCCCUGAGAUUUGGUGUAUUAACACCUAUAUACAAAGUAUGACCGUAAUUACAAAGUCCUCUCUCGUUGUUUGUAUUUCCAUCCAAUGGUUGUUAGUAGAUCAAUGAAAUAACCAAAAUACCCCUAAAGCCAAAAACACUCUCAUAGCAACCACUAGGGUGCUGUUCGUUAACAUAAUGAAAUAUGUUUUGCUUCUAGUAUACGGAUAAAAAAAAACAUAAUAACCAAAUACUUAGACAUUAAAUACUCAUUGACUAAAAAAAAAAGAAAAUAAUAUUGGUGAAGAAUUUAAUAAUUUCUGAACUUCAAUUAAGAAAAUCAUAUUUGUUUCAAGCAGCUUAAAAAAAAAUCUAUAACAAAACAUUCCCUUCUUAACAUUUUUUUUUCUUGUAGUUCCAUUAAGAUUUACAAAACAAAAAAACAUGAGAGAAGAAAAUAUAUAGAUUUAUAGUUGAAGUUACAAACACAAAAUAUACCAAAUACAAAAAACAAUCUAAUUUCAAAACCAACUGAAGAGUUUCUUUGGUUCUUAAGAGUGCUACCAAUUGCAUAAUAUUUUACAGCCAUUUCCUUUGCCUUAAAAAAUUCUUGUCCAUCUCUAGCUUCAAUCAUUACCCUUUUCUCUUGUGCUUCUUUGUUUAGUAAAAUCUAUCUUAUUUUUCAUUUUUAAGCAUAUUCUACCUUUUUCCUUUCUAAUUGUUCCUGCCAAUUACUCAAUAUAUUGAAAAUGUAUUAUUUAUAAAUAUGUGAGAUUAAUAGAAAGCACACUAAAACGUCUAACCCGAAGGGACUUAUGGCUGUAGGGGAAUGUUUUAAAAACAAAAGCAAUUGAAAUUCAACUUAUAUUAUGCGCAAAAAAAAGAAAGUUGAAUCGGCCAUGACACAUAAAUAAGUAAUGCAUUUCAAGAUAAUUAAGAGCUCCUUAAGUUGGUUUCUAGGCAAAAUAUAUUUGAUUAAACAUAUCAUAGCAAAUUUUGUAUUUCAUUUUUAAUCAUUUCAUAACAGAACGAAAUCAUAAGCAAUUAUUAGAAAAUAACUAUAAUCAAUAGUGUUUAAAUGAGAAAGCAGAUUCAAAGUUUUAUGAAAUUUAGAUCAAACACGAGUUUAUGGACAAAGAUUUAUAGUAUCUGGAUAUUCACAACUAGUGCACACUGAUCAAGUUACAGGUAGAUACACAAGAUGAAAUCUUAUAAAAAAAAAACAUUUAAAACCCAUUUAAAUCGUAUUUAUGAAUAAAACCACUUAAAUCUUAAAUUGUAAUCACAAAUACGAUCCCAAAAAUUAAUUUCAUUAAAAAAAAUGUCAAUUUUUUUAUUUCAAUUUUAUUAUAAAAUUUUUGGAAUUAUAUUUGCGAUUACAAAACUAAAACCCACUUUUGUUUAACACAAAAAUCACAUAAAAUAACUAAUUUCUAAUACGCAAUGGUUUGUUUAGCUAAUCACUAGUGCGAAUCACACUAAAAACAUGCAGCAGCUUCUUCAACAACUUAAACACAACAUUAAAUCCAUUUUCAAACACAGCAUCAAAUCAACCAAAAAGUUCUAACUUUAACAUGCAUUGAGUUAUUUGGAAUUUUCACCUUCUAUGAGGUUUAAUAACUCAUUCGUUCCUUGCCUAUUGCCAGCAAUGGUCACUCGACGACAACAUUUUCCUACCGCCAUCACUUUGUUGUUCAUCACUCUUCCUUCAAAUUAGGGUUUUUUUUUCGAAUUUGAGCUUAAUUUGACGAGGUUAGAAUCAUAAAGAGAAGAAUCUAGGUGUAUUUGGGACUUUGGGCACUACUAGAAAAAUGGUCUUUAUUGACAUUAGAAUAGUGGCAGUAAUUACUUUUAGUGACACUUGCUAAUUGUGUCAGUAAUCUGGCAGUCAGAAAAAUAGUAAUACUUGUAAGUGGUGUCAGUGAUUACUAUUACUAUAGUAUCACUAAAAUCAUAACACUAUGGUAUCAAAAUAUUACAAUACUAUAUUAGUAUUUGUGAUUACUGUUACUAUAAUAUCACUACUUUAUGUAUUAUUUAAAAAAAUAAUUAUAUAAAAUGACAUAUUGCCCAUUGAUUUGUUGAUAGAAUUAAAAGGAUGUGAGAAAUAAGAACAAAAAUCAAUUUAUAUAUCAAAACCUUUCAUAACAUUUAAAUAUUAUCAAUAUAUAUUACACAAUCCAAAUACUUCAAUACACAAAGACGUCUUACUACAAGACAUCUUAUUCUUAUAAUUGAAUAAUCUUAACUGUUAUUAUCCAAUCAAAUUCCUUAUACUCGUAGCUGAAUUUAAGGGUUAAAUUUACCAAAUCUAAAAGCUAAAUUUAGAAGGAUUAUUAUUUUUCACUCCAUGAACAUAAGUACUGCAAUCAUGCAUGACCACAUACAGCUUCUUCAUUCGAUGAAUUUGAUGGGUUAGGGAUAUAAGUUGAAGAAGAAACACUUUAAACAUAUUAAUCAUAUCUGCAAACAAAUAAAAGAAAAAGAAAAAGAAAUUGGUUGCCAAAUUCCAACAGUUGCAAAAUAAAUUAACAAGCAAUAUAGAGACAAAAGUUAAUAGAAAUAAACAUAUUUUGCUAGAAAACAAAAAAAUUCAUAAGCUAUGAACAAAUCAACUCAAUUAUCUUAAAGGAAAAAUAGAGAAUAAGAAUGUUGUAGCACAUUUGAUUAGAAAUAAGAUACAAUAUAUUUAACUACAGAUAUAAAUUAAAAAAAAAAGUGAUGAUGAAUUCAUUCUCUUAUAUAUAUAUGAAUAAGAGAGAGUGAGAGAGCAAAUUAUAGCAUUCAAGUUUUCAGUAUAACAUCUAGUUUCAAGAAAGUGUGUUUAUUUCUCAUUAUAUAAAAAACAAUGAUUUUCCAGCUAAAAAAAAAUCAUAAUAAAAUUUAAUAUCUAAUACAACAUAGUAUGUUUUUUCAAAAAAAAGCUUGAUAUUAUGUCUUUUAGCCACCAAGCCUGAGUGUGAGAGUAAAGCAUUUAACUCUUGAUAAUUACACACUUUCUGCAUAAUGCAAUUAGUGUCAACUCAUUCCAAAUUACUCUACUAGAAUAAUAAAACAUUUCAGCCAUUGUAUUGAUGGAGCUACUAAUCCAGAAUAUUCACAAUAAAUAUAGAGUUCAAGGCAAUUAAGAGAUGUACCUCUUAAAGCUAUGCAUAUUCUCUAUCUUUCUAAGACAAUCUUUAAUUCAUAUAGUUCCACCCCCUUUGAAUUCACAAACCAAGACUUUACAAACAAAGGCCUUAUAUCAUUAAUCUUAAUACCUUUUUACCAAAAAAUCACUAUAUUCAUAAAUAAAAAUCACAAGUUAACGUUUUAACCUCGUGUUGGGUUGUCUUAGUUUUCACAUGGCAGAGGAAUCUACGAUAAUGUGUAUGUUUUCCUAAGAAGAAAAAGGAACAAAAAAUAGGGAAAGGAAGCCAAGACUAAGAAAUAAUUAUUCAAUAAGCUGAAAAAUUAUCAUAUAUCAUGCAUGUUUUACACAAUCCCCUUAUAAAGUUAAAAAAAAAAAACUACUUUAUUUUACACAAUCAAACGAUUUUAAAUAUUUGACCAGGAAACAUAACUUAGUAGGACAAGAAUGCAGCUAAAUUAUGAAAACCAUUUUGCUUGCAGAUAUUAAUUAGACAUUUCAGUUUUUCUUUUAUUUUUCACAAUUUAUCAGAAAUUAAACACACAUUCGUUCGGCAUUUUCACAUAAGCCAACCAAACCCUAACCUCUGGAAAAUUUGGUCACCUUUUAGCUUCAAGUUCAAAUAAUAAAUAACAUACAAAGUUCAAAAUACAAAAGUUAUCCAUCCUCUGCUUCAACCAAAAAUUCCUCCACUAAUUCGCUCCAGGAAACAUUAUUUGAAAAUAUAAAAUGAAAACCAAAAUUGCACAUUCAAAUGCAAAUAAUUUAAUGACAAAAAAAAUGUGCAAAUAUGGUAAAUGAAAGGAAAUAUCUGAAAAAGGAGACUCCAUCACAGAUCUACGAAACGAAACUCCAAAACAAUAUCGGCAUUGUCUCGUCAAAGUCUGUGACUCUCAUCGAUCCAUAUAACACAACGAAACAACAAAAUUUAACACGGGAAAAAAAAAGGGAAUGUAUAAGCAAAUAUCCGAGAGAAUAGAAGAAAACCGAGCUUACUGAGUUACUUGGAGCUCCAAGACUUUUCGAAGAUCGAAUUAGCAGAAGAAAACAAAACUUCAGCUAACAAGAAAUCUCGAGAAGUCGAAGCGAGAGGGGUGGUGUGCACUCGAGUAGGGUGAGCAAAAUGUGGAGAUCUAAAGCGGGUCUUGUGAGCUUGUGGCAUAGCGGCGUGGUGGAUGUUUUGCAUAAUGUAGAUCGUUAGGGUUUCGUAUGGUAUGGGUCUUAGAAUUUGAGCAGUGGUGUUAGGAUUUCUUAUGGCAUGGACCCUUGAAUUUUAGGGCUCGAAGUUUUAGAGGUAUGAAGAAGAAGAAUGAUAUCGCCAGAGAGAUGAGGCGGCUGGCCAUGGAUUUAGGAGUUAGGGAAUUUUAUGUUUAUGUUAAUUUAGGGUUUUUUGCUUUUGCUUUUAUAUUGUUGUUUUCUAUAUUAAUUUAAUUUGAUAAUUUCAACAUGUUCAACACAAACUAAUUUAUGAAUUUGGCUUGGUGGUUUGUUGGUUGAACAUAAAGCACUUUAGUUUUGAGGUCCUAGGUUCGAGUCGCAACUAAAACAAAAAUAGAUAUUUUUGUUGUUGUUGUUUCUGAUACCUUAGUGUCAACGAUCUCUGAUGUUUAAUAUACAAACACCAUAGAAUCAGUAAUUUGUGACACUUGUUUGUUAAACACAAAAAAUUACCUAAAUAUAUGUAAUUACUGAUACUUUUUAAAAAAGUGUCACAAGAUAAGUAUCAGUAAAAGCUAUUUUUCUAGUAGUGGGGUGGAUGAUGGAUUGCUAAUUAGCUUGAGUUUGGAAGAUGAAAGAGAAGAUAUGUCCAAUGCAUGCUUGGAACCAAUGGAUAAUGAAGUGCACAACGAGUGAAUAUUGAUUUUUUUUUAAAAAUUUAGAUAGCUUUUUUAAGAAAUUACCCUUAUACAUUGACAAGAUACCAAACGGAAUCCAAAUGGUUGGGGAGGUAUCUAAUAAUAUGCUCAUAUUUUCUAUUUAAGUGUUGAUAUGCCAAAUCUCAGGGGAGGUCCCUAAAAAUUACCCUUUUUUCUCUCUAAUUUUUCUUGAAUUCACGAGAACUAAACCUCAUAACAAAAGUUUUAAAUCCAUCAUUUUACCAGUUUUCGUUUAUGGGGGCGGCAUUCAUUUUUGCCUGCACUUGAUUGUCUCUCUUGUAUAUACUAGGCUUUCUUUGGGCUCUAAACUAUUUUGGACUUAUCUUAAUAUAAACUUGAACAAUGUCGCGUACUAGGUGCUUCAUUUAAAAUAUCAUCGUAUGUUUCCUGACAAUCAACCAUUUAUUGUCUUAUAAAUUUCACAUAAAAUUGACUUCCAACCGUAAUGGAAUAAUCAAAUCACGAAGGAAUAAGCAAUAUAAUGCUUCUUGCCAAAAGCCCUAGAUAAGCAAUAUCGGUAUUCCUCUGCCUAAUCGGCGAUCCCUUCUUAUCUUUAUAAGUCCCUUCACAAUCCACAGGCCCCCUUGCGCCUCCAUAAAACGCCAAUUUCGCAGCUUCCUUGUAAGCAUUUUCGUCCAGUUUCUUCUUGGCACCUCCAAAAUCAUCUUCAAUCAUCAGCUUAUAAUCAGAAGCGCAUCGCGAAAGAAGCUGCUCAAGAUUUGGGUCGCUUGCUUGUAACUUCUUGAUCACAUUGAGCGUCUCUGUGGCGUUGCCUAUGCAUAUGUCAAGCAAGAUUUUCGCUAGCCCUUUGACAUCUUUGGCGCCGGCGCUACGAGGGUCUGAUCUGAAAAUUGGCUCGCACAUCGAAACCGAAUAUGAUUUCUUGCAUGUUUCCGUUAUUAAAUCAGCUUGAACGACUUGGUCUGCGAACAUGCAAAUGAGAAGAAAUGUCGUCCACGCCCACGGGUAAAGGGUUUUGUUUUCCAUUUUCAAGUGCUUCAAAUAUCUAUAUAUGUUUUAUGUUAGAAAUUGGCGUACCGUAUAAUUUAUGAAUUAAAGAUAGAGAGCAAAAUCAUAUAUAAGCAAAGUUAGCUGUAGAUGAGAUUUUUGGUAUACAAUAUUUUACAGUCCAUAUAUGCAAAUUGUAAUAGAUUCCACAAUUCUGUAUCUACCAAAAAUUAAAGAUUUCAGAUACACUUUACUUUUUACAAAGAUAGAAGCUUGUUUAGCUCCUAUAUUAUGAAGUUAGUGCCUAUUUAAUCCCUAUAUUUUUUAAAAUAUUUCAAAAUAUCCCUAUGUUAAAUUAUUGACACCCCUGCCAUUACUUUUUAUUUCUUUGCGUUGUUUUUACAAUAUUACCCUCUUACAAUAAUAUUUUUUUACAUUAAUAAAAAAAUAAAUUACCAAUUUAACCCAAGAAAAUAAAAUAUAAACAAAGAAAAUAUAUAUUCAUUUUCUUUUUGCUUUUAUUUUGUUUUAUACAAAAAUUAAUAUAUUGACUCCUCAGCAGAGUGUUCCACAAAAAUUAAUAUAUAUUAUUUUUAUUUUAUUUUAUUUUUGGAGUUAAAUUAGAAAUUAGGAAAUUUAAUUUUUUUAUUAAUGUCCAAAAAAAAAGAAAAAUUAUUGUAAGAGGUUAAUAUUGUAAAAGUAAACAAAAUGAACAAAAAGUAAUGACAAAGGUGUCAAUAGUUUAAUGGCAUUAUGGUAGGGAUGUUUUGAGGUAAUGACAUUAUGGCAUUAUGACAUUAUGACAAGGGAUGAACAAAAAGUAAUGACAAUUGUGUCAAUAGUUUAAUGGCAUUAUGGCAGGGAUGUUUUGAGGUACUUCUAAAAAAUAUAGACUAAACGAGCACUAACUUCAUAAUAUAGAGUCUAAAUGAGUUUUUACCCAUUUUACAAUCUACUCAGUUUAUUGACGAAAAAUAAAAUCCACAAUUUUAUACCAUAUAAUUUAUAUAGAUAGAGAUAAUGAUUAUAUAUAGUAAAGUUAGUUGUAUAUGAGAUAUUUGGUAUGCAAUAUUUUAAAGUCCAUAUCUGCAAAUUGUAAUAAAUCCCACAAUUUUGUAUUUAUGAGAGUAUCUCAAAUGUUUAUCUUUCAUAGAAAAUUUUCAAUGCUCCUCAUUAUCAAAAUAUAGACAGUCAAAUAAACCAAAUAGAUUGCAAAAGUGAAGUGUUAACUUGGGAAUCAAGUUAGAGACUAGAUUUAGCAUUCAACUGCAAUCUUUUGUUUCUAAUUGGGAAAAAUGACACUAUCACCUUCAUGGUUUGAUGAAACAAUAAUGCUAUUCGUACUUAAUUAGGAUAUUUAGUUUGUAUCUCAACUAAUGUGACAAAUGAUGUGUCAUUAUCUGAUUGGUUCAAAUGAUAAAUAAUUAUUAUACUUUAUCAUUUUUAAUUUAAAUAAUGAAUUUCUAUUGUUGAUGCAAUGGUUGGGACACAAAGUAAAUAUUCCAACUAAGUUAACUUAGGAUCACUCUUGAUAAAAUGGUCAUGAGACCCCAUGUUUUUAUAAAUAAUCACAAAGACACCUUUAUGGAUACACAUAUUCUCUUUUAGACAAACUAUGGAGGUCUUUUCCAACAUGUUUUUGAACAUAAAAGGGGGGUUUGUAGGUGAUUUGUACAAUCAUUUCCAAGCACAAAGAAGGAUUCAUGUGUCUUAAACAAGAGUUUGUGAGACCAUUUCUAAAAAAAUAAGGGAAUUUCCGUGAUCAUUUUCUCAAACUAAAAGGGUUGUUGGCGUUCUUUUUCCUUUUAAAUAACACGAAGAUUUGUAGGAAUUUCACAGCAUUGGCUGUUAAAAAUCUUAUACAGGACACUCGUACUAUGUCUUUGGGCAUAAUUAAUUUAAGGCCAAGAGAUGAAAAACAAAUAAAGAAUAAUAAUGACGUUUCAUAUCAUCAUUAGUGAGAUAAUUUCCAAUUCAAUUUCAUAACAUUAAAUUACUAAUAAACGAAUGACAUAUAAUAUGGUUCAUCAUCGAUAUAUUUUUGAAUCUCAACUUUUUAAGUAGACAAUUAGUCGUAAGUAAUAAUAUUCUACGCAUAAUUAUAGCCUAUUUAUACAGAGGUGGACUAUUAUUGGGUUGGGCCAGCCCGUCUCUAUCUGGAAAUGAACAAAUCGAGCUGAUCAUUAGUGCAAGAGCCCUAGGCCGGUGCUGGCCUCACAUUUUAGGCACAAUAAGUACAUACAUAUACAGAUGUUGAAUUUGCUACAAUACAAUUAUCUCAUGAUAUCAUUAAACCAAAAGCGUUAUAUCAAUGUUUCCUGCGACAUUCUACAGUAACAAUGUUACUAAAUGUGACAUCGCUAAUCGUAAUUAAGACCAAAAAAAAAAAAAAACUCAAUACUUAUUGAUGGUGUAUACUUCUAAAUAACUUGCAAGACAUUUUUUGCUUCGAGGCCGAAUCUCUCAUACUGUGAGAGUUUCUGCUGCUGCUGUCUGCUGAUGUUUAAGCUUGGGCUACAAGGAUUUUAUUUCGCCCGACGCUGGCGACAGAUCGUAUCUUGAGAGACUACCAAACCGACACAACUGCUUGUUCUAACUAAAACAGACGACAACUCGCUUAUUUGUUUGAUAAACAAACGACAAGCAUAUAGGUCUUGCACCAGGGUAAAAAUUAUGCGAUACAUCGUGCUUUUUAACGGCGAACUAGGGAUGGCAAUGGGGAGGGGAGGGGAGGGGACCAAUCUCCCCAUACCCAUUCCCGAUAUUUUGUUAUGUCCCCGUCCCCUCCCCGUCCCCGUCAGAAUUAUUUAAGUGAAUCCCCAUCCCCUCCCCGAAUAAUAACAGGGGAUCCCCGAGGGUCACCGGUCCCCGAAUAAUUAAUAGUCUAAUACAUUUUUUUAUUUUUGAUUUUAAAUUAAUCAUAUUAAAAUAAAAAAUUCAGAUAAAAAUAAAGUUCAAAAUAUAUCUUGCAUUAAUAUUGAUCCUUUUCAAAGCCACAUUCAAAAUAUAAAUUAUUAAAAUAAUUAUCUUUGUCAAUGACUCAAUCUUCAUAAUCCUACAAUAACAAGAAAAAAAAUUAUUUUUAUAUCGGCAAUAAAAUAAAUGUAGAUACUUAAUUAAUAUUUUUAAUAAAACUAUUUACCUCCUACUCCUCCUGUUCUUCCUCGAGAAAUGUGGCAAAUUGAGAGCUAGCCUCAGAUUUCAAACCUAAAACAAUGAAAAUGAUAUAAGUAACGUAACUUAUAAGCGCAAAUAUUAAUAACUGUAUAAUAUAAUUACAAUGUAAAAUAAACUCAUACUGCUAUUGUAAGCUCGUAACCAACUUUGACAGCACAUUAAGGCCUCCAAUGUGCUUGGAUGAAGUUUGUUACGGUGUGAGCUCACAAUUCUACCACUGGUGCUAAAAGCUGAUUCAGAAGCAACUGUUGUAAUUGGAAUUGCCAAAAUAUCUCUAGCAAUUCGAGCUAAUGUAGGAUACAAAUUAGGAUUAGAACUAUUGUAAAUUAUAAUUAGGCAGCUCUCUCCUAUAUCAUUGUGGUUUGGAUUAAAAAUUUAAGACUUUAAUUAGUUAAUUAAGUUUAAAAGUUUAAUAAUAUAACUAUUUUAAUAUUUAUUAUUUUUAACAAUAUUUAUAAUUUUGUUAUUUAUUUAUUAGUAAUUUUAAAAAUAAAAAUAAAAUUAAAAAUUAAAAUGGGGAAAUGGGUAGGGGAUGGGGAUUCCACCUCAUCCUCGUCCCCUCCCCGAAUAAAAAAUUGGGUAAAAAAAUUUCCCCGUCCCCUCCCCGAAUAAAAAAUUGGGUAUAAAAUUAUCCCCGUACCCUCCCCGAAUGAGGAAAAUCCCCGAGGGUACCCGUCCCCGUGGGGAUUUUUGCCAUCCCUACGGCGAACGAUUAGUUGACUCUAUUAGUUUUUUUUUUAAUUAAAUCGUCGAAUUCGAUAAUUUUAUUUUUUUUUCAUUUUAUAAUAAAAAUUGGAUAACGAUAAAGGAAAUGAGGAUAAAGUAUAUUAUGAGGAAAAUGUCCAGACUCUUUUUUAUACUCCAUUUUAUGAGGUAGGACAUCUCAUCACCUUCUUGUUUAAUUUUCUUUUUCUGAAAAAUAAUUAUUUUACAUAAAGCAGUGGUUUACAGAGUGAUUCCCAAAACAAGCCUCACAAAAUCUGACAAUUUCAUUGAUUGAGGUUUGCUGAUGUAUACUUGAAUAUGUAACAGCACCAAAUAGCUACAUCAUUUAUCAAGUCAAAAGUGCUAUAACUCCUUGGGUUACAAAUCCUAAAUUUUCUAAAUCUUUACUCUUCUUCCAUACAGUUGAGGAGCUAUCAAAUCCCAAUGAUGCAAAGUUCUGAGCCUUCUUUGCUCCAUAACGAGCAAGCCGUGCAGCCUCCAGAAAAGAGUUCGUAUCCAAGUUCUCCAAGGAUUUUUGAAAAUAAUCUUCAGCUGCUCCUACGUAAAAACAUAGGCACAGCGAAAGAUAACCCUUCAGCUCUGGAUCAGUGGCCUCGCCUUCCAACUUUUCGAUCAACCGAAUGGUGUCUGUAGCUUUGGCUAUAGUUUUGUCCAGCAUGAUACGAGCAAGCCCUUUGACAUCAUUGGCUCUGUAACUACAACCGUCUGAUCUCAGAAAAAUCACACAAGCUUCACUCAGAAAAAAGAUUUUAUUGCAAGUUUCUUCUAUUAGAUCUGCCUGAACCAAUGUGUAAUUUUGAUUUGCACACAAGGCGAAGAUGAUGAUAAGAUAUAUUGUUGUCAAUGCACAAGGGGUCUUGUUUUUCAUUUUCGAGAGCACAUGAACUCUUUUUUUUUUUUUUUUUUUUUUUACCCUGGUUAAAAUGUCUAGGACAUCUCUUUAUAUUUUUAUGUAUAAAAGAUUAGUCUUGUGAAAAUGAGUUGGUCAAAACCAAACGGUUGUGGCUCAGUUGGCGACGCAGGCUGGGUAAGUGGGAAGAGCUCUUGGCUUUGAUCCCCACUAAACACACUAUUUGGGAGGGGUAAAGAGCCUUAACUGUGACUACACCCCGAAUCCGAAUUAGUCGAGGCCCAAUGCGGUCGUCGGAAAUCGGAUGGUUUAAACCAAAAAAAAAAAAUGAGUUGGUCAAACAUUAUCAAAUAUCUUUCUAUAAUUGCCAUUCCUUGAUAAGGUUACAUUGAAUGCAAACAUAUAUAAAUGUUAGUAAAUUCAAAAUACAUUAAACACAUAAUAAGAGUGGAUAACCACCACUCCUUUGACUAAUAGUUGUAAUUUCUUUGUCUGAUUAUUGAGGUCGAGGAUUUAAGUCUUUCAAUACGUGUUGCGAAGUAGAUUUUUUUUCUUUGUUUAGAUACAGAUCGUUUUGACCAUCGAAUCGACUUGAACAUGCCUUCAUCAAGACGAGUCCAAAUAGAAUUAUGAUGAAAUUAUUUUUAGAAAUUCAUUUCCUCUAUUCAAAAUUAAAAUUUAUUUAAUUUUCACUUCACACAGUUACCUAAAAUGUAUAAUAUGACCUUACUAUUGCAAGUUUUUAUGAAGACAUGUUUUAUUCAACGAACCCAUUAAAAUGCAUUAAAUUGAACCAAAAGAAAAAAGGAAAACUCAAAGGUAACAAUAGCAAUAUGUCUGAUUAUUAUAUGUUUGGACAUUAGUAUUAUUUAUUGGACAGCAAUCACAGCCAUUUAUUAUAGAUCGCACAUUUUCAUAUAGAUUUAUUAGUGCAGGAAGUAGGAAAUAUUAUAAAUAUGUUUGGACGCGUGUGAUUUUUUUUAUCAACUCUGUGAUAGGCAAGCGCAGGAUAUCAGCUUUGUUGAAAGAGUAUUUUUCGAAAAUGCUUGUUCUGUUUUUAUCGCGGCACAAAGAAAAUACAUGUCGCCAUAAGUACCAAAAAAUAUCAUUCAUAAUUCCUUACUGAUUAAAUUCAUUGAAGAGGGCUUGUUAUAAGACUGUAACAAAUAGUUCAGCCAUUAAAUCGAGAGUUCUAUGUAAAUGUUGCCAAUGGAAAAGGAAAAUGGUUCUGUACAUUUCCAAGUUUUGUUUGUUGUAGCAAGUUUUGCUUUGAUUGGUCUCUUCCUUGUGGUCAGGAUCAGAGAAACCUGGACAUGAGUGAGAACUAUAGAAAUUUCUCAACGAGGGUUCGGCCCUUUAUUAGAGUAUGAGAACGCUAUUUAAGCUGCAGAUCUCUCUAAUUGAUCACCUUGCUUCGUGUUUUAUCUAUCUCCCUUGGAUUGUGUCUUGUAUUUUUGUUCAUGUUGCGUCUCAAAUCAAUUUGACAGAAAAUGAUUUCCAAUGCUAACAGAUAUAUUUUCCAGUCAUAAUAUAACACAACUCAACAAAUGUUUUCAUCUAUCUAUAAAGAUACAAUUUCUGGAUACAUUGUUCAUAAAUCUAAUAACAAGGACAAAUUGUCAUCAUCAUACAUAAAGAAUUAAAGAAUAAAUGCAACUUGACAUCAAUAAUGAAAGCCUAGACCUGACCUGCAAAGAACUGAAAUCAGUAUGAAUGAAGCUACUGUAUUCAUACAAAUGACCCUAUCAGGAUUUAAAAAUCUUAUCUGCAACGAAAGAAUGAAAGAAUAAUGACAGAUUUCUCUACCUACAAAGAAUUUUAGUGUCUCUUUCUGUAUGCUAGGAUGGAAUGAAAACUAAUGGUGUGUGUAUGAAGAAAAAAGAAACCCCGCAGCAAUCAGCUUGGCUGAGAGAAUGAGGAUGAACCGCCUGCAACAUCAACAGGUGCCCACGCUGAGACUGUAUAAAGAGGCUGAUCUAUCCAGCUUAGGGUAAGUGCCGCUCCAUCCUGUCCUUGCUUCUUAACACCAUAAUUCCCGCAAGAGUACAUCUUCAGUAGCAUUUGACUCUGAAGCAUCUCCCUCUCGCUGAUCCCCAUGCAUCGAAACCCUCCUUGCUCCAUCAUCCUCCUCCAGUUCUCAAAACUCUCGUGCCUUUCUAACCGGUCACUUCCUUCGCAAGCAACAAUACUUCUAACUUCCCUUGCAAACAUCUCUUCUAUCUUGAUCCUAACUGGACUGUCUAAUGGGAGAGAGUAAUCGAUCAAAUCAAAUAAAGCACUGUAGUAUCUCAAUGAAUUGGAAACUCUGGUCUCCAAGAAAGGGGAAUUGUGCUCGGCUUCUUGCUCUGCCAUAAGGACUAUUGUCGGGUUUGUGCUCCGAAUAAGUCCCAAAAAAUCCCUGAGUACUCCUCCAUUCCCACUAUACAGCGUCUUAUGCAACUGAAAGAUACAAUUCACCGCCACGCUCUCCUUCUCCUUCACAUGAAGCAUCCACAGCCUCACAUCUUCUAACCUGUCCACAACCGGAUGGAACUCGAAAGGCAAAUUCAGUGCCUCAGCAAAUCCGGAAAGCCUAUCUCCCGUUUCGUUUAAUUCUUGUUUGGACUCACCGAUACCAGUGAUUCUAACAUGGCUUGGAGGGUUAGGCCUGCAGGCUAGGCUCUGAAAAAAACUAGGCCACUGAAGUCCUUGCUUAAUGUCAAAAUCAAUGAUGUGAACCCUGUCUUUCCCGUCAAAAGCUCUCAGCAGCAUCUCAUUUGCUGUGAAAUGAAUGAAUUUCGGAAUUGGAGUCGCCUGGUUCAAAAGCCUCAGUGCAGCCCCCGAAUCAUCAUCAACCCGAUCAAAAUCUCGAGGAGGGGUAAUAUGAAAAGUAUGAGGCCAAAGCCUUGAGACACGAAGAGCCAAAGCUUCAGUGUAGUAAGCUGUCAGGCGACUAAUAGGGCUUCCUCUCGGAGAAGCAACAUCACCCAACUUGGCAAUAAAAUGGUUGACAGCAGGGAUAUUCCUCGACCCAAUUGCUUCCACACAAUCUGUAAGUAAUCUGACAAGCUCAAAUCCAUUCUCCCCUUGGUUGGUACCCUCCUCGCUAGCUUCCACACCACCUUGAUGAGGAUAUGGAUUCCUAGACCCAUUACCAACAUCAUGCUCCACAGGAUUCUCAUGUAGCCUAAGAGCCAAGCUCCCACUCUCUGAUGAGGUACUUGAAGCCGAAACCUCCUUUGCCAACCUAUGGCUAGUCUCAUCACCAUCUUUUUCACCCAAAUCUGUGAUCUCAGUUAUAACCGAUUCCACCCAAGGAUUGUUUGACAGUGGCAAAGGUGGUGAAAUAAAUUCACCAGGCACAUAACAAACCCUGUCUUUCUCUCCUGAGCAGGUCAAAGUAAAAGGAACUUGAGGGACAUUUUGGCCUGUGAAACUUGGCUGAAACCAAAAGUUCCCGGUACCCAAUUGACCUAAACUCAAACUAUCACCACCACCUUCAUGAAUAUCAUCAUUUUUCCCAUCAUUAUCACCACUGCUACCCUUUUUCCUUUUAGCCCUGUUAAUGCAAGACUCGUCAACCAAACCUCCUUCUGCAAACCUCUUCAGACUCUUACCCUUCUCCCAAAACUCAUCUUUGAUCUCCCUCUGCGUGCUCGUUGCCAAAGGUGGAAGACGGACGUUCUGUUUGAGAGAACAAGCGCUUGUCUUAGGCUCAAUUGGCUUCUCUACAGAGAGGCCAACAGGCCUGAUGGGCUGGGAGCGCGACGAGUCUUUUCGAGAAAAGCUACAUGGCAAGUCCAGUCUCUGUGUGCUCAUUGACGGCAACUGAAAAUGGCAAGCUGGAAAUUGUGCAGAUGCUUCACUCCUCAAUCGAUGCCUCGGUGACAACAAUGUGGAACUAGAACACCCAGCCAACAUCCUCUAUAUCCUUCCUAUUUUCAAUCUUUUUGUGUUUUGUUCUUUUCAACUUAAAUUCACCCACCCAACCUAUUUUCUGUUCAAACUUCCUAUCUCUCUUUGGUUCUAUAAUUUCUGUAUUAGCUAUGCAAUGUAUGAGUUUUUACUGUGCAAAUUCUUAUAUGUUUUGAUAUUAUGGCCUAGGAGGUAAAUGUAACAAUAUAAACCUAGAGAGAUAGACUAAGUGAGUGUGUGAAUUUUCAAGAACUGAAACAACAGGAAUCCGAUGAAUAAACAAAAUUAAGAAAAAGAUAUGUAACAAAUUUCAGUGUUCCUAUAUGAAUAAGUGUGCAAUGAAUGAUCAAGAAUAUGCUUAAACAAACAAUGGAAAAAAGAAAAAGAAAAAGAAAGAAUUAUCCCACCCCCAAAAGAAUCAAAGAAUCCAAUACUAAAUCAAACACCUGUAAUAAAACAAUCAUCGGAUUCCACAACAUUCACAAACAACUCAUUGUUUCUUCACAGACGAAUGCAAAUUGUGGAAGGAAGCAGAAUAAACACAUACUUGCACAAAAUGGUAGCUGAAACUCAUAAAAAAACUCGACAGCCAGAACAGCAUUUGAAGCCAACAACAACUCCAUGGUAGCUAAAGAGCUGAAUCAAACACAAGUAAAACAAACAAACCCCAGCCGAUCAAAAGGAGCAGUUGAAUUCCAUACCUCUCUCAAACACACUCGCUCACUUCCCAAAAGAACCAUAACCCAUGAACCAUUUGUGUUUUUAUAUACUAAUACAAUACCAAUCACCCUUUUUGUGUUUCUUCUUUUUUGGUUUGCUCUACUAAUACACUAACUCUGUACUAUAAUGUGUAAAACUAUACUGUAACUAUAAAGCCUAUUAACUACCACUUCCAAUGGAGGCUGUCUUGAUCAUUGCUCUUUUUAGGUCCUGUCUCCUUAGUCUUUGAUAUGAGAAAAAUGAAAAGGAGGAUGUUCGAGAAAUCUAUGGGGAACUUCGUUUCUAUACCGUUGGAUUUUGAUCCGACGGCGGAGAUCGCGAAUCUAAGUGACCGUUGGGAUAUGUCGGUGAAAUAUGACCGUUGGGGGAGAGAGUGAGGGGGGGGGGGAGAGUGGGAGUUGGUGUACGGACUCGGUUUUAUUCUUUUAUCUAGGGGGAGAAAAUAGGGCUCCCUAUUGCGUUGCCGUUCACGUAGGAUGCACGUGCCUGUCUCCUGAUAUCCGUUCACUCGACCGUUGGGUUACAUCAUCAAUUUUCUUUUUUUCUUUUUUAAUGUUUUGUUUUUUUGUUGGUAAUUGGUAUCAGUACUUGCAUUUUUUCUUUUUCUUUUUGUUAACUUCCUUAACUUUUCCACUUUAAGAAACGUGGCGCAUAACAAGCCGCCAUUAGAGAGAAAAAAUAAAAAAAAGUUAGAUUUUCUGAAGUGUGAUUUGACCGAACUACGACUGAGGUUUUUGGUCUUUCUGCGUGGAAUAACAAUCUGCCACGUGGAACCAGGAAUGGCAUCCUCUUUUGUUCUUGGACUUGAGCUCAGAGUACUUUAGGCCCACAUGUGGCUUCAAGAAAUCGUUUGCCAGAGAAGGGAAACAAAUUCAGGCGAACCCACAAUAGGAGUAACUAAUUCGGAUGUUUUGCUUUGCUUUUUGACAGAUCUUUUCAGGAUAUCCAUAUUUUAAAGUGAGGAUAUAUAUAAAAAAAAAAUCAUAUAUUUGAAGGUAUUGAAAAAUGUACUUUUUUUUAGUAAUACAUUAAAAUAUUUUUUAUCUAUUAAUAACAUCCUAACUUUAUUAAAAUAAAAAUAUUUUUUGUUAAGAGAAAAAUUACACACACAUAUAUAGUUUGUGAAUUCUAAUAUAUUAUUGAAGUUAUUUUAUUUAACAAAAAUAAUAUUGGAAGUUUUGCAAAUUUUCAAAGUUACUUUGUUACAGCCUAGUGAAAAAAGAAGAAAGGGUAUCUUACAACGAAAGGUGAAAAUCAUGAUUGCACGCAAGUAAAUUUGUACCCCUUUUGUAGCCAUCUUCCAACGGUUGAAGAGGGUAAAUAAUCCUUUUGCUAAAAUUGGUGAAAGUUCUAGGAAGCUAUAAGUGCUAACAAAAUGCGGUAGAAUCCAAACAAACGCCAAGCGCCGAUAGCUAAUGGUCAAGCAAAUUGAAUCAAAGAUCAAGAAGUCACUUAAUUCGCCGACGAUCUGCUUGUUUGCUAUUUGUCAUCUUGUAUUUGUUGUUUUUAAAUUAUUACUUAUUGAAGUGUUUAGUUCCGUCCUGGGCACUUAUCUUUGAGAUGAAUAAUCAUUCUAUACACAAUAGUUCAAGGCAAAAUUUCAAUCAUAAAUUAAAAAAAAAAAGUCACAUUAAAACUCAUAUAUGUUAAGAAAAUAAUAUUUAAAUGGAUGGUAAAGACACAUCUUAAUUUAUGCAUGUAAAUAAGAUAUAAAAUUUAGCGGGGGUCCUGUAUAGCUGCAGUAUAGCUCCUUCGGCGUCCCACACCUCAUUCACCAAAUUGUAUCUAAAUAAACUAAAUUAUAACUUUCUACACAAUGGAGUCUAGACCAACUCCAGAAACAAAGCUUCCUGCUUGCUCGUCAGCCCAAGUUCAUUGAGAGUCAAAGCACUCUCCCCAUCACUGAAAGCACGCCUUGGGUAUGGCCUCACCUAUUGAAGCAAUUACACUAAAUAAUUCAGAAUUACAGGUCUCUUAUCUGUAAAUCACCUCAAUUAAUCCGUGGGGAAUAAUUGAAUAAAUUUAAGGUAGAAUAUGGAUGGUUUGAACAUUACCAGUCUGUAGGUGCCUGCUUUGAUUCCUCUACCAACAUCUAUAUAGUCAAAAAGAGACUGCAAAGAAAUAUUUUUCACAAUGAAGUUGUUGGGCAGAGGGACAAAUUGAAAGUAAGCAGAUUUUCUACACAGAUCUUACCUGCAGCUUGUUGGACUUGAGGAAUCGGCGACCACGACGACUGCCAUCUGGCAUCCGCACCAGAAGGGUCACAGCAUUUUCAUCAUCUGGGGCUGGCUCCUGAGGCAAUGACGCUUCUUUUGCUGCUAAUUGUCUUUCAUAUUCCUGCCAGCAAAAAGGUCAUUGCGCAUCUGUGAACUGUUUAAAACUAUUUAAAAGUAACAUCCACUCCAAUAGACAAAACAUACAAAUUCAGAAUGGUACUUCUUAGCUGGAUUUAGUUAUGUCCACCAUAAGAUAAAUAGGUCUAUGAAACAGAAGACUUUCAACUACCAAAGACCAAAUAUGUGGUUGAUGUACCCAAAGAAUAAAUAAAUAAAGAAAAAGGGUCAAAUGCAAAAACUUUCAAUACUACUAGAUAAUACUAGCAACAUGAGAAAAUAAAAAAAGGAGAAAAAAACAGUUUGACCAUGAAAAGGAAAAAAAUAAUUCAAUAACAAAGUACCUGCUGCUCCUCCAUUUUCCUACGGGUUUCUUCCUCUUUUCUUCUUUCCUCAGCAAGAGCAGCAUUUCUUGCUUCUUCCUCCAUUAGACGGCGAGCUUCAGCUUUUUCUCUGUCUGCUUGCAAUGAUGCAAGAUAUUCAUCAUCCUGCACGAGUGAAGUACGCAGCAGUUCAGUGACACCACAGACAGAAAUUAGAACUUUAUUAUUUGGUCUUGAGGCCCAAAAUUCAGACCUGCUGCUCCCGUAUCAGGCGCUGAGCUUCCAAUGAGGGUGAUGGAGGACGAGGUACUCGCCGAGGAUAAGAGCCCUCAGGUUGCAUGUACUGAUGAGGUGCAUACGGAAAACGGUAUCCACUUUCAGGUAUUCCACCAAACAUUGCAGCCUCAAGCAUAACUGCUUCAUCAUGCUCCUCGGAAGAGAUGCCACCCCACUAAUUUAGUCAAGUGAAUGUGUCAAAUAUAUUAGUUGGCAUAAAAUUUUGGGCUAAGAAUAAUAAACAUAUGUGAGUUGAAUUUCUUGUUGAACUUUCUCGAUAAGAAAUAUGCAGGGAAGAUACCUCAUCUGAAGGAAAUGCAUUUCCGUUGUGCUGUGGUUGAUUGCUGACAUCAGGCUGUCCAGGACUUGGAGGUGAGCUGACCUCAGUAACCCCAACUUCCUUGUCAGAUUCCCCAGAACCCGAAGACGUAUGUAUGGACCUAUGCCUAACAAGAGGCUGCUCCUCCACAUCUUCAGUCUCUUCUUGGAUGGAUAAGCUUCCUCCCUCCAACCUAAGUUGAACAAGGUAUCCUCAUAAAAUUCUUGCCUCAAAGAGCAGAAAACACAUCAAAUAAGUAUAAAGUAUAAAUCACCACCCUUCGCUAUGGCCAGGACAACAGAAGGAUGCCACAUGCACACACAAUCAGUAAUCAGAGAACACACAUAACACCAAAAUUAACAGUUCAAAGAAUACCUCCCAUUUGAUGUUGCCACUUUUCCCAGCUCCAUCUCAGAUGGCUUGGAAGCUCCUGCUACUGAUGCCCCAACAUCCCCACCUAGCUCACGCUGUGCUUUCUCUUGCUCUGCUGUCUGAAUCCAGUUAUCCAGUUCUUGUAAAGUGAGAAAAAUGAGGCGCUUGUGAAGGAAAGAUAAAUGUAAAACAAAAGCUUACCCUUAAUGACAAUGAAACUGCAUGUGCCAGAUCGACAUCCUCCAAGUGUGGUUGCCUAUGCUCAGUCCCAGCACCACUAACAUUCUGCAUUAAGAAGAAAGUGAUUUAGUGUCUAUUGGUACCAAAAUCAAGAAAACAAUGUAAAUGACAAAUGGUACUGAAACAUUCAUAAUGUGAAUCAAGCUGUUGUUUAGAAGCCUAUACCUCAGCCUCCUGUUUUGAGGCCUCAAUGGCAGCUCGAAUCAUUUCUUCUUCUAUGUCAUUGCUAUAGUCUGCCAAAUUAUCAAAUGCAGGAGCAGUGGGACUGCUACGCCCAUCAUUUCGCAGUGUAGACUGUGCAGCAGGAGGAGCUGGAAUAUCCUCAUCCACUUCAUCAAUUAUGGCUGUCCCUCGGUUAUCAGGGCCAUGUGUAUUUGCAGAUUCAGUGACAUCCUCGAUGGUAGGGGCAUGACCAGAUGGAUCGCCACCAUCUCUAACCUCUAUGGGGAUCUCUCUAACCUCUCUAGGAUGGGUAACAUGAGGUUCACGGCUCAUAAAAUCAGAGGCACCAUCAAAGAACCUUCUACGACUGCUUGGAUCAUGCAGUGAGAAAGGAUUUAAAGUUCUAGAUCCAGAUAGAAAUGAGAGUGGAGGCUCUCGGGGCAUAGAUUCAAUGGGAUCAUCUAUGUCCAUAAAAUCAGUUUGAGGUGCUGGAACAGAUGAUUGAUGGGUGCUGAAAAUUGCAAAUCGCAUAAAGGCGUAUCAUUAAUAAAUAAAAAAUUUAAGAAGACUAAGAAUUUUAAAAGAUGGAACAUAAAAUUAGAUGUUAUUUCUGAUAAAAACAUUAUUUUCUAAACACGUAACAACCGGGAGGAGAGGAGUCAACUGCAUAAGAUGAGUAAUAGAAAUUAAAAAUGUAAAGCAUUUCUUCUUUAUAAUUCAAUAAUAAUUAAAAAUAACAAAGAGGGCGCAUAAAUGGGAAAACAAAUCAAUUCAAAGGAAGAAUGACAGACGCGUUCAGAGACGUGUUUCUAUCUCCUUCGCUAAAAUGUGCAUUCACAGCUGCAUUCAGAUCACCACUGUGCUCCUGAUUUCAAGGAAGAAUAACAGAUAAAUCAGCAGUAAAGAAAACUAAAUUUGAGCAAACAAUUCUACAAGAUUACUAUCAGGCACACAGCCGUAGCCGUACAAGUAUCCAUCCUCAAAACAAAAGCUAACCCCAAUGGGCAGCAUAAUACCAAGCACUUAGCUACUCCAGAGAAUUUACAAUGUGCAGGAAAUUUUCUUGCUGUAAUCUUGGCAUUACUCAUAUUGGACUAGCAUUCAUCCAUCUGACAAAUAUGCCGUCCAAAUAUAACCAAAUUUGGCAUACGUCAGCUCAACACAAUUCUUCCACAUUUGCACUUUAAUUUAUUAAAAAAAAAUCUAUUUAAAUUCUUCACCAAGCCUAGUUAUAAACAAUGAAUUUUGUUUCUUAGAUUUUAUUUAACUCACAUGGUUCCAUGCGGGUAUUAAAUGAACAAAGAGUACUCUGAUCAACACAAAAAACACUAAUGUUCAUUCAAAAAUGGCACAAGAACAAGUACAGCCAAUGAUAUAUGUAAACAAACAUAAAAGAAGUACCAAUCAGAGUAACAAAUUCCACAUUAAUUUCAUUUCUAAUAAACUUAAACUCAAGAACCAAAAACAAAAUUCACCAAUUUCAGAGAACCUAAAAUAAUUCUCCUACAAAGGUUUAAAUAUUACGACUUUUAUCAAUAUGUAAAGUGAAAACCCUAAAAUUAAAGCAUUGGUCAUCAUACAUCUACGAAAGUUAAGCAAAUUAAAGUCCAAAAAUACACGAAAUACAAACAUUAACCCUAGUUUCGCGUAGAUUACAUCAUCAAUCAACUGAAAAUCAAUUAACUCCACAAUUGCAAUCAAAAUACAUAAAAAGCGAAUAAAAAUUCUGAAAUUUAGCUAAAAAUUACAGUUUUUUUUUUUUAAUAUACCUCUAGCUUUUGCACCGCGACCGAUUCAGUGGCACCUGUGAUGCUAAUGAAGGUGUCGAUUGCUUCUUGAUUAGGUCUCACCAUUUUCCGGGAAAAUUUUUAUUUUAAUUUUCUUUUUGAAGCUUAAUUGUUUUAAGCCUUUUCACUGUUCCGCUGUUGUGUUCUUUCUUUUAUAGAAAGAAAGAGCAGAAACAGAGAUAAAUAUAUAUGUGUUGAAAUUUAGGAACCUUAUAUAAGGUAGCGUUUGGGGUAUGGGUGUUUUUGUAAUUUGAAUACUUCUCCAAUGUUCUAACUUCUACGUUUCCUUUUAUUGAGAGACGGUCUGCCCGUUAACUUACGGAGGUGAGGUUGGUAUCGCCUAAUGAUAAAAUCACUUAUUAAUGUGAUCGUGUUAAUUAAAUUUUUAAUGCCCAUUAAUUAGUGAUAUUUAGAAUAAUUGACAAUCUAUAAUCUCAAUUCUUAGAAGAUCUUCGUAGUAUGUGCAUACAUAUACAUACACACACAUAUACGCACACAAAUAUAUAUUAGAUUAUAAUAAUACUCCAUUUAUGAAUAAAAAUAUCAUGAAUAGAAACUAUUAAUGCACAUCACUCGCUUCAUAUGCUACAUAAAUUGAAAUACCAAGUUUAUAAUUCGAAAUAAUUAUUAUUAAUUGUGUUGUAAAAAUAAUCAGUUACAAAAAAUAAUAAAAUAUUCAGUAAAACUUAUUUUCAAAAUUACUACGAGUUUUAAAAAUAAUUAUAUGUGUUUGAUAAAUCUUACGUUAAAUUGUUUGAAGAAUACAAAUGACUGAAAUAAUCAUAAUGUUAAAUACAAUUUUUUUUUUUAAGAUGAUGCUGUUUGGACCCACGAAAUGCUCUUUUCAGCCACAUUUUAAUUAUUUUUUAUUAUUAAAAUAACCAUAACAUAAAAUUACUUGUGCAAUAAAAUCACUUAUGAUAUGGGUAUUUUCGUAAUAAAAUACUAAUUAAAAUCACUCGUUCAUUAAUAAUUAAAAUAAGAAAUUCUUUUUAGAAAAAUGAGUUUUAAUUCAAUUUUUAAAUUUUUAAAUUGAUUUUAAGAAUCAAUUUUUUGGGAUUAAAUUGUUCCACCUAAUAGAAAUGUAUUGAGAAAAUUAUCGUUGUAACACUCUUCAACAUUUUUAAAAACUAGCCAUAAAACAUUUUAGUGCCAAUUUGAAGUAUGUUGAGUUUAAUGAAAUCAUCAAAUAAAUGAUAUUAUAUGUAUAAAAUUCCCCGUUGGCCUGAAUAAAACGUAUCUCUAUAAUAAAACUUUUAAUUAUACUACGGAUCUUAGUUUUUAAAGACUCAUAAACCAUAUUCAAAAGAAAAAUAAUAUAUGUAAACCAGCAGAACAAUUAAAAAUAAAAAAUAAAACAGGGCUAAUUAGUACAUUAAUAUCAGAUUAUUUUUUAAAAAAUUGAGUGUUGUGCAAAAUCUAAAUUUUUUUUUUAAUUUUUUUUUUCUCUUAUGAUUCAUAUUUAAGUUAUUAAUCAAAUAAAAUUAUUUGAGAAACAAUUCAGCUAGGCCCUUGGUCUAGUUUAUUUAUUUUGUUUCAAACGGUUACAAUCUAUAGUUAUACAAUAAUAAUAAUGUUAACGAUCUCCAUAAUUGAGCUCAAACCUAAGUUCUAAUACUAUAUACCACCUAUAUAUUAAAUGAUGAAUGUAAAAAUAAUUUUAAUAUUUAAUAGAUAAAUGUGACAUCAGAUUAAGAAAAAGACUCCUACCAACAUUAACCAUACAACUACAAGAGGUCUAUUUGAGACUUUAAAUGCAUACACAUUUAUUUUCUUAUGUUUUUUUUUUUUUUUGGUUUGAAGAGAACUAUUGCUCAUGAUAUUUACACCAUACAAAUUACUGAGACCCGUUUACAUCAGUUCUAGAUAGAAUUUCAUAAGAUAUGAUUACACUAGAUUAUAUUUAGCACUAUCUUGUGUUUAGCUUGAACUUGAUUAAUUAAAUAUUAAUUUAUUAACUAUUAUAUUUUAAAAUUUUAUUUUAUUUAUAACAAUAAAAUGUUAAAUGUAAAUUUUACAUUAUCAAGUCGAAUUCACGUUGUCGUACCCAUUAAUUUUAUUGAAUUAUUUUUUUAACAAAGUUGGAAAAAAAAAAAAGAAAAAAGAGAAAAUAAAUCUUUGGUCUUUGAUGAAUGAUAUGUAGUUCAUAAAUUUAUAACAAUAUAUGAAAUAUGGAUGACACAUUGGUUAUAUAUUCAGGCAUAAUAUAAAUGAUAUAUAUCGUAAAGUGUUUAUUUCGGAGUAAAAAUUAUACGACAUUUUGUUCAUAAACCUAUCAUCCAGAUGACACACCUUACAUUAAUACAUUUUAUGGAGCAUGAAUGACACAUUGUAAAUUGUAUGAUUUGUCGUUUCUAUAUUCAUCAUAUAGAUGACAUGGCGGUAUACUUUCGAAGAGAAGAAAUCUGUAGCAAAGUAACAAACAAACGUGGCCUCGAGCAAAAAGCUAAACGACGCUGAGAGUGUCGUUUCUACCGCGCGAUUCAAACGACGUCGUUAUGGUUGCUGUGUUCAAAUGGCUUCUUCCCAGUGUCGUCCUCAGUCUCCUCGAGCCCAGACCAAACAUUUGCCCAAAAAUGGAGACGAAGAAAGAAGAGAAGAAAUCCAAAAUCAAGCAAACGUCAUCGUUUUGGGUUUGGGUGACAGCGUCAGUGAUCUUCAGGCUAAUCUUAAUUUAUUUCCCCAAAAAUCUCAACUUUUCUUCUCGCCCCGAAGUCGCCACUCCAGUCACCAGCAUCCGUCGUCGUACAGUCUUUUCUCUCCACCUCUCUCUAUAAUAUUUUUCACGUGCUCAAAUUCGGAAUUCGAUUCAGAUUUAUGAAUUUUUAUUCUUGUAAAUUGUGUAGUGGCUGAAGGUUAUUGGCUGAAGCAAUCAUCGAUGUCUCCAUAUGCAGGUAUGCUAUUUCCUUUUUUUUUUUCAAAUAUAUUUUUUUUGUCUGAUUUAAGGACUGCUGUUAAUUUGUUAUUGUUUCGCAGGUUCGAUGUAUCACGGUUCUCCAUUGUUACUUUCACUGAUUGGGCCACUCACUGUUAAGAGGUAAUAAUUAAGCUUACUUAAUGCUACAAUGAUAAUAAUGAUGUUAGUUACGUUCUAAACAAUGAUGAUUCGAUCAUUUAUUUUUGGAUACUCUAUUGUAUAGUGUAUUAAGCUUACUUAAUGCUACAUGGAUCAGUUUCAUUUAUUUAUUUAUUUGUUUGUUUUGGCACGAUCCAGAAUUGAAGGGCAACCAAAUCAUCUUCUAUGCAGGUAUGAAAGUUAAUCUAAGACUUUGUGUUUCAGAUUGUACUCUUACAUUUGUGCUUGAUGGCAUGAAGUAGCACUUGUUUCUACUGCCGUGCAGGAAAAUUAAAUUUUACUCCAUAUUGUCACUUGCAGUGACAAUUUUCAGUCAACAAAGUGGAUUUGUAAUGCAUUUAAAGGUUUUUGAUAGCAUUUUGGGUACAGCUGGAAGGUUUACAUGACAAUUUAUGUGUUAAUUUAUAUUAAUAAUUUUCUUCUUAGAGGUCAAGUAAAACAGGUUGAUUGCAUUUUUCGUGCAUCUACCAAAUUUAUGACUAGGCAUAGAAUGGAAGAUAAAUGUAAAACUACUGAAAUAUCUGUGAAAUGCUCUUAGUUCAAGCGGCUGAGUAGCUUCUUUGCCUUGAAUGGCCGGAUUUGGGCUCUUCUAUUGUUGUGUUGUACAUUUUUUGAGAAAUAAAAAAUGAAGUUAGUUUAGUGAAGUUUAAUAUCUUCUGAAGUUGGUUUUAAUUACCUUGAGGACCCUGAGGGUGUUUGAUCUUUGCAGUUUAUUCCCGUUUUGAAUGGUUUUCUUUGUUCUGUUCAUUUCUUUUUAAUUUUUUUCCUUACUAGUCAUGUAGUUAAACCAACACAUUUGGAUACAGCUUGCUUUUUUCGCUUGCAGAUGUUGUCAGUGCAAUGCUUAUUCGCGCUACUGGUCAGACUCUUCAGAUGUCGUCUUGUCUGAGCUUGAAAUCGCUAGACCUUGUUGAGCUGUCAAAAAAUUCAGGUAUUUUGAUAUAUAUGAUGCUAGUUUCUUUUAAAGUUUUGGUGUCCGUUGGAUCUCAUGAGAGUUUUACUUUAUUAAAAAAAAAAAGAAAUUGAUUUAGAUAAGGACCUUUGAAUUAAAAAAAAAAAAGGAAUGCUUUGAAGAAUCACAAAAAUGAAAGAUGGCUUUAAGUCCUGUGAUAAUCAACUAUAAUAUAAGUAUGGCUGAUCACAUCAUGUUAUUAUCUGGAUAUAGAAGGUGGAGGUGGAGGGCUGAUUGCUUGACUUAUGACCGAUCAGUUGCUGUUGUUUAUUUCAAGAUGUAUUUAUUAGUUCUUAAUUGCAAAUUUGAUUUAAACCGCCUACCACCACUGCUAGCUCCCCUUUCCUCACAUGUUUCUUGUUUCCUUGAAGAGAUGCUUUCUUCUGGAGAUAUUCCUGCUCUUGUGUACCUCUGGAACCCUUUCACGAUAGUAGCCUGUGUGGGCUUGUCAACAUCACCAAUUGAAAAUCUGGUUGUUAUACUAUCCCUCUAUGGAGCAUGUACAAGUAAGAAGCUCAAAGCUUUGUCUGGUACUUGGGUACUUAAUGUUUGUGCAUAUCAUUUUUACUUCCAGGCUUUUGUUGAAUCUUAUAAAUUUUAAUUAUUUAAAGAACUUCCAUUUAUUCCUUUACUUGAAAAAUAGGUUUGCAUAGAAUAAUCAUUCUGUCAUUGAGAUUGUUCUUUUAUAGAGAUUUACAGCACACAUAAAACCAUUAAAUCAGGAAACUAAAUCACUGAUUUAAGGAAAGAAUAAUUUCUUGGUAGAUUUUCCUAAAAUACAUAGAUUUGCACCUAAAUAGCUAUGUUACAGCUAAUGACUAAUUUAUAGCUAAUAUAUAAUUACAGCACAUAUAUUUUUUCUAAUUUUCUAACACUCCCGCUCAAGCUGGUUUGAAGAUAUCCUCCAUAGCCAGCUUGCCAACUAGAAAAUCGAACUGUUUUGUGUGUAGUCCUUUGGUAAAGACAUCAGCCACUUGUUCUCCAGUAGGAAUGUGCUCCAUAUGAACCAAUCCAUUAUCUAUCUUCUCCUUGAUGAAAUGCUUGUCAACCUCCACAUGUUUUGUGCGGUCAUGAAGGACUGGAUUGUGUGCUAUUGAGAUUGUUGCCUUGUUGUCACAGUACAACUUCAUAGGAGAUGAUUUUGUCGCUUUUAACUCUUCCAACAACCUCUUAAUCCACAUGAUCUCACAAAUACCAUGGGCUACAACUCUAAAUUCAGCCUUAGCACUGCUCCUAGCGACCACAUUCUGUUUCUUGCUUUUCCAUGUAACCAAGUUACCACCUACAAAUGAACAGUAUCCAGAAGUGGAUCUUCGGUCUACUAUGCUUCCAGCCCAAUCUGCGUCUGUGUAGGCUUCAAUCUGCAAGUGUCCUUGUGGUUUAAACAGAAGUCCUUUGCCCGGUGUCCCUUUUAGAUGCCUUAAAAUUCUGUAGACAGCUUCAAAGUGUGCCGGUCCUGGGGCAUGCAUAAACUGGCUAACCAUACUAACAGAGAAGGAUAUAUCUGGGUGUGUAUGGGAUAGAUAAAUCAAUCUCCCAACAAGUCUCUGAUAAUGCUCCCUAUUCUUCACAUUCUCAGCUUCUGCAGGUUGCAGCUUCACAUUAGGUUCUGUAGGGGUUUCAGCAGGUUUACACCUUAGCAUACCUAUCUCGUUUAACAAGUCAAUAACAUACUUCUUCUGAUUUACAAAAAUGUCUUCUCUAGAUCUAGCAAACUCCAUCCCAAGAAAGUAUUUUAAUGCCCUGAGAUCUUUAAUCUCAAACUCCUCAGCCAAUUUCUUUUUUAACUUUGCUAGCUCAUCACAAUCAUCCCCAGUUAACACGAUAUCAUCCACGUAUACUAUCAAGAUAGCUAUUUUACCAUCAUUUGAAUGCUUGUAAAACAUUGUAUGAUCAGCUUGACUUUGAAUAUAUCCAUAGCGCUUUAUCACCUUGCCAAAGCGCUCAAACCAAGCUCUUGGUGACUGUUUAAGUCCAUACAAGGACUUCUUCAAUCUACACACUCUCCCAUUUCCACACCUUUCUUCAAAGCCUGGUGGGGAACUCAUAUAUACCUCCUCCUCAAGGUCUCCAUUAAGGAAAGCAUUUUUAACGUCCAAUUGGUGUAAGCGCCAAUUAAAGUUAGCAGCAAGAGACAACAAGACCCUAAUUGAGUUGAUUUUAGCUACUGGAGCAAAGGUCUCUUGGUAGUCUAUCCCAUAGGUUUGAGUAAAACCUUUUGCAACAAGACGGGCUUUGUAUCUCUCGACACUCCCAUCUGCCUUACUCUUGAUACUAAACACCCAUUUGCACCCGACAACCUUUUUUCCCUUCGGUAAUUCUACCAUCUCCCAAGUAUCAUUCUUCUUCAAGGCAUUCAUCUCUUCAAACACAGCCAACCUCCAAUUCGGAUCACCAAGUGCUUCCUGAAUAUUUCUAGGCACAACAAGUUUUGAAAUGUUUGUAGUGAAAGCUCUAUAAUUGUCAGAAAGGUUUUGAUAGGAAAUAUAUUUGGCAAUAGGAUGUUUGGUACAAGUUCGGGUUCCCUUUCUAAGGGCAAUGGGGAGGUCAAGAUCAAGAUUCUGUUCAAGGAUAACAGGGGCUGGUUCCAAAAUAGAUUCAGGUGCCGAGUUCUCUUCCCUAGAAUCUUAUCGUAAUGGUAAGUUUAAGUCAGUAAUAGGAAAGGAAGAGGAAGGAACAGAAGAAGGAUUACCUGAGGCAUUUGGAUGACCAUUGCUUAGGGCUUCCGGUUGACCACGUGCUAGGAUAAUGGCCUGAUCUCUACCACCUCUAAGGACACCUUUCCUAGACUAAACCACAGGCUCAAGAUUGUUUCUAUUUUUUUCCAUUCGUAGUAUUUCUUUUUCUGUCAGACCAAUGUCAGAUUCGGUUUCUUUAGGCCUAGUUUCCAAGGUUUCUUUUUCAAAAAAUGUAUCAAGUAGUGUGCUAGGUAUGGGUUCAGCAAUUUCCCAAAAAUUUGGUUCAACUAUCUUCUCCCCCUGAAGCAAAUUUUUGGUAAAGUAUGAUGUAUUUUCCAUGAAAGAAACAUCCAUAGUGACAAAAAAACGUUUUGUAAGGGGAUUAAAGCAUUUGUAACCUUUUUUAUUGGGUGCAUACCCUAUAAAAACACCUUUUUCAGCUCUUGGAUCUAAUUUAGACCUUAGCCUCUUUGGAGUGUGCACAUAUGCUGUGCGGCCAAAUAUUUUCAAAGGUAAGUCAGAAUUGAUUCUAGAUUCUGGGAAUAUCUUUUUUAAGCAAUCCAACGGGGUGAUAUAUUGUAAAACUUUGGUAGGCAUCCUGUUAAUGAGAUACGAAGCUGUCAGUAUAGCAUCACCCCAUAGAUACUUUGGAACAUUCAUAUAAAAUAUCAUGGCUCUAGCUACUUCUAACAAGUGCUUGUUCUUACGCUUAGCAAUGCCAUUGUAAAGGAAUUCCGGCAAGAUAUUCUUCCAGCUCUGAUACCAACUUGAAAAAUAGGUUUGCAUAGAAUAAUCAUUCUGUCAUUGAGAUUGUUCUUUUAUAGAGAUUUACAGCACGCAUAAAACCAUUAAAUCAGGAAACUAAAUCACUGAUUUAAGGAAAGAAUAAUUUUUAGGUAGAUUUUCCUAAAAUACAUAGAUUUGCACCUAAAUAUCUAUGUUACAGCUAAUGACUAAUUUACAGCUAAUAUAUAAUUACAGCACAUAUAUUUUUUUCUAAUUUUCUAACACCUUUUCUAUUCUUCAUCUUUAUUCUGCCACAUUUAGUUUUUCCAUUUUAAAGAUUUUUGCAAAGAGUGCCUAUGUCAUAAACUCUUCUUGUUACUUUAGAUUUGUUUUUCUUAAAUAUUUGUAAUGGAAUAUUGAUAUGAGUUUUUGGGGCUGUUAUUGUAUGCUGAGGAUGAUGAAUGAAGAAGUGAUUUGUCUCUUUUGUAUUGAGCAUGAUAAAAUACUUUUGGAUUGCCAUUCCAUGAAUAUCACCCAUAACAAAAUGUCGCUGAUUGACAUAAGUUGAAAUUGACUUGAAGAUGUAUUACGGUGUAAUUGGGUGCAGUACCUUGUAUUCUUUUUAUUUUGUCUGUGAUUGAAUAACUUAUUUGGAUGGACCACAGGAUUGGCCCCUUUGGCUGCUUUUGGAUGGGUCAUGGGAACACAUUUAUCUCUUUAUCCUGGGGUUCUAAUAAUUCCGGUAUGGGUUUUUAUCUUUUGAUGAACAUGUCAUCUUACAAGAAAUAUGAGAAGAGCUGUUAUGAAUCUCCUUUUUGCUUAUGUGCCCCAAUCUAUUAGUGUAGUAAUUAUUGUUAAUUUUGUCCCAGUUGAUUCUUUUACUAGGAAAUGGUCCAGAUGCUCCUCCUAGGAAAUUGUUCCUGCAAAGAAGGUGCAGCAAGGGUGGAAAGAAUCCCUCAAGUGAUAGCUCUUGUCAAGAAGAGGAACUCUUUAACCAAUCAAAGCUACCAAUAACCUUUUCAUGGAAACCAGUUAUUCAUUUCUUGUUCUGGGCUUCUAUUUGGUCAGUCUAUGUGCUGGUACUAUGUGGCAUAUCCGUUAAACAGAAUGGUGGUAUGUUGGAGAUGUUUAAAAGGUACUUAUUGAAUAUUACAUCACUCUCCCAUAGUCAUCUGCUUCAUUAUGUAUAAAUAUAUUAACAAUAAUUAAUGAUGUCUCUACUAUUUCAGUAACCUUCUCUAUGCGGAAUAAGAUAUCUUGGGAAGAGUUGUUUCUUGUUUGCUAUGCAUACUGCAUACAGCAUGUAUUACCUUGUAUGAAUAAGGAAGUUGAUCAUGAUUACAGUGGCCAGUAUUAUUCUUUCAAUUAUCAAAAGCAUUUGCUGGUGCAUAACAGUAUAAGAACUGAAUGGAAGAGUAUUUUUCAUUAAGUUCAUACAAUCAACUUGAAAAAUUUGGGUUACUGUUUGAGGUGAGAUUAGUCACAUAUGUACAGUCUUGAAGAAAGAGUUGUGUGCAUAAAAUUUUGGUCAAUGUUUCUUUCUCUGUUUUGAGAUAGAGCAGGUUAUGUGUAAUUGGUGGAUUAGAUAGUUUGGAGGGGUGUCUAUAGGAACACAAACAGGAGGGGUGUUUAUAAGAACAGAAACAGGACAAGUAUUGAAUGGGUGAUUGUUCAUUUAUUUUUGUUGCUGAAUUAAUGGCUAAAGAGGAAUUGUGAAGUUUUUGAGGGUUAUAGCAUUCAGUUUUGUAGUUAAAGAGCUGAAUUCUACGAAACCCAGAUGCUGAGAAAUUUGUUCCUAUGCUCUUCACUGUAUUUCUCUGAUUCUCUUCAGAACUCCUUAGUGUGUUAAUUUGAAGGGGCUAAUUUCCUCUUUUUCAAUAGUUUUGGAGACAUUCAUCUAAACUUCAUGAAUACUGAUUUCCCAAGAUUUGAGAGUCGGUUCUAGUUAUCGAGGAGCUCCAUUUUGAACAGUUAGAACGAAUUCAAUCAUUUGGUUCCCCUUGGUUGCACUGUUUAAUUUUUAUAGCAUGGUUUAGUAUAUUUGUUCCCAGUAUUAUGAUGAUUUGAUAUUUGUUAAUUUUCUUUUCGGUUAGUAUCAAGUUCAUGAUUCUUUUGUCAGUCAGAUAAAUUGGCUCUGUAGUUUCUUCUUUUUUCUUUUUGUCAUAGCUAUAUAAAAGUUCCAACUGUUCCUAUUAUCUGGCAUUUUUUCUGCAGUACAUAUGGGUUCAUUCUCACGGUGGAAGAUUUGUCUCCAAAUAUUGGUGUUUUAUGGUGAGCUAGAACUUAAUUUUGUUGUGUCUAGAAAGAUGUACUUUAUUCCUACCUCUGAGGUGUUUCAUUAUCGCUCAUCUGCCUGAUUCCUUAUUGCAGGUACUUCUUUGCAGAAGUUUUCGAAUUUUUCAGAAAUUUCUUUCUGAUAGUUUUCCAUAUGAAUAUUCUAGUCAUGAUAUUGCCCUUAGCCAUCAGGCUGAACCACCGGCCCUGCUUCCUGGCUUUCGUGUACAUUGCUAUCUCAUCAAUGCUGAAAUCUUACCCUUCAGUAAGUUCACGCUUAUCUGCACAAGUAUCAUCAUUUUGCCAGUUCUUAAAUUAAUUGUGGAAAUUAACUACAAAACAUGCCAAAAAUUUGUUUCAUCUAAGAUUGUACUCGAGAAAUAAAGAUUUCAAUUUGAAGGCAUUGGUCUGGUAUAAAAAAUUAGCUGUAGACAACACUAGCAGAAUUCAUAGGUUGCAGAAUUCUUUCUCUAUAUAUUGAUUUAUAUAAAAAAAAUGAAAAGCAAUAGUAUCGUCCAUUGGUGAUAUUUUCUGGAAUACAAUUAGACUCCGUAGUGGUUUCCAGGAUAACGAUUAGCAAAAGACUUCCCAUUUUCAUGAUUUUUGCCUCUUUUAGGUCACAUUGUGUUUUUACUUUUGAGAUAUCAGAUGUUCGUUAUUAGCAUGUUUGGUUUACAUACCAAAUCUGCAAAGGGCUGUUAAUAAAAUAUUUUUGCACCAAAUAAAGUAGAAGAACAGACUGUUAACUGGUCUGGGACAGUUUUGGUGGACAUUGUUAUCUGUGAUUGCAUAAUAAUGUAGUAGCUGCUCUGAUGAAGUCAAAUGUUAUAUACUCGUAACUUCAGAAUCGACCUUGAGAUCAAUUUUAGAUUUGCUAAUUUUGACCAAAAUUGGUUCUAUUGCAUAUACUUUUGUUUUAAUUGCUUUUGUUUCUGUCUUUCUUUUGUGUUAUUUUUCUAAGUUAAUCCCUCUCUGAUAUAAUUGUGAUUAGGUUGGAGACUCAGCUUUGUAUUUGGGCUUGUUAGGCUGGUUUGUUUUUGAAUUAGCAGGCAAGUGAUCUGGUCUCCUUUGUCACUUGUAGAUUUACAUUCUGGCUUGGUCUGGCAUAUUAAACAUUGUCUUCCAUGCUUAUGCAGAUUUACAGUUCUCUUUCUUCCUCUUCUGGGGAUGUGUCGGUGUUUCUCUCCUCAGCCCUGUGAUGCACAACCUGUGGAUAUGGAGGGUAUGCCUUUGGUUGAAUCUUAUUAAUUGACUCAAAUGACCGAAUUAGUUGAAGCAGUCAUUUGGAUACUGACUUGAUGAAAUUUACAGGGCACUGGCAAUGCGAACUUCUAUUAUGCAACUGCUAUGGCUUUUGCUUGCUUUCAGGUUUGUUUAUAUCUCCCUAGUGGUAGUUUACUCUUGAUAACUUUAAAUAGUUCUGUUGAAAUAUGUAGAUUAGGAAAAAAUAGUUUACAUAGAGUUAAUGUUACAAUUAUUCCAGACAGAACAGAUUGAUGACAGGAAAUUGCUCAAUCACUUAACACAAUGAUGAGUCUGCACUCUCACACUUCCUACAUGGAAUUAUGUAAAUUUUUUUGUUAAUUUUGGCUGGCUCAUAUUCCAAUAUGGGCUAAAUCUCUUAAUGAAAAAUGAAACCUUGGUGGGUGAAGUAGGAUACGUGACUUUGGGAAUUCUGAAAAUGAAAUAGUGAUUUAGUUCCAUGGGCCUUUUAAAAUUUCAGCCGCAUUUUUGUCUGGGAACUUUUUCCAUGUGCCAUGCUAGGUUUUAUGCAUUUAUGGCAAAUUGGCUAUUAUUUUAUUUUUUCUAGCUGUAUGGGAAAAGUUCACAAAAAAUGGUCUGAAUUGGUAUAUUUACGGAUCAACCAAGAUAUAGAUUUAUGUUCAUGUUUCUUAGGGCAUGAAAUCUUCUGAAGUCUGCAUGAUAUGUAUAUUUCAAGUGCACAUGUCAGCUGAUAUAUCCAAGAACUUGCUCCAGUUUUAUUUCUCUUCCAUAAUGUGUGCUUUGGCCUUCUUUUGCAGAUUGUUUUGGUGGUUGAGAGUGUAAGUGCCAUACUUAACUAUGACCGGAAAUUGAGAAAGUUAUCCGUCACUAAACCCGUGGAUGGCAAAUCUUGAGUUCGUGCAACCAUACCCAACACAUUUUUGACCAUUCUCAACUUCUCUCUGUGUGCCUACCCUUCAGCUUCUCUUGACAAUUCAGAGUUUUUGAGCAAAGUAAGCAGCUCUAUCUGCCUUGGUUAGCAGUCUAUUGACCUCUAGUGCAUAUUUGAUUGCAAGCACUGUUUCUUUAAUUGGAAGAUUAACAAAUACUCCUUCUCCUUGAAAAAAGCUGUUUGUAUGCCAUUUAAUGUAUCACUAAACUGAAUCAUCAUAAUCAGUGACGUUACAAUUUUCCUGUGCUGUACAUUUUGUUUUAUUAAGAGGAGAGUAGAAGAUAGUUCACGCAUCUUUAAUAUCCUUGAUUUUUGCCUUAUUUUAAGAUCUUAAUAGUGUUGCUGUUGCAUCAUGGUUGAAUAAUUGAUCUAGUUCCGAGGCCCCGUUCCACAUCCUACUGGCAUGGCCCCACCACACAUCUUAGGCAAUAACAUAGCUGAUGUUUUAAAGAUUACAAGUUCUUUGUUGUACCCAAAAAUAAAUAAAUAAAAUCAUAACAAUUCCUCCUUACGAAUUAACAUAGCAAAAUCCUUGUGUAGGAAGAAAGGAUUUUUUUUUUUUAAUUUUAUUUAUUAAACACAGGUCUCGGGUCUUGAUACGGCUGUCAACUAAUAAGUGGAGCUAGACCUUAAUCCCAAAAAGAAAAGAGUUAUUAAAAUGUUAUUCUAAUACACAUUUCAUUUCUAUGUAACUGCGACAAUGAGGCUAGUGGCUAUGCAUUAUUUUCAAUUAUAUAAUUGGCGAAGGCCGAAGUAGAAUUUUUGUGGGGGUAAUGCCCUAUACUAUAGUUGAAUAUGAUAUAUCUUCAUAACUGCUGGUCUGACAUCAUUUUGAUUUGCUUCCACCAAAUCUUUCUAUUUUGGGUUAUGUCCUGAAUAACUAUGGCCAAUGGGCCGUGUUGUGCCGGCCCGUGAGCCCUUGUGGGCCGACAGUUGGUGAAUUGGUGGGCCGUGUCAUUCCGUGCCUACCUUUUUUUCAGUUGAGCCCGGCACGGUCCACGGCACGAGCGGGCUCGUGCCGUGCCCAAAAAAAAUCCACCAAAUUUUUUUUUUUUGCGUGCUUAAAAAAGUCCACGUGCCUAGCGUGCUUUAUUCAAGCCCACAUGUCUGACGUGCUUUAUUCAAGCCCACGUGCCUGACGUGUUUUUUCAAGCCCACCAAUAUAAUAAUAAUAAUAAUAAUAAUAAUAAUAAUAAUAUUCAUAAUCAUAAUAAUUUUUAUUAAGAGAGCAAUUAACAUUUUAUUAUUAAUUUGUCACAAUUUCACAAUUAUAUAUUUUAUUUCACAAUAAUCAAUCAUAAUUCAUAAUACAACAAUACAUAAAUUUAAUUAAAUUUAAUUCCAUAGAUCAUAAUAAUAAUUAAUUAAAAUUAAAAAUACAAUCCUCGAAUAAUCAUUACAAUAAGUCAUAACUACGAAAUAUUAAUAUAACAAAUUAUAGGUCACAACUUACAAGUUAUGAUUUAAUAUUAAUAUGAAAAAUAUUUUAUUAUUAAUUUUGUAAAAAAAAUUAUUUUUUAUUUAUAAUUUAUGAUAUUUAUAAUUUUAUUUAUUAAAAUCAUGAUAUUUACUUAUUUACUUAUUCAUUUAAUAAAUAAUAAACAUAAAUAAAUAAUUAAAUAAAUAUCAUAAAUAAAAUUAAAUAUCAUAAAUAAAAUUAUGAUAUUUAUAAUUUUAUUUAUUAAAAUCAUGAUAUUUACUUAUUUAUUUAAUAAAUUAUAAACACAAAAAAUUAGAAUAUUUAUUUAAACUAAGAUUUAAUGAUUUAAAUUAAUUUUUAAAAGUCUAUGCUAAAAAAUAUAUUAAAACAUUUAAUUUCAAGAUAUUUUACUUUAAUUUCAUAACAUUUUAUAUUUACUUUUUGUUAAAAAAAUUUACUUAGAUAUAUUUUGGCCCACGUGCUAUUAAUGACUCACGGGCCGCGUGCUAGCCACCAAUGAACCGUGCUUAUUACGUGUUUUUUCGCGUGCCGUGUUUUGGCCCAUCUUUAAUCGUGUCAUACUUUAAGGCCCGGCACGGCCCACGUGCGUGCCGUGCCGUGCUGUGCCACGUGCCGCCCGGCCCACUGGCCAUCUUUAGUCCUGAAAGAGGCCAACUGUAAUUGUGACUUUUUCUCAUUUGUACCGGCAGACGAAGAGCCCCAGCUGACAAAGCGGGUCCAAAAAAUUCCAUUUCAUAUUAAAUUAGGAUAUCUCUAGCAUGUUUAGGGCAUCUUUGUAUUCGUGAUGGAAUUUUGCUUAUUCGAGAAUUUACUGUCCAAUCAAAUACAAGUAUAUCUUUUAGGCUGGGCUUACCGGUUAAAAUCUAGGAGCCUUUAAUGAACACUACAGUUCUUAAAAGGCACUUAGGUGGCGUUUGUUUUUUAACUUAAUGACUUAAAGUGAUUUAACUUAAUUAAUUAAGUUAAUUAGAGGUGUUUGUUUUUAUAACUUAAUGAGACUUUUUAGAUAAUUUUGACUUAAUAAAAUAAGUUAAUUUUUUUGGCUUUUUACUUAAUGGAGAAAAUCUGAAUUAAGUCAAUUACUUGCUAAUGUCAAAAAUAUCCAUGUUUUAUAAUUUAUUUUUCAUGUCUAUUCCAAAACUCACCUAUAGAUAUUUACCCCACAUAAAAAUAUCCCGGUUUUUUCUUUCUUAUAUUAUAUAUGAUAAAUUUUAAAAUUUAUGGUAUUUUAUAUAUUAAAAUUCUAAAAUAAUUAUGUAUUCACUUGAACAUAGUUUUACUUAUAAAUGUUAAAAUAUUGUGGUAUUUAAUAUAUUAUUUAUUUGACAUUCAAAUUUAAUAAGGAUACAAAUGUAAAAGUACAUAUUUUUAACUUUUUAAGUUGAAAAAAACAAACAACUUAAUACUUAUUUUUCUAGAUUCAGAUAAAAAAAAAAACAUAUUAUUCAGAUUCAGACAUUCAGACCUAUUCAGAAUUCAGACUAAUUCGGGUCUAUUCAGAUUUCAGACAAAAAUAAACGCUACCUUAGUUGUAAAAAAUUAUUAGUGUUCUUUUUUGAAACAUAGUUAAUUUGAGGAGUUCGACUGUUCGCACCCUCUUAAAUUCUCUUAAAACACCUAUUCUUAAUACAUCCGAUUGAAAUAUCUAAAAGUUACUGAUUUUGUGAUAGUAACCCUUUCAACGCAGAAAAUAACCCUAAUUUACCCUUUAAUUGGAUUUCUGCCUCAAUUCUGCUAAUCGCAAUAUUAUUAAUGAGAUUUGCUGCAUUAACCGCAAUAGAUUGUAUGUAAAAUAUAUGCAUGUAAACGAUAUAGGUGUGAUUAUGUCAAUCUACCUUUUUUUUUUUUUAAUUGUGAAAUGUUCAUCUCCUCUCAAAUGAUAACUAGUUUAACCAAGAGUUUUGAAGCAUGGGAAAAGUAAGUUUAUGGCGUGAUAUUCAUACAAUGAACAUUAAAGACGUCCAGUAAGACUAUAAGCAUUAUGCAGCUGUCGAUUCAAAUCUAUAUAUAUAUAUAUAUAUAAAGUUGGGACUUGAGGAGGUGAUGUGGCAUCACCAUUUCUCAUCUUUGUAUAUUCUCUAUUAUCUAAUAAAUAGAGAAUUUUUCUUUUAAAUUUGACUUUUCAUCUUCUCAUAAUUAAUUUGAUUGUUAUUACACAAUAACAAUUAUGUAAAAGUUUUAAUGAUGCAUAUUCUUUGUAAUGAACAUCCAAGGGGGAGUGUUAUGAAUUUAUUAAAAUAAAUGUGGAUGUUCAUAACAUAUAUCUCUUAGUCUCCCCACUAUCUCUCAUUAGUAACCUUUAGCUUCCCUAUAACUCCCACUAUCUCACAAGGAAUUAUGAUCCAUAAUUUUCCUUAAUUUCAUAGAGUGAUUAUGUAACUAUAAAAGGAGAGCUCAUUUUUUUGUUUUGUACACACACAAUUGAAAUGAAUAAAAUCACUUUAUAAUAUAUUCUCUCAUUUUAUUAUUUCUCUUGCGUUGCUUCUUUAUUUGUAUUGCUGGCUAAUAACUUUUUUAUUUUUUAUAAGGCUGCCUCAUAUAAAAAAAAAAUCAAUUAAUAUUUUUUAUCAGUUUCAUCAAGUGUAAAGUACAUAAAAAAUGAUAAUACUAAAUUCUUUUUUCAAAACCGCGUGAAGCGCGGUUCUAUUUUCUAAUGUAUUUAUAUAUUGCAAGUUCGCAAUAAAUUUGAAUUUAAUAAGCAUAUUGUAAUUUUCCCAUAAUUUCUCAACAAUCAUUGAGAAGGAAGAAAAUCUGGAUAGUGAUUGUGAAUCUUGGCCACUUUAAGCAAUCGGUCCAUGUGAAAAAGAUAAAACAAUAAUGCAGCCAUAAUAAUUUAGAGGUAUGAUAUUAAUUUUACAAUAAAAUUAUGAAAUUGCCAAUUUUUUUUAUAAAAAAACUUGUAUAUGUCUUCAAGUGUAAAUUUCAUCAAGGGUAAAUUUGUAAACAAGCAAAAGUGGUUUAAUGGGACAUUAAAGGGGUGCCAAUAGCUUAACUGGCGAAACGGUCUGAUCCUAAAACCCUCAACUGGGUUAUGGGAUUGAGGUCAAGAAAAGUGGCUCUAAAUCUGAAAAAAGGUCAUGUGCCCUUCAGGAGAACGGAAACGAUUCUUUUUUCAUUUUGUUUUUUUUUUUUUCCAAUUGCCUACAUGAAUUGAAUGGAAACGUAGAUUGUUGUACAAGGCUUCAUAAUUACAGAAGCUACCGACGUCGUGUUAACAAGGCCGCCAGUUUAUGACUCUCCUAUAUCAUGGAUGACCACAUCUUUAGUUUGCUUUGCUCUGAAGUUGUUAUUUUAUAUUUAAUACUCACAAUUUGUGCAUAGCGUAACUGCCGUCAAUUCAUGCAGUUAAAUCAAAGUUCUCGAAGAUGUUUUAAUACGGGCAAUCCUCGAGUUACAAUCAGCAAAAAUGCCCAUCUUAUGGUAGCGUCGAUGCAGAAUUGUAUGCAAUGCUGCCAGCCUUCUUUUCUUUCCACAUCUAAGAAAUGAGUAACAACUAAGUGGGUCGAGUUGGGUCAGUACCUUAUUUUAUUGGUUGUAAGUUACACUUAAUGUAAUCUACGGAUAUUAUGUAGUUAUUUAGUAGGGUACGUAAGACCAAUUGAGUUAACUAAACACCCUAUAUUGUUAAUGAAAUUGGUCUAUCUAAAAUCUUAAUUAGAUUGGUACACACCUAACAACAUAUUGAAGACAAUUCUUAUUAUCAUCAUUAAUCUUCCAACUAAUAUAUGAAAUCUAAUAAGUUUUAUUAACUACUUGGUAGUCCCCUCUUAAUUAUAAUUAAUGAGUCAUUCUCUAGUAUGAGCAUAGGCAUUUUUUAAAUAUAUAGAUUUGAAGUUCUACAAUGUUGUAAAAGACUUUUACAACAUUGAAAACUGAUUUUUCAGUAAUCAGAUUACAACAUUAUAAAAAUCCUUCAUAAUGUUGUAAAACACUGAAUUUACAUAUUGAAAAAUACAAACACUCACGCCGCAGAAUGAUUACAUAAAUGAUAGCAUUAAUUAAGCAUUUCCAGCAAACGGUUUUAAAGCCUUCGAUAUGUAGAUUAUAAUAUGAACAUCUUGUUCUCUCAAGAACAUGGCACUAGAGAACACCACCCAUUAAGCAUUUAUGUGGUUUCUUGAUCUUCUCCUUCUCUUUUCCUUUUUAAAGGUUAAGUUAGUAAUAGCCUCACGUAAUGCGCAAAGAGAGGAAAGAGUCGUAAAGUAAUCAACUUCUGAGUAUCCGCAAAGAUCAACCCAUCAUCAAGGCAACAAACACACGAAAUAUAAAUGACAAGAAAUUUACUUUUGACUGAUGGAAGCUUCAUUCAUUUGAGAAGAAGCUUCACGGAUUUGCUAUUAUAAUAAGCCAUGUAAUUACUACAUUAAUUAGAAUAAAACAUCACAACUACCGAGUAUAUCAUGUUCUUGAUGGUGCUUCUAGAUUUAUAUUGAUUAAUUUGAAUUAUAUAUAUAUCCAAACUCCAGUUAAACAGGAGUCUCUUGCCGAUUAAGACAAUUAUAUAAUCGCAUGUGCAACUGAAUUUUAUUUUUUCCACCUGUUUGUUUAUUUAAUAUACGUAAAUUUGAGUCCAUUCUCAAACCAUGGCUCUAGCAUAAAUUGGGUUAUGCUUGAGUUACAUAAAAAAUCUUGCUUUCCAAAAGGAAGUUACGUUUCUUAUAUCAAAAUUUCUUACAUCAAUUUAAGCACCAUGCAUCCUAUCCUAUCUAUAAAUGGUCAAAAUAUAUUUUGAAAAAGGUUCGUCAAUAUAAGAAACAUAAGCAACUUAUAAACUCAUUGGAUUCGACUCUUUAUUUUAAAACUGGACUAUGUAUAUAUAUAUAUAUAUAUUUACAUACUUAUAUUGUUUGUGCUCCAUGCAGAAGACACAUAAACGUAAUGGUACAACUGUCCCCCCUUUAUGAACCCAGUAUUUUCGAAUUAGCAAAAUUUUUCGCUAUUAAUAAUGUAUUUUUAUUUAUAUAUCUUUGUUAUGAAGGGGAAGGAUAAUACUUCAAAACGGAUGCAUAAAAUUUAUCAAAACAAUAUAAAUGAGUCAACUGAUUCUACGCAUUGAAUCCUGGCUGCAUGCUCAGGGACCAUUGAGCAUGUGAUUAUUAAUUAUUUGUUAAUUCACAUAGUAAGUUAAUAACAUAUGUAGGAGGAUGUUAAUUAAUAUUUCAUAGGAGCUUGACAAUUAAUUAGUCAUAGUAAAAAUCGUACCAUUAAAUCUGUAAUGCCCCGGCGCAUGCAUAUAUUUACCUCAAUAAUUAAUUUCAAUUAAAAAACAAACGCAAAAGCUAAUGCAAGAAAGUAAUUCCAGAUUGUCCAAGUGACAAUCUAGCAACGAGAUUACAAGAAUAUAUUGCAUAUGCACAAACUAUAUAUUUCUCACUGGAUUGAUACUGUUCCGAUAUUAUUGCCAUUACUAUAAUACUAUUGUAUAAUAAAUAAAUACAUUCCCCACGAGCACGGCACAGACAUGAAGAACAACUUUCUCCUCAAUUCUCUCACCCUCGGCUCCAACACUUUUAUACAUGCAUUACUAUUCUCAUUAUUAUUAUUACUACUACUACUAAUUUAUUAAUGAUGAUCAAUUAAUUUAUUUAUGAUAAGUAAGGUUCUGUUCGAUGCAUGUUAUUCGUGUUAUAGUGAUGAGUAACUUGUCAUGCGGAACUGUUUUGUUAAUUGAUCCUCGACUUCUUCAACUAAAUUCAUAGAGCAGUUCGUAAUCGCGCCCAAUUUCUUAUUACUAAUACGCAAACACAUUAACAUAAGCUAACCAUCUGAAACGCUUUUCAAGUUUUAAGACUUUCCAGUUACUGGAUGGCAAGCAAGCUGGCUUGGGAUGUACCAUACGAACACGUGUAACAUGCAUCCGAAAGAUUAGCAGCUAAUCAACCGAAGUCAACCGUAUUGUUAAAGCUCAGCCGUUCGAUUGUUCUACAAAACAGCAGCUGGUGAGUAGGAUAGAGAUUAGAGCUCCCCCCUCCAUGGAAAUUUUAUAUUAAACUUCUCACUGUUUCAAACUCUUUGCAUGUGGGCUCCCACCAGAAGAUUUGUGUUAUUUUGCAGUCAAAACAAGACAAAUAGGAACCCUCUAACUCUUGGUUCCUGUCAGCAGACAAAAAGAGUUCUCAUAUUGAUAUAAUCAAAGAAGCUAAACUUAAUAAAUUUAAUAAGUAGUAAACAGAGAAUUUGACUUCAGAGCAAGUUAGCAGCACCUUUUCGACUGUAAUAUCAUGAAAAGAAUAAUAAUUUGUUUCAAGAUUCCCACUAUUAGUGGUACUGAGUUGUCAUUGUUGUGCACCCCUUAAAGGGAACCUUUUACGAGCUCAUUCUAAUUUCUAAGCAGUUACAGUAAUCUGUGUCAUCCUCUUAAAUAAACCCAUUCAUGAUUCAACUAUUUUGCGACUUUUCUGCAUUAAAGACACUUUUAAGAUAACAAAAACAAAUUGUACAUUAAUUGCAAAUAUGGGGUGGUAACAAACAAAAAAUGAAAAAAAUAAGGUUCAUUUAUUGCACAAUGGGGGUGUAACAAAAGACUGUUCAUUGUCUCACUCUUGAGAUUAUAUAUGCAUGUAUGUGUAUCAGUGUAUGUGUGCGUGUAUAUAUAUAUAUAUAUAUAAUUGGGAACUUUGCAUAUAAUUGAAAAGGACUUAGCAUUAUGAAACUUGCAUAUAAUUGUGAAAAUAUAUAAUCUAAUAGCAGAAUGCAUAUAAUUGAGUCACAAUUCACAGUAACCUACCUACAUUGCAUUGCGGUAGUUGCUCUGCUCCAUGUGGUUUGAGUCCGUGGCUCAAUGGGACGGUGGGACGGUGCUCUAUGUAUCGAAUGUGUUAACCUGGAAAGUGAAAGUGGGAAAAAAAAAGGAAAAAAGAAAAAAAAAAAAAACCUAGCUUUAAGGUACCUACUCGUUGAAAUUUUCUCUAACCAAAUGAAAACAAAACCAGAUACAGUAGUUACAUGCAUAUCUAGAACACUCCAUAUGGAAUCACUAGUGAUGUAUGCGAAGAGAUUUGAGUGUUUUGACAUUAAGAUUUGAGAACAUGAGAUAAUGAUCACAGCUAAAGAAGAUCUAGGAAAAGAUCCAAUUCUGAAAAAUAAAAGAGAGAAAAAGAACUGAGAAGCAUCUUUUGCGGCAUUAACAUCACAAAGAUACUUGAGUAUUUAGCCUAGAUAUUGAGAAGAUUUCAAGCAGUUGGCAAAAACCAUUUGAUUUCAGUAUUAAAUGAUGUAUUAUAGAUUGGUUCGAGAUACUUAAGUUUGGUCAGACGGAUCUUUUGAUCCUCUAUCCACUCAAAGUCUAAGGAAAGCCCCUCCUGUUCCUGCUAAACCUCCUUAAAAAAAGCCAGAAUUGUGCCUCGUGCUCCUUGGUUCACAUUACAUGUCAUCUCUUACCCUUAAUCAAAAAUGCAUCUACAAGAUAUGAGAAGAGACAGAGAGGAACCAUCUUGUGAGUUGUGAUGCUUCACAGUCAUGCUAGGCCCUUACCACAAAAAAAGAUUUAAAAUUGCCGUUGACAAAUGAUAAUGAAGUGGUCACUAGACAGAAUUAUUCUAAACUAUUCUACUUUAUUCUAUCUUCAACUGCUUGUACAACUUUUUGUUUUAUGCAGCCAACUGCACAGAAACCUGGAGCCUAAAUUAUUAUAAUUUAAUUUGCUAACUAGUUGUAAAAUGCCUGCCUAUUUAAGAAGGGUACCUCAUGGUUGAUGAGAUACAUGCCAGCACCUCCUUCUCCUCCCUGUCUAUUCUUCUCACGUUUCCCACCUCCAAUUCUUCUUAUUUCUUGUAAUCAUAACCUGUCCCAUUUCCAUUUUUGUUAAAAUCAGUAUCUACAUUAUAUAGUCCUUUCCUGCAAUCCAAGAUCUUCACUUUACCUGCAUUUACAUUUGAGUAAGAUGUGGGCUUUGUGCAUUGGAGCUCUGGUUUUUGUAAGCAUCACACAUUGGCUUUACAGAUGGAGGAAUCCCAGAUGCAAUGGGAAACUCCCUCCUGGUUCAAUGGGACUGCCACUUCUCGGCGAAACCCUUCAGUUUUUCGCUCCCAACACUUCUUCUGAUAUACCUCCCUUCAUCAAGAACAGGAUGAAAAGGUAACGUAUAACCUCCUCUUUUGUUGUUCAACCAGUGCUGCAGUCAUAAUUAGGUCCCACUCUUCACAUUUUGUUCUGUUUCUGAUGUGCUUUUACUUUCAGUUACGGGCCAAUAUUCCGGACUAGUUUGGUGGGACGGCCAGUUAUAAUAUCAACGGACCCUGAUCUCAAUUACUUCAUCUUCCAGCAAGAGGGACAGUUGUUUCAGAGCUGGUAUCCAGAUACAUUCACAGAGAUCUUUGGACGACAAAAUGUGGGUUCGUUACACGGGUUCAUGUACAGAUACCUCAAGAACAUGGUGCUAAACCUCUUUGGCCCUGAAAGCCUCCGGAAGAUGCUCCCUGAAGUUGAGCAGGUAGCAAGAGCAAGAUUACAGCAGUGGUCAAGCCAGGACACAGUGGAAUUGAAAGAGGCAACUGCAACUGUAAAUUCUUACACCCUUCUUCAUCCCAGUUAAAAUAAUGCACCAAAUUUCCUGUUUGGGGACUAACAAUUCUAUCUUUGCAGAUGAUAUUUGAUCUGACUGCAAAGAAGCUGAUAAGUUAUGACCAAGAGAAGUCACCGGAGAAUUUAAGGGAGAACUUCGUUGCAUUUAUGGAGGGAUUAAUCUCUUUCCCUUUGGAUAUUCCAGGAACAGCUUAUCACAAAUGUCUACAGGUAAACAAAAUUCAGCCAAAUUAGUAUUACUAUUGCGCCGUCAGUUUCUUCUUCUUAUUCUCAACCGAAUGAGUGGCUUUUCGCUCACCUUAUUCUCAAUUGAAUGAGUGGCUUUUAGCUCACACUCUUGAUUUCUCAUAAUUUUUCUCAGGGUAGAGAAAGAGCAAUGAAGAAGCUGAAAAACUUGCUGCAAGAAAGACGAGCAAACCCAAGGAAGGAGCAGAGUGAUUUUUAUGAUUAUGUUCUAAAAGAACUUCAGAAAGAGGGAACAAUCCUAACAGAAGCAAUUGCUCUGGAUUUAAUGUUCGUGCUGCUAUUUGCCAGCUUCGAAACAACUUCUGUAGCUAUAACUUUAGCCAUAAAAUUUCUAUCGGAAAAUCCUCUCGUGCUAAAGCAACUAACGGUAUGGGAAAAUUUAUUGUUUGAAGUUACAAAAAUCUUUUUAUUGCUUUUCCAACCGACAUGCUCUACAUGUUUAUAUCCUUCUCAGGAGGAACAUGAGGCAAUCCUGAAAAAUCGAGAAAAUGUUCAUUCGGGGCUUACAUGGAGAGAGUAUAAAUCAAUGACAUACACAUUUCAGGUAGGCUUUCACAAGCACUUUUUCAUUUGUCUAAAAAGUAUUUAAUAAUGUAAUAUGUAGCUUAAUUUUACAAAUUUAUGGAUUCAACUCGCAGUUCAUCAAUGAAACAGCUAGAUUGGCAAAUAUAGUUCCAGGAAUCUUCAGGAAAGCCCUUAGAGAUAUCCAGUUUAAGGGUAUGUGAAAAAUAUAUAUUACUGUAUUUCCAAUCACAAAAAAGUAUUUGUGUACAUGCAGAUAAUUUGACAUGCACUAAAAAUGUGUAAUGGUGCAGGAUAUACCAUUCCUGCAGGUUGGGCGGUUAUGGUCUGUCCCCCAGCUGUCCACUUGAAUCCAGCAAAAUAUGAAGAUCCCCUAGCCUUCAAUCCAAGUAGAUGGAAGGUGGGUCAAACAACUUAAGUCACUUACACGAAUAUAAAAUUAUCAAAAUAGUUACUUAAGGACUCCUAAUCAUUCUUUAAAGUGGUGUCAUCCAGGGAAUGGAAACAAACUGUGCAUCUAAGAACUUCAUGGCUUUUGGUGGUGGCAUGAGGUUUUGUGUUGGAACAGACUUUACCAAAGUGCAGAUGGCUGUAUUUCUCCAUUGCUUUCUCACAAAGUACAGGUGGCAAGCAAUCAGAGGAGGUAACAUAGUUCGGACUCCUGGUAUACAAUUCCCAAAUGGUUUCCAUGUUCGAAUCAUAAAGAAAGAUGCGACGCAUGAGUCUACAUGAUCAAACCCGAAGCAACAAAAAGGCAAGCAAUUUGUGUGGCUAACGCUAAACGGAGGAAAGCAUAUUAUCACUCAGAAUUCCUAUUCUCAGACUGCAAAAGGAAUCCCAGCCGAGCUACAGUAUAUGCUUAGGUUAAAAUUUUGAGUCACAGAGUUUUGUGCUUUCAGUUCACUGUGUCAUCAUAUACUUGAGAAAGUAAAAAAGGCAGAUCAUCUAUGGUAUUAAAAGAUAUCAAUCUUCAUGCUUUGAAAAGAAGAGAAAAGAUCAAAGUUUAAUUGUAACAAUAUGUGAAAAUUAACUUUCAGUAUAUAAAUUAUACAUCAAUGUGUUGUCAAAAACAUUCCGUAACUAUAUUAAUAUACUAUAAACAAAAGUAUCAUCAUCUCUUUAGAGCAUGGCUUAUACUGCGAAUGAUCCAACAGCCUGUGUUAAAAUGAUCUUGCCUCUCGUCGAGAUGUCUGCUCAUCUUGAAUAUUCAUUUAAGAAGACUCUCUGAACUUUCUGCGUCUAUGAUGCCCAAUAUGGUCAUUCUUCCCUGUGUCCAAGUAGAGUUGCUGCAUAACACUUGAAUUCUUACUACGCCCAUGCUUAUGCUUGUCUUUUUGAACGUGGUGAAGAUAAUAAUAAUAAUCGGUGUCCCUGUCUGAAUGUUUAUGCUUGUGAUCACUGUGAAUACCACAUCGUCUACGUCGAGCUUCAAGCUUGUGGUGCCUGCCCUCCUGCUUGUGAUGUUUUCUAACAUGAACAUGGGGGUGAUCAACAUCAAUAUGGCGACUCCGAAAAUCUCUGAUUCUCUGAUUGUCAGACUGAAAAUGGUCAUCCCACCAGUCAUAGAGAGGAUCAAAGAGUCCUUUUUGAUGUAAAAGCCACAGUAGCACAAGCACUGGAACCCAAAGUAGAACAGUGUUUCUUAAUUUAAUCCAAGUUAAUUCACUCUUAAACACAAAAUUUUGAAAAAAGAGUAUUACUUCUACCUGUUGGAAAAAUAGCCAAAACAAGACCAAACAACACUAGCCAACUCAAGCAUAUAUAUUGUAUGUGGCAGCUGAAGUCAAAGAAACUGGAGCAUUUCCUUCUGCAUCAUAAUAAUAAUAUGACAUUACAUGAACUUCCAGAAUAUAAUAACUAAGGGAAGCUAGAAGUAGGUGAAAGUAGAAUUCACCUUGUCUAAUAUAGAAGAAAUAGAGACAUAAAUUACACACCAUAUCUAGGCUGUACUAUAUGAAAAAUUGGAAAAAGUUGAAAAGAAGGUUAAAGAUACCUCAUAGGUACAUAUAGAAUGAGUUGGAAAUGAGUUAAGAAAAUUACAAUUAUCAGGAAUUAUAUCCCAGGAUAAUCCUCCUCUAACAUUAUGCGAAUAUCAAUAUUCAGAAUUGGAAAAAGAUCAACUUAGAACAUGGGGGGUAUUAGCUUUCUAUGUUCAUGUAGAUGCCAUAAGCUUUUAAAUUCAGUAUAAUAUAGAUAAACAACAGUUCACUUAUCCGAUCCAGUAUUGCAGAUAAAGAUUUUGAAAAGUCUGUUACGUUACAAUAGACAUAUCCGCACAAGCUUCAGCAUGUGAGUUCUGAAAAAUUUCAUACAGAGCAUACAUGGAGACCCAAUGUUGACGGAUAUGCUUAGUUCACAUGUAGAAAAAUUUGCCUUGUAGAGGAAAAUUUAGUGAAACAUGGGUCCAAAAUAAUUCAUGUAAAAGUACCUGCAUGCUUUUCCAGUAAUGAAGUCCCUCAAACCUUCCCAAAGCUUCUUUCCAAUGCUUUCAAUGGACUCAAAGAAAUCAUUUAUACUGCUCUUUGGAGGUUGAAAGGGAGUAAUCUGCAUCAAAUUAAUGACCAUGCCAGAAAACGGACAAUUACUAAGCAGUUUUCACAAUGCAAUUUUUAAAAAUGCAGAUUUUCUUUCAAUUACAGCUUGGAUACAAUCAUUGGGCCUCUUACCAUCACAAUUAAAACUAUAAGAAGUCUUGUUUUUUAUUGUUAUGGUUGCCACUGCAUCUAAUCCUCAUGAACUUUGUAAUGUGCAAAUACAACUCCAUGAGAUUAAGGAAAAUAAAUUCAAGUACAUAAGGUUUCUUUUGCUAAUGGACUCAGAUGUUGCAGAAUGAAACAGUACAUCGGUCAUGACUUCAGCUAAGCUAUCAAAUGAAUUGCCAUUCAUAGACAAUCAAUUAGUUCCAGAUAUCUAGUAGAGAGACGAAUGCCACAUUUUUAUUUAGAACAAAUCAACAAAUAAACAACUAAUGUUCUUUGCACUAUUAAGAUUCAAGAAUGUCCUUGAUAAAGCUCCACCAUUAUGCAGCAUUCUUAAGCUUUAGAGUAGCAAAACCUAAAGUAACACUCAAAUAUUUCAUUCAGGUAAAAUUUCUUCCAACCUAUGAUUUAAUUUUCAGAAAUUUGGGCUAGUAAUAGAAGCCUGCUCAACAAAUCAUAAUUUUAAAACUUUCCCAACCUGUGAACCAUUGUCAAGGACGGUAGCCAUGGUACUGAAUUGGCACUCAGCUCUAUCGACUUCACUGAAAUCAGAGUCCUUUAAUAUAGCUGCAUUCACAUAUAACAUUUAUCAAUGAGACAAACACUGUCUUGCAGUCUCAUUAAAGUUUAACCCAAAACAGCCAGAGAUGCUAAAAUGGCCAUGUUUUAAGUUACCCGAACAUGUAUAUUUUGCUGCUUGAUUAGUUGUUGGAUAUAUUUUGAAUGAUCGAAUUGAAGUUUCUUUAGGCUUUAUUAUGAAGUACUGUUCCUGCAGCCAUACCAACUCCCAAUGAUGGCAUCCUUCAUGAUGAGACAUCUUAAAUGAAUUUUUUUUUUAAUUAAAAAUUUACCUCCAUGAGAGUAACACCUGUUGAGCAAUCAAACUGCAAGAUGGAAAAACACAUCACAGUUUUACUGAAUAUUUUCAGACUUCAAUAGAAAAUGCUGAGGAAAAGUUUGUAAAGGAUACCGUUAAGCUAUAUGACGCUUCCACUUCACCAGUAUUCUGAGUUGUGAUUGUAGCAACUCCAAAUUGUGUAAGUGCUUCAAAUGUUGGGAUGAUGACGCUUAUGAUUUUUCCUGGGCUCCUACAAGCAGAUAAAACCUGAAACUUAACAAUGUUGAAUAAUGACAUUCACUAAAUAAAAGGACACGAUAAAACAUAUGAUUUGACAUGCAUAUUAAGGGAUCAUUCUUUGACACUCUGAAUCAACAGAGAAGUUCCAGCUCUGCAAAUUCGUGUUGAUGAAGAGAUCAUCACCAAUUAUUAACUAAAUAGAACUACACAUUAAUCGUUCAGACAAGCAUUUACCUUUGGUAAACAUAUUCUAUAUCAUCAGCUCUUAGUUCUAUCAACAAAUUUGAAUUAAGAACUUCGGUGACACCUAUAGAGAAUGAAUGAGAUCCUGCAUUCUGCACCAAAAUCAAAGUGUUAAGCCAGCCAAAUAAUAAAACUUCCUUCCAAAUCCAAUCUGCAAUUUUUGGAAACAUAACUGGAUGCUGGUUCAUCCUUUCAAACCUUCCUUCCACUCCAUAUAGAGGGAGCUGAUUCCUGUUAAUUCGAUUCUGAUCAGCCUGUCAGAAACAGCAGCAAUUCAGGAAUAAUAUGUCACUUUUUCUCUAUUGAAAUCAUCCACAAGGAUUACCAACGAUUUAACAAGUUAAAAACUAAAGAGUCACAUACCACUAAACCUAACAAUUGUCAUGACUCUAAGCAAGAGAGAAUCAGAAACAUAAUUACUACUACAGCACAAAAAAGUAUUCGCCUACAUAAACUUUACAAAUUUUAUGGAGAAAAAUUGAAAAGGAAUAACGAAAAUCACGAAAAGAGUUUAAUUUACUAACUUCUCGAUAAUUCCACAACUGGUUGUGCAAGCAACUCCAAAAUGGUGAAGAGCAGAAACUCGGCUGCCCAUUGAAUGCCUCAUAGCUGACACCGAUUUUGUUGCAUUCAAGACCAUCUAAGGUAAAUCUCGUUCUCUCAAGAAGCAUCCACAUUGAAAAAUUCCCCCCCAAGUCUUGUGGUUGACCAGGGCCACCCUUCCACAUUAUAAAGGAAAAACUAUCAGCAAAUUAACAUAACCACUAUUCUGUGAACAAAUUUGUGAUUCCUUUGCAAACAAAUCGGCCAAAUUUUUACAGGAGACAUAACAGAAGGGAAAUGUCAUUCGUUUUACAAUUCAUCACUUUUGAUAAACUUCCUUGAUUGGGCCAUGAAGUUACACCUCCCUACCUGCUAAUCCAAAGUAACGGUCUCUGAUGGAUUAUAAAAUGAAAGCUCAACACUAGACCAGGUAAAUCAAGUAAUUACUGAAUCUACAGUUUAAUUAAUAUUUCAAUAAUAAGUUUCAGUUGCAAACUAGUAUUAUCUGAUCAAAGCAAGCAUCCAUUCUGUAACUCUGUAUAUCACAAGAACAUACCUAGAAGCCAUAGCCUGCAACAUACAAACUCUCUACACACUAAUCUCUCAAAAAUCCCUUGGUGUAUGGGUAAUGAGUAGUAUGCAGGCUAUGGCUUGAGAGAUAAGUGUGUAGAGAGUUUGUAUGUUGCAGGCUAUGGCUUCUAGGUAUGUUCUUGUGAUAUACAGAGUUACAGAAUGGAUGCUUGCUUUGAUCAGAUAAUACUAGUUUGCAACUGAAACUAAUUAUUAGUUUCAGCAUCUCUACAAGAUUAGAGAUUGAACUGUUCUAUUAGGUUCAGCGUCACUCUAUAAAAUUUGUUCAUUCACCCAAGAAAUUUUGAAAAUUCAUAGAAUCUUUGUAGUUCAAAAUUCAAUUCCAAGCAAUAUAAAACUUUCAUGCAUUAUCUUCUGUUAAGAGGAAAGAAAGCUGCUUUAUAACAGAAAAGAAUGCGAGUGAAGUCAUUUCUUCUAAACUAUUCCAAGCGCUUGCUAAGAAUUCAUAUAUUCAAGUAAUUUGAAGAGCUACAUCUGCAUUCUAUUCUUUGUCACAAGAAAGUUUAAACAUCUGCAUGCAUAUGAACUCAAUAUUAGCUUACUAUUAAAACUUAGUAAGAAAGACAAUUAGUACCUAUGCCAAAUAAUGGAAAAGAAGAAGUUUAAAAAGCAUCAGGCAGUGGCUCUGAAGGACACUUAAAAUUUUAUUUCACACUCGAGGCUGACUAAAUAGGAAUCUGCCAGUUUUUUAAAAUUGAUUCUACUCAUUAUAUUGUUGAUAGCUUGUUGGUUUCCAGAAACAUAUCUACUAUUUCCCACACUAAAUCAAUCGCAGUUAGAUGACACAAUUUAUUGCAAUAAUUUGUUGAACUCAGAUACCAACAACGAGAAACCUGAUCGGGCUGGAUUUUUGCUUGAAUAUAUAGCUAGGGCACCAUAGUCACAAUUAUUAAAAGUACAGAAGGCAUACCUGCCUAGGAAUGACAAGGUAGAACUCCUCGAAUGACGGAAUAUUAGUAUACCCAACAAAAUCCCCAAUAAGAUUAACCUUUAAAAAAUUAUCAGCGGAGGUUGCUGUUCUAUUUUCAGGGCCGACUGUCACUUCCUGCUAACAAAGAACAAUGUCCGAAGCUUUCAUUACUAAACUAUAUUCCUCUUCUUUAUUUAAAUUAAGACAAUAUAGAUGCACAAUAAUUCAAACCAACAUUCCAUUCUGGUGGCAAAAUGUAACGGCAUAUUGCCAGAAGGCACCUCAAUACACAUUAUGCAGUGGUUCUUGAAGAUUGAACAGCUAAUAUUGAUUGAGUCUCCCACAGGAAACCAGUUUAAAACAUAUGAUAACAUAACAAAAAAAGGUCACUGAUGUAGGUUAGUUAACCUAACUGGUCAGAUUGGGAGGGUACCGGAGGACUAGGGUGCAAACCCAGAUACAUGGGUCGGGAGAGGACUGGGUUGCCAUCAUGCUAUUAUUAUUAUUAUUAUUAUUUGAAAAACGGUAUCAGAUAUAUAAACUACUCAGGUGAAGAAUUUAGUUCAGCACAUCUUACACAAAUAUAAAGCAAUCUGUGUGCAUGAAGCAUUUGGCUGCUUUCAUGCGCAAUGUUAAAUCAAGAACAUGAUCAAGACAGAAAAUGAGUCCAGUAAAUAAAAUUCAUGGGUUCUAAGAAUAUGUACAUAAAAUUCAUGAAUUUUAUUUACUGGACUCAGGAUAUGAAAAAACAACAUACCGACACUUUCGACCCAGUCUUCACCUCAAUUCUAACACUAAAUCCUAUAGAUCGUUGCCCAAUACCAAAAACAUGGAACCUGUAUGCACCAAAUUAAUAAAUUAGGGCAUAAGUAUUUAAGCUUGUGAAAAAGUUAUAAAAAGCGAGAAUUCACUUCUAUGCGACUAAGCCUACACAAAAUAUAUUGCCUCAAUAAUUUAAAUCAGUAAGCUAUUGUGACAAUGCAAUGUAUUACCAUUAGAAUGUAUCAUUUUCAGCAUUGCGAGACAUCAUUGGAGUGGAUAACUAUUUUGCAGUACUUCAAAAUAAAUUGUUAUUGUAAAAUAAAGGCCCAUGUAACACAUGCAACAAUCUUAUGACAACUGAAAAAGGUCCAUUUGUUAUUCAGCAGAGCCUUUAGUACCAAAACUCAAUAAGAGAACUAAUGUUCAAGAAGAGAAUCCCAACAAAACUGAUGUGAAUGAGAUAUUUUAACUCUUCAAAAGACUCUUUUUGAAACCAAUAAUUAAAAGAAGCUUAUAGAAGAUCUUUUUGACCAUUUCUUAGUCAAACCAAACAUAGGCACUAAGAAUUUAUGAGACCAAUCGGCUGGAUGAAAGUCAGCAUAAGAAUUUAUGAGACCAGUCUGCUGGAUGAAAGUCAGCAUAAGUAUGUAACGAAAAGUUCAUUUUCAAUCCAUGUAAGCAUCCAAAUUAAUAAAUAUUACAUUACAUAAUUUUCAUAGAGGAAAAUUUACUUAGAAACUAGAAUCAAGGCCUAAGAAAAAGAUUAGUCCAAGCCAUACCAAUCACCUGGAAAUCGGAGACAAUGUGCAGUAUUUGCCUUUCCUUUCAGCAACUUGUCAACUAAUCAAAAUAAAGUAAAAGUCAAACUCCAGACUCACAAAACACAUCAUGCUUGAAAAUUUUCAGAUAUUGAACACUACAAAUAUCACAUACAGACAUUUCCACAUGAUGAAGGUAUCCGCCUUUGGGGCCCACAAGGGCAGCAAAUUGGCUGCAUAGAGAGGGGAAAAAAGAAAAAAAGAUUAUUUCAAAAGCGUAUUCACAGACAUAUUUCAAUAAUACACAUGUAAUAAAACCAUCGUUAGAGUUAAGUAACUAUUGUUUGGACCCUUACCUAUGAGUGUAAUCUUUUGGGUCAACUAGUAACUUAAUAUGGUAUCAAAGUCAAUUUUAACCAAGGGGCUCGGUGUUUGAAUACACCCACUAGAUUUCUAUUUUCAUUUGUUUGUUGGUCCACAUGAAGAGACAAUUUAGACUUGUUAGAGCUUAAGGCUAUUGUUUGGGUGUUGCUCUACUAGCUUAAGUUUUUGGGUCAAGUCAUUAAUUAAUACCCAUAAAAGAGAAAAAAUAUAAAAAGAGAACGGAUUGCAUGAAUACCACAAGGACAAAACACAAGUGAAAAAAAAAAAAAAUAACUGUGAUGAAAGAUGUCUCGAUCAACAUUAACCUAUACCAAAUUUGAGCGUCAAAUAUACUAACAACUUUCAACUCUUGAAUUCAAGUUCAUUCGUUGUUUUAUAGCAAGAUCUCAAAAUCAGAACAUCAAACUAACUUUCAGUAUAUAUGUGACAUAUGACCACAAUAUCAUAACUUUACAAGCAGUAUAGGACUCAAGAAGGAAAAAUAAUAUGGAAAUAGCAAGUGAGAUUCAAAAUGUUAGAAAUGCUACCUCAGUGUGCUCAAUAAUGUGGCCAUUUUCAUCUCGCAACCUACAAAACAAUAAAUAGAAGCCAGUACAGUGAGCCAACACAUAAAUCCUUACUCUCAAGUAAUGAUAUAAUUCAAAAUAAAUAAAUAACAGGAAAGAAAGCUACAAAGUAAUUAAACCAUAGGCUGCACUAACUAUCCUCGAAUCAAAUGCCACCAAGAAUAUCACUUUCCAUAAAAUAAUUCAUUGAAAAUUGGUGAUGAUGAGGUCAAUUAUACUGCGGUUAUUCAUGCAUUUCCUGUGUAUGAGUAGCACAAGUAAUUUAAGGCAUAUGUUUAUUCAAUUACCAAAAUGCACACAUAUUAAUAUACAGUCCUGACUGAUUAGUAACUAUUCACAUCAAUUUUAGUGACUGACAUGGAUAAUUACGCAGGAAAAAUGAAGGCUACUUAAUAACAAGCAGAACGUGAAUCAAUUAAUUGGCUGCUAAAUCACAUCUCCGGGGCAUCAUGAUUUCAAGGCAGAAAUUUGGCGGGCAUGAAGCAGCAAAAACUCAUCGCACAAAGAAAAUAAAAUUACCAUUUCGUCCAGAACAUUUUCACUGAACUGUCAAUAGAACUAUAUCAUCCCAAUAAUGGAGAUGCAAGAUUUCAAGGCAAUUAAUGCAACUAGAGACUGCCAUCUGUUAGAUUUUGGCAUACAUAAAAUAGUUGGUAGGUUGAUAAUGUGGCUAAAAAAGCAGUGUAAAAUGUUGAAGCAUGUAAUCAAGCCAGCCAUAUUUAUGAUAAAAAAUCAUAAGCAUGAGAAAUGAAUAUAAUAAAAGAAAAACAACUACUGUCUUUAAAUGGCUUAUUUUUUUUUCAAUUUUGCAAAAACUUAGGGAAGAGAGAAUAAAAAAUGUAAGAUGUUACUUGCCUCUCACAGAUCUUCACAACAUCUGCACCGGCAUCUGGCUCACACUUCCGUGUUUUCAUGUAGAACUCUUGAGGUUUAUAAGGAACAUCCUAGUAUUCCAAGCAACAAAUAGAUUAUUUUUUCAUGUUGAAUCUGAGUAAAAUUUCUGUUCAAUAAAUUAACUGGGGAAAAAAAAAGAAAGAAAGAAAAAAAAAAGCAGAUGCAAAAAUGGAUGCACUAAAAGGAUAUUCUCAUACUCGUAUGUAAGUUAGCUCAUAGACAGCAUAAGAAGCGGUUUUGUUGACUGUCAAUACUGGUGGAAUUCUCACUGUUCGCAUCUUUUGUGUUGAAUUCUCCUCCACCUCCACUACUUCCGCCACAAUAGAAGCCUCGCCUCCACUCUUACAAAAAGAAUUUGAAAAACAGAAAUUAAAAAUUUCAAAAAAAAAAUCUCAUAUUAUCAAAGAAUAAAUUGAGGGAAACACUUCACUGAUAGCACUACUCUAAUCCUUUCUCAAAAAAAAAAAAAAAUUCCAAAAACGUUCAAAAUGUAUCUAUCAAUUAAGCAAUAAUCUUUGUUCCUUGUUUUCAAGAUUUGAGAGUCUCAUCAAAUUACAUAAAUAAAUUUACUAAUUGUGACACUCAAAAAAGUAAUGAGCCGUUAAAUCGCCAAAUUAGUAGAUCAUUCGAAACCCUAAAAAGGAAUUAAAGAAAAUAAAUCGGGACACAUCAACAUAAUUGUUUAAAGAAAGAGAAAAUCGGUUACCGAGCCGCUAGGAACCGCCAUGUUGAGUACAAUCUUGGUGGUGCAAUUCAAGUUGUCACUGUCCGUACGCUUUUCGCAUUUUUCAAGUUUCGAUUUUGAAAGAAUUUGAACUCCGACCACACAUCGUGGACUUAGAAGAUUGAGAAUACAAAAGAGAAUUAACUGAAAGUGUUUCAAUUUGAGGGAUUUUGUUUGGUUUCUCAUCUUUUUUUUUCCCUUUUGUUUAGAAAAUGGAUGAGUGAAAGAGUGUGUUGAUAGUGAGUGAUACGCUAAAAUGGAGCGGUUUUGGCGGGGGUGGUGGCCGUUUAAAAACCGCCGUUGUAACGGUAUUUUUUCAAAUUAUUUUUUUAUGGCGAUGUUUUAGCCAAUGUGAUGCCGGGAACUUCACGCUGUGAGCUAUACCACAGCGUUUGGCUUUUUCCUUGAUAUUAUUUAUUAUUAUUUUCACGUUUAAACGAUGUUUUAAAUUUUAGGGAAAUUAUCCACUACUUGUUCUUUUACCGUUUUUUAAAAAUACACAAUUUUUUUUUACAGCGCUCCACCUAAAGUUAACAUUUUUUUUUCAUUAAUCCACCCUCGUUAUAAUACCGUUAGAAUUUUACUAACAUCAUAAGGGUAAAAUUAUUAGUUCACAACGACACAAUGAUGGAUAGGUGCAAAAUAAUAUAAUUUCAAGUGGAGUUCAGCAAAAAAAAUUAAGAAUUGUGUAUUUUUGAAAAAAAAUAAGAAAAAAGGUGAUCGGUGGAUAAUUUAUCUUUUACAUUUGAGGGUAAAAAAGUCAUUUAUACAAUAUUCUGUUAGUUUUUUUAACAGUCUCCAAACGGAAGUGGACAAGUAAAAAGAAAUGUAACUUCAGGUGGAUUCCAGUAAAAAAAAAAUUAUGUAUUUUUAAAAAAGCCUGAAAAAAUAAGUGGUCGGUGAAUAAUUUCUCUAAAUUUUAUAUUCGAGUCGACAAAUGAAUGCUCUCGACCAUAUGACCAUCUAAGCAUUCAUUUCCAUUUUACUGAAAACAGAUAAAAAUUAGACAAUGUUUUAUUUUAAAAAAUUCUAAAACUUAUUUGUAAUUACGAUGAUUUUAGUAAAUAACGAUCACUACAUGGAAUAAUUAUAAGAAAAAAUAAAAUGGAGAAACACUGCUAGCUUACAAGCAUCUCAUCUCCUUGUUCAGCUGUUGUGUGUGGAUUUUUUUUUUUUUUUUAGGUCUAAAUUUAAGAGUAAAUUGACUUGUUUUGAGCUGAAAUAAUCUGAAUUAAAUAAUUACAUUUUUAAUUUGUAUAAGGUAUUGAUAUAUCUUUGACUAAACUACUAGGCCUUUGAUCACAUGGUAGUUAUUUCUCUUAUUAAAAAUGAAGACAACGAUGGUUCUGUCCUUUUCCUAAUUAUAUUUGAGUGUUUGUAAAUAAAUUUCUAAAAUCUAUUAAAUAGAAUAAAUUUAUUUGUGACAUUUGUGAGGAAAAAAAUAACAAUUAUAUAUUUCUUAUUAAUAUACACAAAAAUGUUUUUUUUUUAAAUAUUGCGAUGCUAAAAUAACAAAAAAAAAAGAAAAAGAAAAAUUAUUCACCGACCACCUAUUUUUUCAUAAUUUUUCAAAAAUACAUAAUUUUUUUUUUUGUAGAGCUCCACCUGAAGUUAACAUUUUUUUAUUAGUCCACUCUCGUUAUAACAUUGUUAGAACUUUACUGACAUCAUAAGGGUAAAAUUAUCAUUUCACAACGACACAUUGGUGGAUAAGUGUAAAAUAAUAUAAUUUCAAGUAGAGUUCAAUAAAAAAAAGAAUUGUGUAUUUUUGAAAAAAUAUAAAAAAAUAGAUGAUCGGUGAAUAAUUUAUAUUUUACAUUUGAGGGUAAAAAAGUCACUUAUAUAAUAUUUUGUUAGUUUUUUUAAUGGUUUUUAAACAGAAGUGGACGAGUGAAAAAAAAUAUAAUUUUAAAUGGAUCUCAAUAAAAAAAAAUUAUAUAUUAAAAAAAAAAAAGAAUGGACGAUAGAUAAUUUUAAAAAAAAAAUGAUGACUGAGCGAUACGGAGAGUAUGCCUCGGACCCGAUCCGGACCAGGCUUUUGCCAAUUACAAUUGAAUUGAACUUGAUAAAGAUGUUAAAUUGGACCAAUAGCCUCUCAAUUCUUUUGUGACUGUGAGAAUGAGAUCAUCUUCGAUUGUGAAUCUUUAGUAAAAAAAUCUUCAUUAAUGCGGUUGAUAAAACUUUUGGCGCAAUUACGACCGUCAUCGAUGUGACCCCGCGUGGUGCUUAAAACAUGGAUCAAUACGCUGCAAAAGAAAAAUAAAAAUAGUGCAUGUACAGUUGGCAUAAUCAUUACUCUUUGUACAUUAGCAAGCAUCAAUCAGUGUCUCGGGGGUUUUUUCGCCAAACAGCCCUGAUCAACAUCCAUUUUCACGACGUCGUCUUGCCGUCCCGACCGUCCGAUGCUCCCAAUCGAAUUGGUUCGAUACAUGGAACGGCACAAAUCGAUUACGCAAUCAAAUAUUAAUAAAUUACAGGCUGAUCAUUUCUUUUAGAUUUUGACCACGAGCUCCACGUCUACAAGGUGUAAAAUAAUUGGAUGUAGUUGAGUGCAAGCAACCUAACCCCACACACACUUUGCUUUGAUUCAAACCAAUGGCGGCAAGGCGCGAUCACGUAAAAACUUCAAAUCCCAGGGGCAUUUUCGGAGAGCAAAGCUUGACUAACGAAAGUAACCGCUUGUGGUCUGGGUUUAGUUCUAGCCAAUAGGAAACUCCAAUUCUUAAAAAAAAAGAAUCUCCCACCUCUGGCUUCCCCUUCCCCAAUGUUACACCUGUAGAGACCUGAUAGCUUUCUUUUGCCGGCCGGGGACACGUGGCAACCACUUAGAAGUUCUGACGAGUUAAAAAAACAAAGACUACGUAAUAAACAGAACUAAAACUAUGAGAGCACCACCUUUGCUAUUUAAUUGCUAUGACGAUAAACGAAACUGUUAAGUAUUAACAAAGGCUUAGUGGACACGGACACCCCACAUCUCCGGCGAGAGACGGAGUGAGUCAGCAACCGGAGGAAACGUCGAGACUUAAGAUGGCGGGAGACGAGUCGGGUCCGAGUCUGUACAGAGACCUUCUGGAUCGGUUUGAGGGUUUGGAAGCGGGUCAUGCAAAGCUAAGAGAAGAGCUGAACGAUUUAUUAUUGCAAGAGAAGAAAAAAAAUGAUGACGUGGACGAGGUGGCGACCACGUCAGAUUCAGAUGCCGCAUGGAGUUCGACUUUGCCGGGGUGCUUCAACGAAGUGGGUCCCUACAGAAGCGUGCUGGAGUCCAUGGGACACGCGGUUCAUGUAUGCACUGCAUCUUCUGAGGACAUCAUUUAUUGGUAUGUGUGGAUGCCGUUUCAUUUAUUUGUCUUAUUUUUAUAUUUAUUUAUUUACUCAUGUUUCCAUGUUGAGUUCAAUGUUAAUUCUGGGUUGGGUUCCUCUUAAGAGGAAGUUUUGGAAGUCGGAUUUAAUUGAGGAAUAGCUUUGAUAGAUUUCAUGUGAUUGGGUGAUGCAAAGUGGAGUUUUGAAUUAGCAUUAGCGUUUUGUUUAAGAAUGAUGAAAGUUAAAGCUGACAAUUGAUAAUUAAACUCUUAAGAGUAAAGCUUAUGUGGUUCUUUUUGACACACAAGUUCAGAAGGAAUAUUAAUUCGUUUAAACCUCUACAGAUGCAUUUUCUUAGUUAUUUUUCAUUUUUUAUCCUGUGCCCGAGUUGAGGCUUUCCCAGUGUUGCUAAAAUUAGUCUUAUAUAUAUACAUGUAUGCUUUUUGCCAGUUUGUGGGUGAAUGGAAGUGUGCUCACCGUGUUCUAAUUGGAUCAAUGAAGCUGCACGAGUGGUGCUUGAAUAUUAAUUUAUCUGCUUCAAGGAACUUCUGUAUUUGCCCGUCAAACUGUAAUGCCGAAUUAGCAAUGGAUGUUAUUGGUAACCGUAGGUACAUGUCAUAUGUCUGUCCUUCAAAAAUGUAGCGAUGAUUUGUUUUUCAAAGUUCUAUAUCUGUGCACAGAAAGGAAGUGGACUACAACAUAUUCUUUGUUAUCAAAUGAGAUCUUAGAACAAGUACAUUUAUUAGUAUGUCUAAGCCCAACAAGAUCAGUACUUCUCUACUUGAUAGACUGUUGUUUGAAGUUACAGUGUAGCGAUAGGAGCGUAGAGGCCAGAAGAUCUUUAACCCAUUGAAAAAUCAUAUUUACGUGCUCAGGUCAGCGCAAUUGCAUCUUGCUUCUUACCUCGUAGUUUUCUGAUUUUGUAGCAAUUACAUCCUAGUUCAGGAAUCAACUACUAUGAACAAGAAGAAAAAGAAUAGCUCUUAUUCCUUGCAUACUUCCAUGACAUGCUCAGUUUCAUCACAUAUCACUUUUAGAUCAAGAAUUUUUGUUUUUUUUUUCCAGGAAUCGUUCUGCUGAAAGUCUUUACGGGUGGAAGGACCGUGAAGUCUUUGGGCAAAGAGUAACUGAAUUUUUAAUAGCUGAAGAAUUCCACUCCCCUCAUAAGAAAAUCAUGGAACGGUUGGCCUCUGGGCAAUCAUGGUCAGGGCAGUUUCCUUUCAAGAAGAGGUCCGGUGAAAUCCUUAUGGCCGUUGUGACAAAAAGUCCAUUAUACGAAGAUGGUGAGCUUGCUGGUUUUAUCACUGUUUCAAGUGAUGCGGCAAUAUUCAAUAGUAUCAAUCCGCAACACCCAAGACCAUACCCGAAUCGUGGUCAAAUGCGUGGAUUAAACUUGAAAAAGAUUCAAUGGCAACCACAUCAGCCUCAAAUUGCACAAGUGCCGAAUAUAGCUUCAUCCGUUACCAAUCUGGUGCGUAUGUACACACUUGUAUUAUUUUUCAUCUCUCUUUUCUGGUGCUAGUUUUAUUUAGCUUCUCACAGUAUUAUUCAAUUGCAUCAUUGAACUAAUCAGGCAUCAAAGUUUCUACUCCGGAGACGUGGAGAUGAUAUGUCCAAUGCAAGCGAAAGUUCCAGGAGCAAGAAGGAUGCCACAGACACUGAAGAUUUUAAGUUGGAGAAAUCUGGUACAAUGGUUAGUCUUACAUCUCAGUCUAUAAUAUACAGUAGAGUAAGGUAUCUAAGUAAUUUCCUUUGUUUCAGGAAGAAAAAUUGAAUUCCAAUUUCCAUAAUGAGGAAAGCACAGCUGCAGGAAGGAGCUUCAGGAAGGAUGAAUCUGCAUUUGAAAUUGCUCAACCUUCAAAAAUUGUACUGACUUAGUUUCAUCUUACCUUUCCUUUAGAUGCCCUUACUGCCUGUUAUAAUGAUGAUUUUGAGACUUUUGAAUUACAUUUGGCCAGUUAACCAUGUGUUCUUAAUUGUCUUAAGAAUUUAUACACGUGUUUAGUCAAAUUGGUUCUAGAAUUACAUUUGGCUGUUGAUUGUAUAUGCUAGUUGGAAUUUGAAAUUUUUAAGUUUUUAAGGAAUUCUGAGCUUGGUUGCACUGUAAUCUACAAAAGAUAGGUCACCUGAACAUCUAAAUUUCUUUUGGCACUGCUUAAUCUUAAAAUAGCGUCCUGCUCAAUUUCUUUAGUUGGAUUUAAUGCAGAUAGCAAAGGUCUUAGAGAAGCUGCACAUCGGAGAAACUGGCACCUAUGUCGGUGGAGAUGAUGGCAGUCUUCGGCAAAAUGGUUUAAGGUACAAAUCAUUCUGCAAUGAAAUAACAAAUAAGCCCAAUUCUUCUAGAUUUCCAGACCAGCACACAAGUAGUAGUGAAGAUAAGGCGAAAUGCGUGGGCAAAAUAAAUUCUUCUUUUGCGGCUGAAAAUGCAAAUGCAAACAUAUGUGAACAUAGGCUUCCAAAUGCUUCUGAAGAGAUCUUUUGUGACCUGGCUUUUUCAAGAGAGUGCAAUGAUCGUGGUACAUCAACCGGACACAGAGAAUUAUUGCCAGGCCAUGAUGUUAAUGAAUUGGAUCCAGAUGGGAAACAAUAUCCAAGUUUAGGUGAGAGCUCACGUAGUCGUGAAAGCUCAUCAAGCAAAGGGGAUAAUGAGACAAGCUGUGCAACAGAUGGUGGAAUUCGCUGGGAAGAUCUCCAAUUGGGUGAGGAGAUUGGCCUAGGUAAACUUUAUUUGUACAUUUGCAUAUAUCCCUGCAAUAAAGUAGAUGUUAAUAGUUCGAGUCCCUCCAUUAUGUUUUGAAGUUAGGUUGUUUUUAUCAUAUUUGUAAUUAUUAAGCAUCAUUACUAUCAUGCUUGUUUUUUGAAGAGGAAAAAGAAUGUACUAUUAAUAAAUGGAAUUUCCUUUUCAAGGCAUUAAAUUCUUAUUCACAUGAUUAAAUGCACAAACUAAAAGUAGGUCAUGUGUAUAUGUUUAAGUUUUAACAAUUUUUAAUUUUCCUCAUGCAUUGACCCCUUUGAGGUAAAUUCCAAGCAGUGUUGCUGUCCACAUCAUCCAUCCACCAUAAGCUGUUUCUUUAUAAAACAAAUUCUGCUUUACACGUAACUAUUGGGGUUGCCUAUAAUUUCACUGAUCUAGCCUGCGGUAAAUAUUAAAAACAUCCUUGUGGAAGAGGUCUCUGCUCUAAUUUGUCGGUAUGGAGUGUAAAGAAGUUUUUGGCUUGUUAUAGUUAUUAAGUGUAUUUGUUCUUGCCUUGCAGGUUCAUAUGCUGUUGUUUACCGCGGAAUUUGGAAUGGAUCAGUAUGGUCAAUAAUUCACAAGUUCGGAUUUGUUAAUAUGAGCAAGUGGAGAAUCAAUAAUUUUAGUUUGACUUUAAGAAUUGUUUGUUUCACCAGGAUGUUGCUGUUAAGGUUUACUUUGGGAGUGAAUACAUUGAGGGCACCUUAAAAAACUACCAAAAAGAGGUACUUUUGCAACUUUUGAGUUCUGUAUAUUAAUUCCAGAAAAGAGAUAACUGAUCCCAAAUUUUUUUUUUCAUAUUAUACAGAUUGAUAUAAUAAAAAAACUGAGACAUCCAAAUGUAUUGUUGUUCAUGGGAGCAGUGGCUUCACAGGAGCGACUUGGAAUUGUCACAGAGUUCUUACCCAGGUAAUGAACAGUUUUAUUUCAUUUGGGGAUGAUUGAUUAGUAUUACUUAGUGUUGGUAAAGGUUGUGAUGCAUUUUAUACGCCCUUAAUUGCAAUAUGCUUAUUACCAGAUUUUCUCUAUCGCUUCUCUUAUUGUGAGUGGGUUAUUUGUCACUGACGUUGAAUUUCUCGCAUUUUCAGGGGAAGCCUUUUCAAAACACUUCACAAAAACCACCAGGCAUUAGACAUUAAGCGGCGUUUGAGAAUGGCCCUAGACGUUGUAUGUUCUUUCUCUCUUUUUUGUGUCUUUAUGUGUUCUUCUAGAGACUCAAGGGUAAGACAGUUGGAUUUCAUUAGCUGUCAAACAAACUGUCAUACAAAUCCUUCCACUGCAGGCAAGAGGGAUGAACUAUUUGCACCAUAGAAAUCCACCAAUAGUACACAGGGACCUAAAAUCAUCUAAUUUGCUUGUUGACAAAAACUGGACUGUCAAGGUAAUGAGCACUGUUUAAUGCUUUCCAAUAAUGAAGCAAGUGGAUGGUCAAGAUCUUCAUUCAGUUAAUUUUUAUUUUUAUUUUUUUCCCCCUAAGGUUGGAGACUUUGGUCUGUCAAGUUUGAAGAAUGCAACCUACUUGACUGCAAAAUCUGGGAGAGGAACGGUAAUGGUGUUUUCUUGUUUUUUCUUCAUAGUCUUUGCUAAAUGCCCUUUUUUUUCCGAUGAAGGUGUUAAUGCUACUAGUUUUCCCCUCUGUUUUGAAUUUUGUUGCAUCAACAGCCUCAGUGGAUGGCCCCCGAAGUCCUAAGAAGUGAACCUUCAAAUGAGAAGUAAUUCCUAAUCUGAUAGUCAAGUUACAAGUAUUUUAGCUAUUAAAAGUUUAUUGUCUAUGGAUGGUUUAUGCAAAAUGCAGAGCUUUACACUAAUUGAUGCCAUUCCCUCUUGUUUAAUAGGUCUGAUGUGUUCAGUUUUGGAGUCAUCUUAUGGGAACUGGUGACUGCCUCCAUCCCAUGGAAUAACCUAAAUUUGAUGCAGGUAAUUUUCUUUCCAAAUGCACAGUACAUCUUGUGCACCUUCUCACAUGCACAUUCUAGUUCCAGCAUCGUUAAAGCCAUUGCCUUCCAUUUGUAAAGGUAGUUGGAGUUGUUGGCUUCAUGGAUCGAAGAUUGGAGCUACCAGAAGGCCUUGAUCCCCGUCUAGAAUCCAUUAUCCAUGACUGCUGGCAAAGGUACUUUCAUACUUCAUGCUCGAGUAAUGUCCAUUUCAUCAUCUUAAUCAACAAUAGGCAUGGCGAUGGAAACUAAACAUUCAUAUCAUUGACACAAGCAGUGACCCGGAUCAGCGUCCAUCAUUUCAAGUCAUAAUCCAAAGAAUGUCAGGCCUACUCCGCAGAGAUGGUGCAGCAACAGUUGAAAAGAACUCAGAGUGUUGAUAUUGCAAUGUGGAUUAGGCAAAAUAUGUACGGUCCCUUACACUAGUCAACAAUAGAUUAAAUGAGUUCAAUUUGCAACUCAUGUAGUUGAUUAGUUUGUCAACAUUAUUAAAAAGCGUAGUAUGAAUUUGUAGUACAUGUAGAUGUGAUAUAAUCUGAUGUCAAAAAUCCUAGUCGAUACAAACUUCCCAUGUCAAGCAAUGGCAUUUGUUACAAAGAGAUGGAAUUAGAUGCAAUGGCAUUUGUUACAAAGAGAUGGAUUAAGAUUUAACCGUCGGUAUGAGUUGUACAAAUGGAGCUGCAAGUUUUCGCCACUGCAGCAAGAGUAACAAUUAGCAGUUGUAUAUACAAGUCAAGGCGUCUCUCCACAAUGCAACAAUGUAUCCUGCAGCGCCUAGUUUUCGGUAAAAUGUUUCGGGCCCAUGAUUCUCCAAGUUCCCAUUUUUUACCUUCAAUCUAUGACAAAUUAUUUGACACACCGAUAAUUUCGUUACACCUCCAGAAUUUUUGGUUACUAAUACCUCAGAGUUCUAGGGUAGUUGAGGGUUGUUGAAGUCAUUCGCAAUUUCUCAUAAUCACGACAUUGACAUUUAUUAUGUCACACCUUGGGCCUCACUUCCUAUAUUUUCCCACCAUUUGCAGAAAAUGGAGAAAUCCCGAAUAUAAAAAGCUACCAUAAAGUGGGAAGUUGGAAGGCCUUUACGCUAAUUUCGUAAACAAAAUCCACCCAAUUUCCACAACCAGAAGAAUUGAAGAAACUAAGAAAAGAACCCCGAAGAUUUUACCGAUCAUUGAUUUGAAUAAAUAAGCAUAAGAGAGCUGUGAUCUCUUACAAUACAGGUUUGGGGUAUCUUUAGUCUUACAUUUUAGUUCUCAGUGGCCAAUGAGCUUCCAAGCUUUUGGAAUAUAUUCUCGCAUCCUGUCGUUUUUGUCUUUAUUGGGAGAUUAGCUUAGUCAAAGUUACCAGGGAUCGUAGCUCCAGAACUAGAACUGUGAUGUUGAGUCUUUUCAUAUCUAUAUAGGCUAUCGGAGGCACAACGUCUUGGACAAGCGAUUUGACACAUGACAUGAUUAUCAAAACACCAACGAUUUAUGUGCAUAAAAUUUGAGAUCGGUAGUGCCUAUUUAAUCAAUUUUCAGUAUAUAUUUUUGAAUGCCAGUGAUGGCACCGAUGCCGAAAAACGGAACCUCUAAUAUCUUUUUGAUUAUUUUAUAUAAAUAUUUAUUUAUAAGAUUCGUUUAUUUAUGGAAGUAUAAACUGAUAUCAAUUUUGAUAAGUAAUUAAUAAAUACAUUUAAAAUUUUAAUUAAAAGUAAAGUUUCUAUAUCCUAUUAUAAUAUAAUAAAAUUUGUGCAUUUUGGCCAUCGUAUGUAAAUAUUCUAGUCUUAGUAUUGAUUUAGCAAAUACAAUUAACAAAUUAUUUUAGAAGUAAUUGUAUCAUAAUCCAAAUUUACCAAACAUGUUUAAAAAUAUUUUCAAACUCGAUUAUUUCAAAAUUUAAUGUAAAAGUGAUUGCUUGAAAAUCAAAUGUAAUUCUAAAUAAACCCUUAGUUUCAUAUAUUUUAAAGAAAAUAUAUUUUUACAAUUUAUGGAGGACUCAAAUCCCUACCUCGGUAUAAAAAGUAAAAGGACAAAUGUGACCACUAUUCAACCAUGCAGGCAUAUUUAGUUUUGGUUUUUCCUUUUAUUUGUUUUACAAUCACAAAUUUGUUAUAAUAAUACACUUUAAAAAACUCGAUCUUAGUAAUAGUAGUACUACUCAACAUGCGCAGCCACUAAAGCCCCGUUUGGGACCGAGCUUAAUAUGUGUUUGGGGCACCACAAUUUAGCAGUACCAAAAAAAAGCUUAAGUUUUGUUAAUUAUUGUCUAAGUUUUAUGCCUUGCGAAUUCCUCUACGUACGUUGUGCUUGUUCACUCAGUCUUAACAAUCGCAGCGAGACAAAAGUAUUGUGGGGGUAUUUCAUUCCUCAAUUAAUUUGAGUGAAAGUAGUGUUCUCCCUUAUUCAUGAGUAAGGAGUAGACAUCCCUCGAAUAUUUGUGAGGGUUAAAAUCUGGGCAGAGCUCCAUUAGUAUUGAUGUCAGUUGGUCCCAGUAAUAGUCUGAUUUAUAAAUAUCAGUAAUAAUCUCAUGUAUAUGAGUUGUAAUCUGAGCAAUAGUCUCAUGUAAUAAAAAAAAAAAAAAAAAAAAACAAUCGCAGCGAAAGCUACUCGGGCUUGGGUAGAGCUGAUGCUCUCACAUCUCACAUGUGCGAUAGCGACAGUACCUUCAUAGUGUGUUAUGAGAGCUUAAUACUUUAAUUAUGAAAUUACUGAGUUAUUAAAUGAUAAAAUGUGAGUGAAGUAAUCGUCCCUUGAACAUUAAUAAGAAUUUCGAUAAUGUUUCGUAAGAUUUAAUAUAAAUUAAUUUAAAUGAUAAUUUGAUUGUAAAUUAAAAAAAAAAAAAAAUCGCUGACAAAUUUUGACCCAUGGGCUUUGUCAAAUUUGCACAAAACAAAACGAAAAUGAAUCACAAUCAGUUGCCCAGCAGCAUGUCUUUUCGUCUCUCUGCAUUAGAAGAACAUGCUGUCGUUGACUGGGGUCAACCCAUAACACGCACCACAAAAUAGACAACUGCUCUUGACAAUUUGAACCGCCAACUCGUGCUCCUAGCGAAGUUUUUCGUUGCCACGCGUUGUUAUCACAUGGCUAACUAUAGUUUCACCCGCACAGCCCCGGCCCGAUGCUGACAAAACCAAAAGCGAAAAGGGGUGCAGAAAGUGGACUUCUUUUCUUUCCUUUAAGAAACUAUUGGUGUUGUCGUGCAACACGUCGGCACGUGGUUUAACUUUGGGUUAAUUUCAAAUUAUUCCUUAAAAUAGUUCUCAUUAUUUUCAAAAAAAAAAAAACACCUGCCCUUUAUUUUGUUAAAGGUACCAACAACAAAAAUUACCAAUCCACUUAUAUAUUUUUUUAUUUUUUUUAAAUAUAAAUAAAAUAAUUUGAAAUUUAAAAAUAAGGAGAAUAAUUUAAAGAUAUAAAAAAUAUAUAUAUAAUUUACGCUUAAAUUUUUGUAGAAACUUUUAAAUUUUUUGGUAUAUUCAACAAGGCUCGCGUGCACUUUUUGUUAUUUACCUACCGUCUCGUGCAGAGAAUCCAAAACACCGACGUUCCUUUUGUGUCAAAAGUUUGACCAUGGUGAUUCUCACAUUCAGUCGACCUACUACCAUAUUUAAAUCACACGAUGGUUUUUCUUCCGAACAAAAAUUGCGCUGCAAGGACCAAAUAAUAAAAAUAUGCAACAAUACAUUACAUGCUGGGCGGUUCCUGGCGGCAGGGCAGUUUCGCCCUUCAGGAGGACUUUCACUAAAUAUUUUAAUUACGCAUUUUUACAAUUUUUGAGGCAUUUAUGUAUUAAUUUCUUAUAAAGUUAUUAAUUUAAGAUGAAUUUUUUUUUUUGCUUUUUAAGAUGUAAAAUUAUUAAUUAAUUUUAAUAUUCUAAAUUUACUAUUAUAUAUUUCUCCAUAGAUAAUUUAUAGAGAUUAAUAACAAAUGUAGCUAAUUCUAACUUAACGACAAAUGUAGGCUAUUUUAUAGAGAUUUUGAAGAAACAUAUAAUUCUAACGGUAUACUGAGAUUUUAUAGAGAUUAAAACUAUUAAUAAUUAUAAAGAGAUUUUGGUAGUUAAUUUAGGGAAAAUGGAUUAUAAAGCAAUGAUAAAAUUAAAAAAAAAAAAAAAAAAAAAACAAUACGAUAAUGAAUUUUUUUAGUUUUAGUACGUUGUGGGGCAUAGACAACUUCCUAGGGUUGAGCUGCUCGUGCCGGUGGCUUGGCAUUUUGCCGUGCGUGAACCUAACAAAUUGUCAAAAGGACACUCGCAUUGCAAGUGCAAGAUUUCUGAGAGAUCCUAGAUACGUUUCAGUCCUUACAGAACCCCAGCUUCUUUUUCAGAGAGCCUCAGCGUUCAGUCUCUGCUGUUUCGGAAGAAGCAAGCAACCGCACGUUAAUAUUAUGUUUCCAAUAAAUUUUUUUAACCCGUGACCAUUUCGAAUCCCGACGUCGUUUCAUCCGCCCUAAAAAAGUCGUAUCCCAUCACGGACGUGUGAUAUGAUAGCGUACUGAACCCGACAACAUUUUGUGCAAAACAUAAUUACAAAUUAAGAAGAAAAAAAAAAUGUUUCAUCCCACUCGGCCUUUGGCUGUUCCUCUCUCACAAUUAUGAGACCAACAGUUGGAUUCUCGUAUGAAAAUAUGGGAUCUUUUAAAAUUGUAUUUUAUGUAAUUUAUAAUUAAGUAAAAUUUAUUUAUUGAACCUAACUUAGUCUCAUUAUUUUAAUACUUAUUUUUAUACUAAAAUUUUUUAUUAUAAUUUAUAAUAAAAUGUAACUUUAAAAAAAUUAAAAACACAAUAUGCAUGAGGUAAGUUCGAGAGAUAUAAUUUUAGAUACAAUUAUAAACACAAAUUUCUGACUGUUAGAUUAUUAAAAAUGAAAAGUGAAGAUCGGAGGAUAUAAAUUAUUAAUUAAUAAAAAAUCAGCAUUAAAGUUACUUUUAAAACUAAAUCUAACAAAUAAUGUAGGUCCCAUCCUACAGUAAUUAAUUAUUUCGCUAAUUACUCUAUUUCUUACCUCACGCGGCUUCUUUUUCCUAUCAAAUCUAAAAAAACUUUCAGCUUCAAGCAAUCAAAAUCGUAAAAGACGAACAAAAGCAUUCCAUGUCCCUUAUCACAUUGAUUUGCAUGGAUUUAUGCAGAAAAGUUGCAUAAAAAUAUCAAAAAUGCCACGGGGAAAAUAAAUAUUUUAAUUCCAAAUUUUAAAACCGUUCAUUUAUACCAAGUUCUGUACCUUUUAACAACCAGAUAAGCUGAAAAUAGGAGAGAAAAACUAGAUUUUAUAAAUGAAAUAUUUUAUUGAAAGCCUGUUCUAAAUUUGAUUGCUGACCAUUUUAAUUCUUCUAACUGCAUAAGACUUAAAAGAGAGAUUAUAAAUUUUCUCUUUGAAAUUAAAUUCCAAAUAAAUGUCUGAUACUCAUACAAAGAAGUUGAUUUUGAGGGUUUUAAUUUUCUUUUUUUUUUUAAUUUCGAUGUGCAAUAUAGGAGAGAUAAACGAGUAAAUAGGAUAAAGAGAAAAAACAAAGAUCAAACACUGAAAGAGGAGAGAAAAAAUAUUAUUAUAAUUAGUAACUCAUAUCCUCUAAUCUUCGCCUUUCAUUCUUUUUUAAUCUAAUAGUCAAUAAUUUAUGUGUGUGUAUAAUUAAUUAUGUAAGGAUAUAUAUUUCUUUCACUAGCUUGGAUGGAAAAUAUGUUCUUCUAUUAUCAAAGCACCUAGAAAUCUGGACUUUAAAAUUGGGGUGGGGGAUUUAGGGCAUGUCCAAAAAUGAGAAAGUGACUAAAUAAUGAAACCAUCAGAGAGAAAGUGAGAAACUAUGAUUGCCCGGAUCCAUCCGUAUCCACCUGAUUAGCCACCUGCUCGGAUCACGAGCCAUCAUUAUCGCAAAGAUUUUUCUCCCUUGAUCUGAUCAACCGAUGUUGUGGCCCCAUUUUUUACGGUUUCAUCAUGUGAUCAUCAAGUGACAAGUCAUCAAGAUUUCCGUAAGUAGCAGUGGAUCUGCGUUCUAAAUUGGGAAAAUAUUCUACUCUCGUACUUUACCAAAAAUAUAUUAAUUUUUUUCUUAAUUUCCUAUUUAAAAUUUAUAAAAUAUAUCAUUUUUUUAAUAUUAUUAUUUUACUACUAAAGUUAUUCUGAAUUAGUACCAUAAUUUACCAAAAAAUAUAUUUUACUAUCAAAUAUUUCCAUCGUUAUCAAUUCCCAAUCAUUCUGUUAAGAACGGUAAAAAUUUAUUGAUGUAUUAUUGAUGUAUUAUUGAUGUUAUAAGGGUAUCAAAGACAUUUUCAGCUAUAAAGUGCAUUAAAGACAUUUCAAGUUGAAACCUAAACGCUGCGUUUUGGAAAAAUAAUUAAAGAUUAAAGAAUUAGGAAAUUAAACCCUAAAAUCAAUCCCUCUCUCACUGUGAAACCUCCAUCUUCGAUCUGUCUCUCUCCCUCGCUGCUGACUCACGGCCAUCUCCACUACUGUUUAUUCUCUCCACUGUGAGUUGUUGACUUCUUCUUUUUUAUUGGCUUAUUGUUCAUUAAUUUUUUCCUUAAUUAAAUUAUUAUUAUUUUUAGUUGUGAUUAAUACUUGAAUUACAAAGGGUAAAAUUGUCUUUUAUGGUCAUGGGAUAAAAUCGAUUUUUAACUCAAUUUUGUUGAACAUUAACGUUAUAAUGAAUGUAUUUUGAAUAAUUAUGACUAUUUCUAUUGGUGAUUUAUUGUUGUCAAAGAUAAUAUAUGAACAUGGUUCUUGAUUUAUGCAGUAAAUGAGCUAUAAAUUAGUUGGAGUACUUAUUUUGAUGAUUUUAUAUCUUUAUAUUAGAAAGUUUGACGAGUUUAUAUAGCUAAUUUUGUAGCCAUUAUUGAUCCCAACAGAUACAAAAUGAAAUCUUUUUUCUUUUGGUUAUUUAGCCAUGAUUAUAUAGUCAUUUUACGUUCAUGGAUAAAAUAGUUAAUUUAUCGAUAUUCUAUUAAAUCCUUUAUAUUAUGUUAGAUUAUCUAAUAGAAAAGUGAAAAAAUGAUACACUUUACAAACUCUUGUGAUAAGCUAAAAAAGAAAAAAAAAAUUGGUGUAUUUUUUGUGAAGAGUAGGAAUCCAUAUUAUACUAGGAUUAGUUUCCUUAUUAACUAAAGUUUAAGACUUUUAAAUUCCUUUCUAAUUUAGAAUUUUGUUUCCCUUUCAAUUUAGGAUUUUGUUUUUACUUCAUGAAUUAGGAUAAUUACUACUACUAUAAAUAGCUCCCUCUUGUAGCCUUUGAAGGAAGAAUUUUGAGUUCAAUAAUAUUUCAAUUUUCAAAUCUCUUUGUGAGUAUUUGAACAGUUAAUUCUCGGUAUUUUGCGGAAUCAACGAGUCUUAACCCCUAAAUUCGCGGUAUUCUUUUGAAUCAACGUGAAUUUAGUUGUUCUUUUAUUCUGGUAUUCUCUAGAAUCAACGGAAUAUUUUGAACAUUAAACUUUCCGCUGCAUCAGUUUGGUAUCAGAGCCAAAACCUGGUGUCACCAAUCUAACUCCAUCUACCACCAAAUCUUUCUUCUUCUUUUUUUCCCUUUUUGAUUCUUCCGUUUAGCCCCACUACCUUUUCAAACCCGAAUUUGAUAAAAUGCCUCCAAGAAAAGCUCGUGAUGCUCAUACUGCAACUUACAAUCAAGAAGAUAUUUCUAAAGAUGAAGCCCUAGCUAGUAUGACAGCCAGAAUUGAUAUGCUAGCUGCACAAAUGGCACGAAUGGCAGAGUUACUUGACGAACGCCAUCUUACUCCAGAACAUUAAGACAAAUCAAGUGGAAGCUUUGCUAACCCAUUCUCUGGGUGUCGACCUAAAACUGAGUCUACUGAUGAUAGAAGAUGGGAAUCUGGGUUGAGAAUUGACAUUCCCGAAUUUUAAGGAAGUGGUCAACCUGAAGAAUUAUUGGAUUGGAUUAAUGCUAUUGAGGAAGUUUUUGAAUACAAAGAAGUUCCUGAAAAUAAACUAGUUUCGCUUGCUGCAACUCGAUUUCGUGGAAGAGCAGCAGCUUGGUGGCAACAAACUAAGCUCACAAGGAUUAGGCAAGGCAAAAAGAAGAUUGAUUCUUGGGAAAAGUUCAAAAAGCACUUGCGUGGAGCAUUCUUGCCUCAUAAUUACGCCAAACUGUUAUACCAACAACUACAGAAUUUAAGGCAAGGUAAUCGAUCAGUGGAUUAUUACACUACAGAACUUCAUUGGUUGGUGACACGCAAUGACUUGACAGAGACAGAAGAACAACAGGUUUCCCGCUACAUUGGAGGCCUACGAUCUCAAUUUCAAGACCAAUUAAAUUUACUUGACCCAUACUCUGUUUCAGAGGCACACCAACAAGCCCUACAGUUGGAGAAGCAAUUUAGUCGACGUACUAAUGACUCAAGCUUUCGGGGUGCUCGAAGUGUUGUUCGUGAUAAUUCAAACCCAACUUUCCAAUUUCGUAAUUUCACUCCUCCAAAUCCUCCAAAUAAAACUAGUAAACCUAGUGAAAUCGGUCAAAGCAGCAAAACUCAAUCCUCGGGUUCGGGAUUACGCUGUUUUAAUUGCGGAGAAAAUAGGCACCGAAUGACAGAAUGUAAAAAGGGGGGAAAAUAUGGUAAAGGCUUAUUCGUAGGCACAGAGGAAAGCGAAGACUAUCAGGAGGAAGAAACUGAAGAGUUUGCUGUAGAGCCAACUUUUGAUAGUAGUGGUAGCGCUCAAUCUGUUGAAGAACAUGGUGAUAGCGGACCAAUGUUGAUCGUGAACCGUGCAUUCUUCACUCCUAAAGGGCAAGACAAAGAAAAUUGGCUACGACAAAAUAUCUUUCAGACUACUUGCACAAUUGGGGGUAAAGUAUGUCGUAUGGUCAUAGACUCAGGCAGUUGCGAGAAUGUCAUUUCGGAAGAAGCCAUAACAAAGCUAAAUUUAAAGACAGAACCUCAUCCAACUCCAUACAAGCUCACAUGGCUGAAGAAGGGAAAUCAAGUGGCAGUAUCGAAACGUUGCUUAAUUUCCUUAUCCAUUGGUUCAAUUUGUAAAGACAAAAUUUGGUGUGAUGUUGUGGCUAUAGAUGCUUGUCAUCUAUUACUGGGUAGACCUUGGCAAUAUGAUCGAAACGUAGUGCAUGAUGGGAAGAGAAACACAUACAGCUUUAUGUUUAACAACACCAAGAUCGUUCUCCUACCUAACAAGGAGUUUACUCUCCAGCAAGACUUUGGUAAUUAUUUGUUAGGCAAGAAGCAAUUUAUAAAUGUUGUAGCAGAGACAAAGAAAGUCUACAUUUUAUUGGGAAAAGAGAGUAACGGUGAUUCGAAGAUUCCUGAAGCUGUGACACCUAUUCUGGCGGAAUUUCAAGAUUUGUUCCCCAAUGAGCUACCACAGGGUUUACCACCUCUUCGAGAUAUACAACACCAAAUUGAUUUGGUACCAGGUUCUACAUUACCAAAUCGACUUCAUUAUCGUAUGAGUCCUACAGAACAUGAGGAAUUAAGGCGCCAAGUGGAAGAGUUACUAGAAAAGGGAUUUAUCCGUGAAAGUCUUAGUCCCUGUGCAGUCCUUGUUUUAUUGACUCCAAAGAAAGAUGGUUCUUGGCGGAUGUGCGUGGACAGUCGAGCUAUCAAUAAAAUUACAGUUCGAUAUCGUUUUCCAAUCCCUCGAUUAGACGACUUGUUAGAUCAACUCAGUGGAGCAACAAUUUUUACCAAACUUGAUUUGAAAAGUGGCUACCAUCAAAUUCGAAUACGGCCUGGAGAUGAAUGGAAAACAGCUUUUAAAAUUCGCGAAGGGUUAUACGAGUGGUUAGUAAUGCCGUUUGGCUUAUCCAAUGCUCCGAGUACUUUUAUGCGAGUCAUGAAUCAAGUUCUUCGCCCUUUCAUUGGAAAGUUUGUGGUUGUUUACUUCGAUGAUAUACUUAUAUAUAGCACCAGUCACGAGUUACAUCUACAACAUUUGAGAGAAGUGCUUUUAGCCUUAAGAGCAACAAGUUUAUACACAGCAGUAAACAAGUGUAUUUUCUUGACCGAGAAAGUAUUAUUUUUGGGAUAUGUGGUGUCGAAGGAUGGUAUAUUUGUUGACCAAUCAAAAGUGGAUGCUAUUCGAGAUUGGCCUCAGCCAACUACUUUAUCCACCACAAGAAAUUUCCAUGGAUUGGCCUCUUUUUACAGGCGAUUUAUUCCUCAUUUCAGUACUAUUAUGGCACCAAUCACAAAUUGCAUGAAGGGAGGACAAUUCUCUUGGACAGAGGCAGCUACUAAGGCAUUCAAGAUUAUCAAAGAAAAGUUGAUUACUGCCCCAGUACUUGCCAUACCAGAUUUUUCGCUCACUUUUGAAGUACAUUGUGAUGCUUCUAAGGUCGGCAUUGGAGCUGUUCUUAGCCAACAGGGUAAACCUAUAGCUUAUUUCAGUGAGAAGUUGAAUGGAGCAAAGGCACACUACAACACUUAUGACGUGGAAUUUUACACAGUAGUCCAAGCGUUAAAACAUUGGCGACAUUAUCUAAUUCAUAAAGACUUUGUUUUAUACACUGACCAUGCCGCGUUAAAGUACCUCAAUAGUCAAGACAAACUCUCUCACAGACAUGCCACGUGGACAGCAUUCCUUCAACAAUUUACCUUUUUGGUGAAGCAUACCUCUGGUGAAUCCAACCGGGCAGCAGAUGCAUUUAGUCGACGAACUUCUUUAUUGACACAGAUGCAUAAUCAAGUUCUCGGAUUUGACACAUUUCGAGAGUUAUAUGCUUCUGAUCCUUACUUUGCUCCUAUAUUAGAAGACGUUGUUGCAGGGUUUCGCUCAAAUUACCAUUUACAUGACGAAUUUCUUUUCAAGAGUAAUCAGUUGUGUGUUCCUGACUCAAGUUUGAGAUUGAAAAUCAUUUCAGAGUUACAUAACGAAGGGCACAUGGGUCGUGACAAAACUCUGGCUCUAAUCGCCAACACUUAUUUUUGGCCUACUAUGAGGUGUGAAGUAUAUCACUAUGUCGAGACUUGUUGCAUUUGUCAAGUUUCCAAGGGCGCAGCAACUAAUGCUGGGUUAUAUAUGCCGCUGCCGAUUCCAACACAACCUUGGGCUAACAUUAGUAUGGAUUUUGUUUUGGGAUUACCCCGCACUCAGAGGGGUAUGGAUUCAAUAUUUGUUGUUGUUGAUCGAUUCUCGAAAAUGGCUCACUUCAUUGCUUGCAAGAAGACUACAGACACUUUGACUGUUGCUCGCCUAUUCUUCAAGGAAGUCUAUAGAUUGCACGGUUUACCAAGUUCUAUAGUAUCUGACCGGGAUACACGAUUUCUUAGCCAUUCUUGGAAGACAUUAUGGAAGUUGACUAACACUCGCCUGAAUUUUAGUAGUGCUUACCACCCACAAACAGAUGGUCAAACUGAAGUUGUCAACCGCUCUUUAGGAAACCAUCUACGUAGUCUAGUUGGUGAUAACUUGAAGAUGUGGGAUCAGAAGUUAUAUCAAGUCGAGUUUACUUAUAACCGUGCAGUUAAGCGUAGUACUAGUUUAAGCCCUUUUCAGGUGAAUUACGGAUAUAAUCCACGAGCUCCUAUCGACUUGGCUCCAGUUCCAGAUUUAGUUCACAAAAGCGGUAAAGCCGAAGACUUUAUUGAGCAGCUUCAGCAAAUUCAUGAAACUACACAAGAGUCUUUGAAGCAGACGACCGAAGGUUAUAAAAUUAUGGUAGACAAAAAACGUCGAGCUUUGGAAUUUCAAGUGGGAGAUUUUGUUUGGGCUGUCCUAAUUAAAGAUAGAUUCUCAGUUGGUGAGUACAACAAGCUUUCUGCCAGGAAAAUCGGCCCUUUGGAGAUUAUAGAGAAGGUAAAUCCUAAUGCCUACAGAUUAAAGCUUCCUAGUCAUAUCCGCACUGCAGAUGUAUUUAAUGUUAAACAUCUUAUUCCUUACAGAGGUGAUCAUGAUGAAGAUGUUGUUGCUGACAAUCAGAAUUCGAGGGCGAAUUCUCUCCACCCUGGGGGGAAUUAUGAAGAGUAGGAAUCCAUAUUAUACUAGGAUUAGUUUCCUUAUUAACUAAAGUUUAAGACUUUUAAAUUCCUUUCUAAUUUAGAAUUUUGUUUCCCUUUCAAUUUAGGAUUUUGUUUUUACUUCAUGAAUUAGGAUAAUUACUACUACUAUAAAUAGCUCCCUCUUGUAGCCUUUGAAGGAAGAAUUUUGAGUUCAAUAAUAUUUCAAUUUUCAAAUCUCUUUGUGAGUAUUUGAACAGUUAAUUCUCGAUAUUUUGCGGAAUCAACGAGUCUUAACCCCUAAAUUCGCGGUAUUCUUUUGAAUCAAUGUGAAUUUAGUUAUUCUUUUAUUCCGGUAUUCUCUAGAAUCAACGAAAUAUUUUAAACAUUAAACUUCCGCUGCAUCAAUUUUUUAUUAUGUACAAAACAUGAUAUUUACCCUUCUGAACUUUGCUUUUCAAUUACUUUCAAAUAAGGGGUAUAUGAGUUAUUUUCAUGACUUCGUAGGAUUAGUGAGAUAAUUUAGAUGGUCAUCUUAUGUCUUAUCUUCUUUUUUUAUUUUUAUUUUAUUUGAAGAAGUAGGAUAAUUUACUUUGAGUCUCCAGUUUCAUCAGUCCUAAUACUCAUCAGUCUAAUAAAUAAUUCAACAAUAAUGCUCGCUUAAAUAAAUUUAAAAAACAAACCAUCAAUGCAGUGAUCAUAUAUAUUUUUGGAAAAAAAUAUUAAUAUGUUUAAAUUACAAAGAUACUAACGAUUAUGAUUAGAAUAAUGUUAAGAUUAACUGAAAUCAACUUUAAACACAAUUCUGUCCUCACUAAUUUAAAAUUGGGUAUACGGGUGGGCACCAAUGGACUUGUAAGCUCAUUGGCAUUUUUGUUUAGAGUUGAAGGUUAGUAAGAUACAUUAAAAGGAUCAAAGUUGGCUAUAUUAUGCUCAAAUAUAUAAAUUAGAUCGGGCUCAAGUACAGUAUUUAGGUUUCAUGUAAGACAAUCUAAGACCCAAAACUUGGUUAGAAGAACCCCUAACAAUAAAAUUAUAAAAAAAAAAUGAAUUCCUUCAAUCGAAAGCAAAAAUGACUCAACAUAUUAAAACCUUAUAAGGCAUUUGAGGAUUUUUUUUUUCAAGUUUUGCCAGGUUUACUUAACUUACUUUAUUUUAUAAAAAUAAAAUAAGUUUAUCUUUUAAUUUAUAUAAGGUUGCAGUUAUGUUGGAGCAUCUUCGAUGUAGCGUAGCCACAUCAACCGUUGGAUGUAUGUGAAAAUUUUGAAAUAAUUAUAACAACAUACACCUAACCGUUGUAUGCAUGCUCCAGCAUAACCGGACCGGACCCAUUAUAGUUACCGAUAUAUUAAAAUUUGAAAAAUAGAGUGCCCUCUAAAAUGGGCAACAUUACUCAUAAUCAUAAAUGACAUAAAUCUAAUCACAAAAGUAAUCAAUUGGUUUACUUUAAAAAUUAAGAUUGAUAAUUGACAGUUAUCAAAUUCGCCGGGCCAUUUCCCUAUCUAAAUUUAUUGUUUUAUUUAUGUGGGAAAAAGAAAUUGAUUGAUUAGACGUGAUUUAACGUGAUGUACACUCGGAUUUGUAAACCACAAAGACCUAGUAAUGCGGUAAUUUGCGGACUCCGGUUAAAAAAUAAUUCCGUUAUUAGCUGCGAUUGGGUAUUGACCGCGCGUGUUUCUCUGGCACGUUCGCUACACGCGGCGGCGACCAUACGAGCACACCAAUAACCUCUUUCAUUGCUUUUCGUCCAUCCUAAUUGUUCCCAUUUGGUUAUCAUCAAACACAUUACGGUUGAUUUGCAACAAUUACCAAACCAUCUCCAAAAGUUACUAUUUGUCCCAAAUUUAUCACUCUUUUGGUCCAUUUAAAAAUUAUAUGCGGGCGGAAUUACUUUGUCACAUUGAAAAAUAUAACCUAUUGUUAACUUGGGGCAUAAAAUUAAAAUUUAAGUUUAAAUAUAUACGACAUUCAAAGUUUAAAAUAUAGAAUUUAAAUACGUGAGUACGAGUAUAAAGUGAUUCUCAGUCAUUCUCUGUUGGCGGCAACUUAUAAUAAACUUUUUUCUCAUUCCUUUUUUUUUUUUUUUUCCAAUUAAUGAAGGUGAGAGCUCUAACAAGUUAUGAUUACCUUGCAGGUAGGCAAUUGACUCUGCCAGAUUUUAUUUUAUUUUUUAUUUAAUUAAUGUGUUCAGUGUUUGUUUUCUCACAUCACAUUAUUACUUUACAAAUUUGUCUUGAUUAAUUAUUUUCUUUCCUAAAAGGCACAUACUAAAAAACCUUAACUCUUGUAUUGAUUUUACAUGGUUGUCCCAAUUUUUUUUUUCUUUCAAUAACAUCAACUAAUAUAAUUGAUUUGUUUUUUUUAAUUUCAUUGUUAUAUUACCUCCUAUGAGUCAACUGACGAUCUUAUUAUCGACUUAAAUAAUGACUUAGGCAUCGAAGGUUUCAAGCAUACCUUUUGCACGGUAGAGUGGGGGUGCUACGGAUGUAAGAGUAAAAGUCUAUAAAUCCCCUAAUUUUGGUGAAAGUAUCCUUAUGGUAUAUUGUAUAGCACCAUAGCAGGACUAAGUUGAGACAAGUGGUAAAUAAAUGGACUAAUUUGUUGUUUUAUAAAUCUAUAGGGACCCUUGUGAGAAUAACUCGCGUUCCCAUCAUUUUUAAUACAACCCACAAACUCUUCCCCCUUUCACACUACACUAAACUCAAACUCCCCUCUCUCUCUCUCUCUCUCUCUCUCUCUCUCAUGCAACUCCAAAACUAAAAACACUCACUAGACCACCACAAUGGGCAAAGCCACGAAGUGGUUUCGCAGCAUUCUCGGGCUAAAAAAGCCCGACCCGACACACUCUCCAUCUCAGCCAAAUACCAAGGAGAAACGCCGGUGGAGCUUCGUCAAGUCUUACAGAGAAAAAGACUCCUCCCGAGAAGCUACUGUUAAGCACAGCUCGUUGAAGUUGAACGAACGAGAGACUAGAGCUGACGAUACUCCGUCCUCGGAAUGCGAGGACGCCAACAAGCACGCGAUCGCCGUGGCCGCGGCCACCGCUGCGGUUGCCGAGGCCGCGGUCGCUGCAGCCCAUGCGGCCGCGGCCGUUGUCAGGCUUACGAGCAACAGCGGUAGGUGCGGUAACUUCCCCUCUGCUUACGUCGGUGGUUGCGGUGGGACCCUCGAUGAGCCGGCAGCGAUUAAGAUACAGUCGGCUUUUCGUGGAUACUUGGUACGUAUUUUAUUUUAUUAUUAUUACUUUAUUUUUGUUAAAAGAAAAAAGCUAUGGUCGCCAUGGAUUUUGAUGUUAAGAAGCUACGGGUUCAGAGUUGGAUUUUGCAUCGGACAUGGCUGCUUAGUUGACACGUGUCAUCUUACAGCUUUUUAUUCUUCUUCUUCUUCUUCUUCUUCUUCAACCGCGAAGAGAAGACGACGAUAUAAUUAAAAGUUUUAACGUCGUUUUCCGAAGUCCUGGCUCUCUUUAUACGAAUCAGGCAAAACACGUCCUUCUCAAAUUCAUUUCUCUGCAUGGUAAAAUUAUUCCCUUCGUUUCCUUUCUUCUAAAGACCUUUUGGCAAGUGGCAACCAGAGCACACUGCCCAUGCUUAAUCCAGCAUUUACUCUCUCCUCUUAUAGGAUUCAAUUUUCCACUGACUUGUCGCUACCAUGCGUCUGGGUGCGCAAUGCGCACUACCCGAAAACUGUGUGCUUCCCUUUUAUUUCCGUCGUUGUGGCGGUUUCAUAAUUCAUACCGCUUGAUGAUGGUGAUGAUGUCUUGUAUUGAAUCACCUGCUUCAUAGUAACGGGUUCUUAAAGAGGGGCUACAGUUUGCAUACAUAAUAAAUGCAGAAUUAAGUAUUGACCGCCAGCCGGUUCCCUGUUAAGUUCUGUUACAUGAUACACUUGAAAAUAUUUAAUUGGAAUAGUUCAUGUGGUUUGAACCAACUGGAUAGUGAAGCAUCUUAUUAACCUAUGGAUCAUGGAGUAUAAUUUAGUCAAACAAUAGAGAGAGAAGUAUAACACUGCCUUUAUGUAUUAAAACAAUUUGAUUGUUCAUCUUGGGAGUCUGUGCACGAAGUUUUUGAGGAAUUUGAAGACCGGAGUCCAACGCUCCAACUUUGACAUCUUUUGGGCUUUUGGAGCAGUUGGUGGGUCCAAACCAGUGGAAAGUUUGUUGUGUGUAUGUGUUUCCUUAAGUGCAUUUGCAUGACUUUUUAGCUAUAAAGUUUGGGUUGGUUGAGGCACUUCAAUGUUAGAUUAAUUUAACAAAAUAGUCAGACUCUCGUAUGAACAUAACCCUUUUCUUCUAAUUGGGCGGCCAGUUAGAUGUCGUUGUCUAUUUGAUGUUAAUUGUCAGAUUUUCUUUUCUGAGAGGGCUAGAUUGAAGAAAAAGAUAUGUACUACUCAUAGAGCCUGUUUCCUUUAAAUUUUUCGUUCAUGUUAGUUUAGGCGCCUUGUUCUAAAAGGUAUCCUGCAAUCUAUGGUUUUUUUAAUGAUGAAACAGUGUGGUCCUCUUCUGUAUGCCUUGACUCUUGAAUGAUAGGUCGCUAUAAUGUUCUUGUGAUCUUAAUCAGAUGGUGGUCCAUUGCAGCUUUGCCUUUAUUGAAUUUGUUAAUGUGAUAAGCAAUUCAUUAUUAUUCCAUUUGCUUAGUUGCAUUGUGAUUAUGAGUUUGGUUAACAACCCUAUCUCCCAUGGACAUUUUGAAGGCAAGGAGGGCUUUGCGAGCAUUGAGAGGUUUGGUUAGGCUUCAGGCACUUGUAAGAGGUCAUAUUGAGCGGAAAAGAACAGCAGAGUGGCUUCAGCGAAUGCAAGCAUUGCUGAGAGCCCAGGCACGUGCUCGUGCAGGACGGGCUCAAAUAUCUGAAUCUUCCCAUUCAAGUGGCAAAUCUUCACAUUUCCAACAGCCGGUAAGCAAAAUUCAUUUUCCCUCCAAUAUUUGAAUUUUUCUGUAAUUUCUUUGUGGGCAAGUGAUAUACACUUUAUGACUGUGGGGCACCAGGCAACUUUUCUUUUUGUUCUCUAGACAACUUUUCUUUUUGUUCUCUAGACAACUUUUCAGUGCAUCUUUUAAGUUUAUGAAUUUUAGUGAAGCUAAUGACACUUGGAACUUACAAAAAGUAGCUGCAAUAUAUCAAGCAGGCCUUUUUAUGCAAUUAAUUGUAACUUCAAAAGUAGUUGUAUGCAUUAAGGCCAACUGGUUGUAUACUAUACCUUAAUGUUUUUUGGUUAAAGCGGCAAAGAGUUGUUAAGAUCCUUAAGAAACUUUCGUACACUACCAAUCACUAGGAAAAUCUAGAAGCCCUGUCAUGGUGCAGAUCUAAUUUUUCCAGUAAUUUUUCUGCACUGUGGGCAAAUUUAUGGCUUCAUUUGCUUAGGAGCAUUCCCAGUUACAGUUUUAUAGUUUAAUUCAUUUUGCAUAAAUUAUGUAAAUUUAUUGAGUUUCACAUCAUGUGCAGGGACCACCAACCCCUGAAAAAUUUGAACAUUCCAUCCGAUCAAAGAAUUCAAAAUGUGAAGUAUCAUCAGCGCUUAAGGUGCAUUCUCUUUCUUUGCCCUUCUCUCUUUUCUUUAAUCCAAUUUGAAUCAUUUCAGAACUAAUAAACACAUUAAUGAAUGCAGAAAAAUGGAUCAAAAUCAAAUGGCAGGGUUAAUGUUCAUCAUGAAAAAGCCCAUGUAAGUUGGAAUUGGCCAGAAAGUCAGAUGGAUAAUCGAUCCAAGAACCAAAAGGCACCGCCAACAAAGACUGGUGCUAUAGAUGAUGAGAGGAGUGACAAAAUCCUUGAAAUUGACACUGGGAAAAUGCACUUUACACCCAAACGCAGAAACCUAUUUCACUCUUCCCAUCUUACAGUGUCAUCAGAUCAUUAUAGUCAUAGCUUCACUUCUUCGAAAGACUCAACCGCCCACCAAACUGAACCAAGUCCAUCUUCAUGUGAAGUUCAAUCUUUAAGCCCCUUGAAAUUCUCUCAUGAGGUUGAGGAUUUCUGCACUGCAGAAAAUAGCCCACAAUUCUAUUCUGCAUCAUCAAGAGGUGGUAGUUCAAAGAGAAGCCCCUUCACUCCCACGAAGAGUUACAGUUCACAAAGCUGUCUAAGCGGUUACUCAGACCAUCCAAACUACAUGGCCUACACAGAAUCAUCAAGAGCCAAGGUGAGGUCUCUCAGUGCUCCGAAACAAAGGCCACAGUACGAAAGAUCCAGUUCAGCAAAGCGGUAUUCCAUUCACACAUUUGCCGAAUCAAAAUCAAGUGCCCAGAGGUUUACUGCUUUGCAUGCGAACUUUACAAACAAAGCAUAUCCAGGAUCCGGUCGUCUUGACAGCUUCGGAAUGCCUGUUGGGCAGAGAUUCUAAAUACAUCCUCCUCCUCGUAGCGUUUAAGCUGUAUUAACUUUUUAACUUUUGUAGUUAGCUUGCUUGUGUUGUCUGCUGUCCAAGAGACAUCGAGUUUCCUCCGUUCAGGAUUUUAAUUAUGGAUCUGAAUCUCACACUUCACUGUGACCGUCUAAUAUCUAAUGAAUGUAACUUUUGCCGCCUUUGGACCCUACCAUUCAUUAUAUUACUGCAUGUUCUUACAAAUUAUGUAUGCUAGUGCUUUGAUUCAAAACAGUCUUAAAAUUUUUAUUAAGAGUCUGGAAGGUCCAUAUUGUCCGGGAAACCGUACAAAGUGCAAUUUGGUAAAGAUGAUGUCGGUUGCGGGGAUAGAUGAAUAACUGAAAUUGAAGCGAAUGCCAUUGCCAGCCUGGUUAAGCCGCGGUCGGUCCCGUGUGGCUGUAUUUUCUAAAGAUUCAAGCAUUUACAUUUUGAAUGAAAUGGAGAGAGAUUAGUUCAUCAUUUCAUUAUCAAGCGAUGGAGCCCGUGUCCUGCCACUAGCUUUGAAUUUUGGUUACUGUCAGGUGAUGUGAUGGGCAUCUCAAUCCUGAUGGCCCUCAGAUUUCAAUCUCAACCACCGUAUCCGAUCAACUGGAAAAUGUGCUGUUGUCUAGCCGGCCAGGCUGGGCAACUCCCCGCUAUAAAUGGUAAUAACAAUAAUAUCCUGGAAAACGUUUUCCACAGUUACGUACCAAAAGCAGAUUUUACUAAUUGAACUUGAGAAAAUUGUAUCCAAUGAAAAGAAUUUGGAUAGGCUACCUAGAUUCCACAUGCAAAGGUCAACGUUGGAUGGUAGGAUAUUAAAAAUAGAUUAGAAUUUUCCUAUGAUUUGAGUUUUUAAAGUUAUUUUAUCAUGCCUUACAUAGAAAUAGGUGUAUAAAUAAUACAUAACUUCUUUACCAUUUUAUAUUUAUGGGGUAAAGGUCCCCAGUGUUUUGAUUAGUUUCUUAAAAUAGGAAAAUAAAAUGCCAGUAAGGUGUCGUGGUGUAGUUGGUUAUCACGUCAGUCUAACACACUGAAGGUCUCCGGUUCGAGUCCGGGCGACGCCAGAAGUUUCAAUUUUCCGUUUUUCACAUUAUUGCAUUAUUUGACGAACUUGAAAUUGACCGAACAGUUUUAAUUUUUAAAAUUUUAAUCAAAAAAGGAUUUAUUAAAAUAGAAGAAAAAUGGAUAAUUUGAUGGGUUCUUUAAAACAAGUAACGGAUGCAGUAUGGAUUCUGGAUACUUGGAAAAGAAUAUAAUGCUGGACCCAAAAAUAAAUAAGGAUGAAACUAUGUUGCAACGGUUGCAACGUACCACCGGCUUUUGUCUUUUUCAGUUAAUUACACCACACUACCUUAUAUUUUAUGAAACUUUGAAUAAACACUAGAAGCUACAAAUGUUUACAUAUAAGUCCUUUUGGGAAUAAAAUGACUUUAAAAAAAAUUUAACUGUUAUUAUUAUUAUUAUUUAUUAAUGUCAUUAGGGAUGGUAAUGAGGUAGAUAUGAAUUAGAUCUACUCUUCUCCAGAUCUAAAUCCAUAAUAAAAAUUAAGAUCCGUAUAUACUUUAAAUCCGUCAUGAAUCCAUAUUUUUCGCUCCAUAUCCAGACCCAAAAAAAGAAAUAAAUAUCUAUUUCUGUUCCAAAUCCGAAAAAAAAUUAAAAUUCAAAUAUGCUCUAGAUCCGUCAUGAAUUAUAAAAUUUAGUAAUAAAAAAGUAAUAAUUUUUUAGAUUGAAAAUUGAAGGCUAAAAUGUAUUGACAACAAAUAAAUUAUAUAAUGUUUUUUAAAAAUAUAAUAAAUAUUGUAGCUUAUACUUUUACACCAAAACAAAAAAUAAGAAAGAUAAUAAAAUAUCAUUCAGAAGUAAUUGCAGGAGUAAGAUCAAUCUAAUAUUUUAUUGUCUCCUUCAUCAUUCUAAUACCCACAAUACAUCUACUCUCAUUCCUACAAUAUUACAUAAUGACAUAUAAAUUAAAUAUGAUUUAUAUUAAGUCCUUUAUUAUUUUUAUUAUGACCAUAUUUGACUAAAUAUAUGAAUAAUUAUAUUCCUUAAAAAUUAUUUGGCCAAUAUAAUAAAAUAAAUUGCCAGAUUAUAUUACUUGGCUUCCAAUUUGAAUAUUGCAUGUACAUGCUUUGGGGCUGGCUGACCUUUAAAUUUAUAAAAUUAACCUUUAAGUUUUAAGAGUUUAAAUGCAUGGUAAAUACUACUAAUAUGCUAUGAAUAAAAUUUAUUAUCAUUAUAAUUCCACAAUUGUUAAGAAACUUUUAAAAUUAAAUUAAAUUAAAUUAAAAGAUGAGUGGAUAUGGAUAUGAAUUUAGAUAUUAAGAUAGAUCCAGAUAUGCUCCAAAUCCGUCUUAGAUCCGCACAUCGAUAUCCAAAUCCAUUUUAAACCGAUUGGAUUUGGAUCAUGUGGAUCUUAGAUCAGAUCCAAUCCAUUGCCAUCCCUAAAUGUCAUUAGUAUUAUAUUAAUAUUAUUGUUAUCAUUAUUUUUAUUAUUGCUAUUAUUAUUAUUACUACCAUAAAUGUCAUCAUUAUUAAUAAUAAUAAUAUUAUUAUUAUCAUUAAAAUUUGUUAAUUUAUUGUUUUAAUUAUUAUGUAUUAUUAUUACUUUCAUUAAUUAUUAUUAUUAUGAAAAUUUAUUUAUUUUAUUAUUUUAAUUGUUAUGAUUACUUUAAUUAAGUCAUUAUUAUUAUUAUUAUUUAUUUUAUUAUUACUAUUAUUAAUAUAUUAAAUUAUUUUAAUUAUAUUAACUAUUGUUAUUAUUAUUUUAUUAAUAUUAAUAUUAUUAAAAUUUAUUAUUUAAUAAUAAUAAUAAUAAUAUUAUUAUUAUUAUUAAUGUUGUCAACAUCAUCGUCAUCAUUAAACUUUAUAGAUUUUUUUGUUUUAAGUAAUACUAUUGUCAUUAUUAUUAGGAAUUUUAUCAUUUUCUCACCAAAAUUAUUCUAACACAUCAUGGCAGUAUCACGGUUUGGUAAAAACAUUACUUUACCACCAAACAUUUAAAUUGUUAGUAUUUUCUCACAAUUCCGUUAAAACUUAAUUAAUAUUUAAUGAAAAAUGCAUAAAAACUCAAUUUUACCCCUGGAGCGUAAAAGACGAUUUUACCCUUUAAAAAGGAAGAACAACAAAAGACAAUUUAAUUACAAAAUUACCCCCAAAAGACAACAAGACAAUUUUACCCUUUAAAAAGGAAGAACAACAAAAGAUAAUUUAAUUACAAAAUUACCCCCAAAAGACGACAUUGCUGCAAGAGUGAGAGAGAUAUGGGUCAGUGGCAGUGAGCGAGAGAGGGCAGAGAUGGAACAAGAAACGAGAGAGGGGGGUUGAUUUUGAUUUCUAGGGCUUUCAUGUCCAAAUUACUUGUUUUUUUACAAUUGCAAAACGCAACGUUUUGGCUUUGCGUGAGAUGUCCAAAAUGCCCUUAUGAUAUCAACAUAAUUUUUAUUUAGUUAACAAAAUGGUGGGAAAAUGCUAACAGUUUAAACACUUGGUGGUAAAAUGAUAUUUUUACCAAACCGUAGUACUGACAUAAUGUGUCAAAAUAACUUUCGUGAAAAAAUGAUAAUAUCCCUUAUUAUUAUUUUGCCUUAAGUAAAUAUUUAAAAAAAUUUAGUUUUUAUGAUUUUGUAAUAAACAGUAGGGGCUCAAGUGUUAAUAACCAAUUGAAUGCAUCUCAACCGUUGAGCACUUUAACCCUCAGAUCUAAUGGCUGAACCAGAAAAGGACAAAGUUUGGGGUACCGUGCAACGGACCCAAAAAUAAAUGUGCAAUACAUCAUCUUUGUAGAAUUUCUAAAUGGUAUACAUAACAUACAAUGGGAUGAUGUUCCCAUAUGAUACAAAGUUAUAACCCGAUAUAAUCAAAUUUUCCAUGAUCCAAGUCUACGCAUUUACACAAGUGAGAACAGUAAAAAGUAAUAAACAAAUUAAUAUAAUUCAAAAAAAAAAAGGCAAUAUGGCAAGGUUAAUACAAAGCACUACUUAGUAAAAUCAGUUCCCGCAUUUCCAUUUCGAGGUAGGUACACAGCUUAGGUAAUGGCACCAGCUGCAGUGAUCAUUUCCAUUCUCUCCUCUGAAGAGCAUCACCAAUCCCACCGUAAAUCUGCAAUGUUCAAUAUGAAAAUUGUGCCGUCAGAUUUUGUCAAAUGCUGAAUGUUUGUGUUCAUUUACGCCUUAAAACUAACAUCAAAACUCGUCUAUAUGAAACCAAUGUAAUGUAUGGAAGAUGCUUCAAAUGUCACCAGAAAAGAGACGGAGGAAAUUCUUUCAGUCCUCUGUGAUGCUCUCCGAUCAUAAAUUAGGAUCUGAGAUAUUGGACUUACCCAACGAUAAGCAAAACGAGGGCCACGAUACAGAGCACAUAUUGGUAAGGAUUAUGCCUAGAUUUCACACGGGCUUGAGCAGGAAGUUGGUGGCGCUCUGCCCACCCAAAUUGAGGACGAAGUAGCAAAACAAACCCAAGGAGGAAACCAGCCAUGAAACCUCCGAUGUGUGCAAAAUUGUCAACAUGAGGAAGAAUUCCAACAGCCAAGUUAAUGGCAAUAAUGACCACAAGAGUCAAUAGAGCUGCAGCCUACAAGAUAAGGAAAGCAACAAAAUUGUCAUAAGAAACCUUACCACUUUUAUUUUCAUUUCUAAUCCAGAGUCCACAGCUCUUUUAUUUUCAUUUUUCCAGUUUGGCACAUUAGUUUCAAAUUCCUUUACCCUGAAUAUUUUGCAAGUACCUAAAAUUCGUGGCCUCAGGUUUCUAGAACAAGUAGCUCUAGACUCGAGAAAUAACAAUUGAGUGCCAGUAUUUGAAUUAAAAACCAAAAAGAAAUAACAAUUGAGUGCCCGUAUUUGAAUUAAAAGCCCAAAAAAAAAAUUUGCUGUUUCUUCAUUACAGGAAAAAAAAAUUAAUAUGUGCAUUUUCCACAAAUAAAAGAAGGGUAGCAGCAACCUUGUUAGUAUAAAUUGACCAGUUAGCUAGAAGCUCAGAUAACAUAGCUCCCAGAAGUCCAAAUAAAGCACCAGAAGCACCAACAGAGAUACUGCGUUGAAUAAAAAGAGCAGAUAAUAUGCUUCCGCCAAAGCCUGACAACAAGUAGACAAAGCCAACUCGCACUGCCCAUGUUACAAAAGAUGUUAGAAUUCAGCAACAAUACAUAGCAACUACAUAAAACAAUAUAAGCAUUGACAAGAAAAUUCUAGAAUCAGGAUAAACUAACAUAAUUUUCAGCCAUGGUAUUAAAUACUUCCACUUUUGUUAAUGUCUAGUGCUGAGUGCAAAAGAAAUGUUCAUUUAUGAGAUAGUAGUUCCGGUGAAAUUGAAUAGAAUGAUGUCACAGCUUUACUGUUUAAUAUCAUGAGUCAGGAAAUGCAAUUCUAGAUGCAACAACCAAAUGCAUACAGAUCAAUGCCACUAACUUUUCCUGGUGACAUGUUAUUGCCCCUUUCAGAAGAGUAGAGACCUAAGCACCAAAGUCAAGCAAUAUGUCUUUAACAAAUAAGUGGAAAGAUAAGUCAACAAGAAAGACCAAACUAUUUUGUAAGUAAGGCUAAAUUUCAUAUUUAAUGACAUGAAAGUUUGUGACAUACCAAAUCCAAAUUGCUGUUCAAGGCGAAUCCCAAUAAAGACCAAGCUUAACAUAUUUGCAAGCAAAUGAAUGACACCAGCAUGUAACCAGAUACAGGUGAUGAGUCUCCAUCCUUGGUGUUCAUGCACAACCUUGUCCCACUCCAGAGCUCCCAACUUCUGCAAUCUGCACAAGCAAGUGUAAAUAAAUUAAAAUCAACCAGAAACACAGUUCUAAAGGAGGGUUUGCCUCAAAACAAAUAAAAUUUUCAUUUCCAAGCCCUCAAUUCCAAUUGACAGAAUAUAGAAUCAGAAUGACCAAAUUGAAAGAACUAGGUUCAUAGUCUUCCGCCACUCACUUCCAGCAUAAAGAAGCAGCAUGAUUAUAACUUAUUUGUAAUGGCUAAAAAGCAAUCCUACAGUUUACUAAGUAAGUCUCAGACAAAAGAAAAACGAAAAUAAUUGACCAACAAUAUGCCCCAAAAACAAUUAGUUGUUGAUUUUCAAAUACAUGAGGUAACGGAAAGAGUAAAAAAAAAUCCCCAAAUUCAAUAUUUGUUAAAGCUCCAAAUAUGUUCUCAAGAUUAUUGGCAAAAACUUAUCACAGUCGAUGGAGCUAUUCAUAAAGCAAAUCAAUUACAUAUUUCCCAACUUGCAUCGGAUGCAUACUUUUAGGCCAGCAACAGGUAGACCUACUUCCCCCCUCUAGUGGCUAUUACUUGCAAGCCUACAUUCCCCUAUAACCUACCUUAAUCCCAACUCAAUUUUCUUAAACAAAAAUAAGCAAUAGACUCACAAACUAAGAUGGAGAAGAAUCAACGAACACACUUAAGCUACCUUUAUACACUCAUCUGGAUCUACUCAGAUAACAGAAUGCCCCGUCCACAACAACAGUAAACAAGAAACAAAGUUGCUAAUCCUACCCAGUCUAGUCCCCAAUUUUGUAUUUGAACGACAAAUUAAGCCAUGAAACUCACUUCAACUAAUCAAAAUCCACAAAAAAAUAUUAGACACAGUUAGAUUGGGGGAAUUAUAAAUAAACAUUCAAUAACAUACAACACAAAUUUCAUGGAACAAAACAACUAUCCCAAUCAAAUUGCAUUAGUCAGAUUUCUACCCUCACCUUCCGAAUAAAAAAACCCCACCACUGAGAGAAACCGAAAUCACUAAACGGCAGGUAAAAGGGAAAUACAUAACAAGCAAUCCAUGCAACAACACAUAAAAAGUAACGAGAAAAUGAGACUCACGUAGAAGAAGAAGGGCCGAAGAGAGGAUUCUCUUUUAGAGGCUCAAAGGAAAGCCUGCCAAGGAACCUAGCAACACAACCCCUGCCACCUUCCCAGUUAUUCUUGGGACAGUUGUUAAUAUACAUGGCCACGAUGAAAACAGCAACGUUGGCCACGACAAACAUUGGGAUCAGCCAAGAAGUCCAUUGCUGAUCACUCCCUGGCUCUACAUAAUACGAGCCUGAACUGUAACUGCCUCUAUUGUUGUUAUUGUUACUAAUAUUCUUUCCUCGUUCCAGAUCCCCGCUCGCCAUCAAUUCAAUUCUCUUCGAUUCGAGACAAUAUCAGUUUGUUAUACAAUGAGCGCUAGCUUUGUUGGGUAUUUGUCGUUCGUUUUAUUUAUAUGUCAAGGGAACAAAAAAGAAAAAAAAAAAGAAAAGAAAAGAUCGAACAAGAAGUGUCUUGUAAGGGAGAAUUUCUUCGUGUUUUUGAGUUUGCUGUUUAGGUUGUCACACAGAGAGAGAGAGAGAGAGAGAGAGAGACAGAAACUCAGGAAUCAGGAUAGAGAUCGAUUGAUGAUAUAACCGUUGAAAUGAAACAGUUGUUUGCAAGAGUUACUGCUGCUUCGUCAAUUCUAAUUAAUUUUAUGAUUUUAAAGGCUUUUGCUUUUCCC
rnacentral:lncRNA from 1 species